rnacentral:lncRNA from 1 species
GUUUCUGAACCAAACAUUUAGGGUUUAGGGUUCUAGACACUGGCGCACAGAAGUUGAAGUUCCAUUCAUUGAUCACACAAAAGUUGAAGUUUUCAUGCAUUGAUCGAUUUCAGAAUUUGUGUCAAAGUUUCUUGAUGGAAAACCAAACGGGUUAUGACUUACCAUGGAAUCGAGAUUUCUAGUCUCCAGUAAAGGUGUUCAAAUUUCUCGAUUGAAAUAGAAUGCAUCUAAUGUUAUUUCUGGAGAUCAUAUACUAAACUCACUAGUUCUGCAUAAUCUUAAGGGUUGCUAGCUCUUUGUAGCUUGAGAGCCAGUCUUGCAAUUCGUUAUAUAAGCAAUGCUACCUUUUUUUUUUUUUUUUAAACGUUUUAUUAAUAACUCACACACCCUACAUAUGUCUGUGAGGUUUGAACCCGUGACCUCAAAAUUGUUAGUUAAACACCUUAAUCAACCAAGCCACAGCUCACUGACAAGCAAUACACUUUAAAACAAGGCCACAAGCUACCAACUUUUUUGUAUCAGUGUUGGUAGUAGGGCUGGGCACUUAGUACCGGAAUCCUGAUCCCGUACCGGUCCCGUCCCGAAAGUUAGCGGGACGGGACGAGAUAGGUUUUGAAAAUAGCAAUCCCGUCCCGUCCCGUUUUAACAUUACCAUAACGGGACGGGACGGGACGAGACUAUCCCGAAAAAUCCCGUCCCGUCCCGUAAUAUUAGAAUACUUGAUUUUAUUCAUUUUAUACUUGAUUUUUUAGGUUGCAUGGUGUUACAAUGCACUCAACCACACUUAAUUUGGUCUAAAAUAAUACUUUUAAUUUCAUUCAUGUUCUUUUUUUUUGUCUUGUGUGAUUUUGGAUAUUUUUAGUUGUUGUUUGAGGGUUAAUUUUUAAUGUGGGAUGUUUAGUACUUUUAAAGUGGGAUGUAAUUUAGCACCUAUGCACCUAUGUUCUUNNNNNNNNNNNNNNNNNNNNNNNNNNNNNNNNNNNNNNNNNNNNNNNNNNNNNNNNNNNNNNNNNNNNNNNNNNNNNNNNNNNNNNNNNNNNNNNNNNNNCGUUUUUCCACCUGUGGUGGUGUUUGAUAAUCAAUUAAUUUGUUCUUGGAAAAAAAAAAAUUUAGUCGGGAUCCCGAUCCAGUCCCGGUCCCGUCCCGAUCCCGAUCGGGAUUGGGACGUACGGGACAGAUUUUUAAAAACACCUUCCCGUCCCGUUCUUUUAUUUUCGGGACGGGACGGGAUUCACCAAAUCCCGGCCCGUCCCGUCCCGUGCCCAGCCCUAGUUGGUAGAUUGAUGUGUUUCACUUGCUGUGUCACUUUUGUAUCUGUCAUAUAUUGAGAAUAGGAAAGGAAUUAUAAUUCAUACUUCUGCAGAAUCAAAAACCCAAAUGAGAAACAUGAAUAGAAGGGUGAUGGAGUUGAGGAGUGACAUUCAACUCAUUCAAGCACAUAUCAGUGAGGGAAGCCCUAUAAAUUUCCUAACCCAACAAAACACCAAACACCAAGAUACAACUUUCAGAUGCAUAUGCAAGGAUACCUCCAUAUACGUUCCCACAUUUAAACAUCCGACUAUCAUACAAAUCCAUAUAGCAGAUACGAUAGACUCAUUCCCAACAAAUGCCAAUUGGAACAAUGUAUCAAUGAACAUAAACAGCCUCCAACUAGUCCAACAGAUAUUUCAUCAUCACAAAAAGCUCGUUUAACCAAGUACGCUAGAAUGCCUAAGAGCUGCCCUUAUACCCCUGCUCAACAUCCAUACUCUUGCAACCACAAGGUCUCUACAGAAACCCACCCAUCGUCUAACCUCCCCACUAUGAAAAGAAUGACGUUGCCUUGCUGUUGUUCGGGCAGCUGAAGUGAAGAAGAUAUUUUAACUGACACAGUGCAGUAGCCUUCAAAUCUGCAUCAGAUAAUCGACAUCAGAUUUACCAGUAUUUAUUAAGCAUAAAACUUCCUCAAGAGCCAUGGCUUGUGAACAUAUUUCUAUUACAAGAAAAUCAGUUGUACCAAGUCAUUGGCCAUGAUAGGAUUCAGAGUUACAGUGAAUUAUAAGCCAAUACAAACUAAAAUUAAGAGCAAAUAGCUUAUUGAACAUAAAUUUUUGGGAGAUCUAACAAGAUUAGUUCAUAGAAUAUUCAACUGAAUUCUAACAGAGUAGUCACUCAUGUGAACAAUUAUUCCUGAUGCUGAUUAAUGGAGACAUUUCUACAGUCUUUUAAUGUCUUCUAAGUUCUAACAUACUAUAUUCUACGUCUGAAUAGACAAAUAAAUUUCAACAUAUCAAAGCAAGACCUUAGUUCCCAAGUCGUGUUAAAGGAUAUAUACAACUCAGUAGGCAGAGGUAACAGCAAGACCAGCAACUCCAGAUAAUUAGGGAUCCAGCUCCUCUAAAGUGAGCAAGUUAUAAAGUUCGUGAAGUUCAUAAAAUCUCAAGCCUCUAUAUAAUCCAAAGGCUCAAAAAUAUCUAAGUUAAAAAUAUGUAGUGUUUAGAUUAUUUAUGAAUUUAUAUAUGAUUUUUAUUCUUUUCCCUAUCAACAAAAUGAAAGAAAAUAAAAUUGUUGCCCGUCUUCAUGAAACCUAGCAGGUAGGAAAUAAGAAAACAGGUUUGAUAAGAAAUUGAGAUGAUCGAGUGCCAUGACGAAUAAAGCGGAAACAAAAAGGUAAAAAUCUGAUCUACAAUUGCUGCAUAAACCCUAGGCUAGAAGUUGCCUUAACUCCAAAGUCCUGCAGCAACCCUCAAAUUAAAUCAUUGCAGACUAACUAGGAUCAAGUCCCUCUUCCAUUAAUUUAUAGGCUUUGUAAUUCAUCCUCUAUUGAUUAUCAUAGAUGCAUCGAUCGGUUCCCGAAAUUUUUCCUAGAUUUUGGUUUAUAAAUAUGUUGGAGUAAUCCCAAUUGUUCAAGAACUGCAAUAAUAUUAUAUAUGUGGAGUAUGAAGGACUGAGAGCUAGCACUCAUGUCACAUGAAUCUUCAGAAGAUUUUCUGAGAAAUUAUGGAAGCACAUAUAUGUUUCAUAGAAGCAAGAACAAGGAUCGAUGAAGGUUGAAUAAAUAAAGAGGGAAAAAAAGAAAAAAGAGAGUCAAUAAUUAACCUCAAUGCGGAAAAGAAAUUAGAAUAUUCUAUUUAUUGAUGUUGGAUAGUUUUGAGCCUUUAGAUUAUAUAGAGGCUUAAGAUUUUAUGAACUUCACAAACUUUAUGACUUGCUCACUUUAGAGAAGCCGGAUCCGAUAAUUAGAUGAUAAACAAUUACUGAAAACAAGUAGAGCUACAGCUUUCAUUAGUUAUAGGGUGAUUCUUUCAAAGAAUAUGAUCGAUGGAGUUCAUCCUAAUCCUUAAAAAAUCAAUGUUCCCCAUAUUCGCUACUGAUUCAAAAGUAUUUAAAUCAGUACCUGUCUGAUUUCUCGGGUAGAACAAAACUAAUACUUACUCAGGUUGUUGGAACUAGAUAUCGUAGAUUGUACAUGAAACAAAGAACGUAAUGAUCAGCUGGGAUCAUGCUCCCAUUCAAGAUAUAUAGCAUGACUUUAUAAAUCAUUACCACAAAUUCUUGUUGUGGCUUGUGUGCCUUAAGCCUGUCUCUUAUUUCUUCGAUAGACAUUUCACUUCUGGCAUGUAUCUAAAAUAUUGGACAGAGAUCUUUCACUUGUAUAUAUGAGAAAUUGAUGGGAUGACACUAAAUUAUGAGAAUGGCAAGAGAAACCCAUGUGGUUUCAUGAUUUCUCACAAGCCAGUGACCCUCAUCCGACCUGCUAAUUUGAGUCAUUUCAUGUACCUUCUUCACCCACUUACAUGCUUCAUGACUGUAUCAGAUGAUUGCAACCUCGUACCAUAGCCCAGGCUUAUCUUUCAACAGAGCUUGUUUGAUGGAUUUAAACCUUGUGGUAGACUUCUUGUUUGCUACAUAUCAUCUAAAGGAGGUGGAACAAUGUUUCUAUCCAUUGAUACCCGUUUGCAUAUCAUUUGAGUAGGAAGACAAAUUCAUGUGGUUGCUCACAAAUAAUGUUCUUACCUUGAGCCCAUGUCAAUGCCUCUUCACCAAUCAUUUCAUGUAGCAGAUGAUUUUCCACAUACCAUUUCUUCAUCUAUAGAUACACAUUAUCAGGUUUAUGAGCAAACUCAACUCUCUCCUUGCAAGCACCAAACCGAGCUUUUAUGUCCUUUGAAUUCUUUUCUUACUUCUUUGAUCACUUUAGAAUAUAGAAACCAUGGGUUUCCGCUUGCCUCAUACUGCAAACACAAAGACAUUAGUUACUACGACUCUACGACACAUUUUGUAGAAUAUUUGUAAAUAUUUACUUUCCUUGUAUGUGUAGGUUAAAUAUUUUGUAUAGAUGUAUGAGAUAUUUUUUCUAUUAGCACUACAAUUGUAUCUCUAUAUAAACCUCCAAUAUGGAGAAGAAUAAACAUUGAAGCAUACCAAACCAUAUUUAAUCCUUAUUUUCUACUUGGCAUCAGAGCUUGCUAGGUUCGAUCCUUUGAAUUUACACCCAAAACACCACAAAUCGCUGCGUAUCAAAAACCCCCACAAAUCACACACAAAUUCCCAAAUCCCAAAACCAAACCUGAAUCCCGAAUCACACCACAACCAAAUCGUUGCAUACAUCAAAAUGAUAAUUCCCAAAUUCUUGAAUCUCAAAAACCAAACCUCCAAAAUGGCACAACAAAUCAACUACCAUACCACCACACCAUGCUGGUCUCCAUACAAACCAAAUUCAUAUGCGAACUCAAAAUGUCUGCUAUGUGGAGUAUUAGGUCAUAGCAAGCAACGUUGCUUUGAAAAAAUUGGGUACCCGGAUUGGUGGGAUUUCACCCUGAAACCCUGAAAGAAUCAAGUAAAAGCUGUCAUAACCACUACAGAGGAAGACCAACCAUCAAAUGCCUUUAAUAUAGCACAGUCAGGUAUGAGUGGUAAGGUAUCUAUGAAUAGGUCCUGGAUUAUUGAUACAGGAGCAUCAGAUCACAUGUGUAAUGAUCCUAGCCUCUUGAAAAAAUUAAAACCCUCCUCUCAAAAUAUUGUUUCUACCGCUGAUGGUACUCCAACUCCGGUUACCGGAGAAGGCUCUAUUGUCCUAUCAAACACAUUAACCCUUGAUUCUGUAUUAGUCGUCCCUUCAUUGUCAUACAAUCUUCUCUCAGUUGGCCAAAUCAUUCAAGAAUUAUCAUGUAUUGUCACCUUUUAUCCGUUCUUUCUGNNNNNNNNNNNNNNNNNNNNUAACUAGGCGGAUUUUGGGUUAUGGAGUGAGAAAAGGGAAAUUGUACUACCUAGAUCUGACAGAGACAUGAGAGAAACAUAUGCAGUCUUUGGGUCAAGCUAAUAAGGUCAAUAGAGCUGAGAGUGCUAAGAAAGAUGUGUGGCUUUGGCACCGCAGGUUGGGUCAUCUAAACUUCGGUUAUCUUAAGAAACUGCAACCGCAAUUAUUUUCAGAUGUCGACUAUUCAGAUUUUCAUUGCGACAUAUGUGAACUGGCCAAGAGCCACCGUAUUUCAUAUCCACCAAGCCUAAAUAAAAGUCCCGUUCCAUUUAUGAAGAUUCACUCUGACGUGUGGGGUCCUACAGAAAUUCCUUCUCUCUCUGGUGCUCGGUAUUUCGUGACGUUUAUUGAUGAUUGUACCCGUACGACUUGGGUGUCUCUAUUGAAGAAUAAGAGCGAUGUUUAUUCUAGAUUCAAAGAAUUUCACAAGAUGGUGUCCACACAGUAUCAACAGGUUGUUCGAGUUUUCCAGUCUGACAAUGGCGGAGAAUAUAUUAAUGGUCCUAUGCAAGAGUUUAUGAAGUUACAUGGAAUUCGACAUCAGACUUCAAAUACUUAUACUCCUCAGCAAAAUGGAUUGGCAGAGAGAAAAAAUCGGCAGUUGCUGGAAGUUGUCCGUGCCUCUUUGUUUGGCAUGAAUGUACCUGUAGAAUAUUGGGGAGAAGCUGUGACAUCUGCUGCCUACCUCAUUAAUCGUACCCCUUCUCGGGUUAUUGAAUGUCAAAACCCUCUACAACAGCUUCAAAAACUUCUCUCCAUUCCAUCAUUGCCUAACUUGGAGCCUCGUGUGUUUGGGUGCGUAGUAUAUGUUCAUAUUCCCAAGCAACAAUGAAGCAAACUUGAUCCUCGUGCUAAACGGUGUAUCUUUUCUUGGGUAUGCCGAGUUUCAAAAAGGCUAUCGAUGUUAUGAUCCUCUCACUGAUACCAUUCACGUGUCCCUUGAUGUUUCUUUUUGUGAAUCUGAGCCUUACUAUUCAGGGGGAGUUUCGACAUCUUCCCUUCAGGGGGAGAGCGGUUGUGAAGGUGAAGGGAAUUCUCGACAAUUAUUUGAAUUCGACGAGUUUGAAGAGGUGAAAGCAUUGGAGUUGAGAUUCGGAGUUAAUGGAGCCACAAAUGAUAAAGCAACAGAAAAGGAGACAACAACUCCUGUCCCGUUCAGUAUUGAUGCAGGCCACCCACGUGAAGCUCAGCCAAGCCGAGUGGAGACUGCAGCCGAGCAGAGCCGAACUGAAGGGGACCAUGUGCGCGUCAGAGAGCCAAGCCGAGCCGAACUGAAGAGGACCACNNNNNNNNNNNNNNNNNNNNGAGCGCGAUUGUAAGCCAACAACGCCAUAUCUUCAGCAGUGUGCUGGCUGCAAAACUUGUCCGGAAUCUACACCAAAAUUAACUGAAAUCAAUAUCUACACAGAUUCAAAAUCGAUCAAAAAUUCUAGAGCUUACAAAAUCGAAGACGAACCUUGCCGAGUAACUGGAUCAUCGACAUUCGAGAAUAAGGCAAUACAGCUUCAUCAACACAACACACCUGCGAUUCAUAGAUAACCCAGUCCUGUCAAUCUUCUGUUUUUUUCCUUUUCCAAUUCUCGAUCUGUUUGUGGCUGCUAAUAUAGUGCUCCCAAUUGAAGCUUCUCCGACACAACUCGACGUUGUUCCUCAAGUCCGACUCUGAAUUGCACUUCAAAACCUUUCCGACAAUGUGCAUAUCACGCGCUCAAAAACCCGCCAGUGGACAAGCGACACGUAAGAAAACAUAUGCGGAGCACACACUCCCCGGUGUAUUCCAGAUCUCACCUUAAAUCAAUUACCUGAGGUAGAUAGUAUUAUACCUAGAAAGUCACAGAGAGUUACCAAAAGAAUUCCAAAGAAACAAUAUGAACCUGAUAUCAAAGCCAAAGCUAAGUAUCAUGUAGCCAAUUACAUGUCUAACCAUAGAUUGUCCGAGUCACACGCCCUUGUCAUUAAUCAAUUAUCUAGUGUUUGUAUUCCUAGUAGUUUACAGGAUGCAAUGACGGAUCCUAAGUGGACUCAAGCGAUGAACGAAGAACUAGAGGCAUUACAGAAAAACUCGACUUAGGAUAUUGUGCCUAAACCAGCUGGAAAGAAGACCGUUGGAUGUCGUUGGGUAUUCACCGUAAAGUUGAAAGCAAAUGGGAGUAUUGACAGGUAUAAAGCAAGGUUGGUUGCCAAGGGAUACACCCAGCGGUAUGGCAUUGAUUAUGAAGAAACGUUUGCGCCUGUAGCAAAGAUCAACACUGUACGAAUCUUGAUUUCACUUGCAGCAACUAAAGAUUGGCCUCUGCGACAGUUUGAUGUGAAGAAUGCUUUCCUCAAUGGAAACUUGGAGGAAGAGGUGUAUAUGGACAUGCCACCAGGAGUCAAAAGUAAACCAUGCGAUGCCGGCAAGGUUUGUAAGUUGAAGAAGUCCUUGUAUGGUUUGAAGCAAUCUCCUAGAGCUUGGUUUGGAAGAUUCUCCAAAUCAAUGAAGAUGUUUGGCUAUAGACAAAGCAACUCAGAUCACACUUUAUUCAUCAAGCGUAGUCAGGGUAAGAUCACUGCUCUGAUUGUGUACGUUGAUGAUAUGAUUGUCACAGGGGAUGACCCAAAAGAGAUGGAGGCUCUACAAAAGUAUCUUUCAAAGGAGUUUGAGAUGAAGGACCUUGGACAGUUGAAGUAUUUUCUUGGAAUUGAAGUUGCAAGGUCAAAGCAGGGGAUUUCUUUGUCCCAACGUAAGUAUGUACUUGAUUUGUUAGCUGAGACUGGAAUGCUUGACUGCAAACCGGUUAAGACACCAAUUGAGAUGAACCACAACCUCGCCAUCUAUCCAGAUCAAGUCCCAACUGAUAAAGGAAGGUAUCAACGUCUAGUAGGAAGACUUAUUUAUCUUUCUCAUACCAGACCUGAUAUUGCUUAUGCUGUGAGUGUGGUUAGUCAAUUUAUGCAUUGUCCCAGUGAAGAACAUAUGGAUGCAGUGUACCGUAUUCUAAAGUAUCUUAAGAUGGCACCUGACAAAGGCUUGUUGUUUGAAAAGAAUGGUGAAUUGAAAGUUGUAGGGUACACCGAUGCUGAUUGGGCUGGUGAUAAGACAGACAGACGAUCUACAUCUGGGUAUUUUACAUUUGUUGGAGGAAACCUUGUAACUUGGCGUAGUAAGAAGCAGAAGGUUGUUGCCAGGUCAAGUGCUGAAGCAGAAUUUCGAGGUAUGGCACAUGGAGUUUGUGAGAUGUUAUGGAUUCGUAAUGUGUUAAAAGAAUUGGGUUUUAAACUAAAAAAAACCUAUGGACUUGCAUUGUGAUAACACGUCUGCAAUUGAAAUUGCUCAUAAUUCUGUUCAACAUGACCGGACCAAGCAUGUGGAGGUAGAUCGGCAUUUUAUCAAGGAAAACUUGGACAGAAAGAUAAUCUGUUUCCCUUUUGUGUAUACAGAAGACCAAUUGGCAGAUGUUCUUACGAAAGGAGUGUCAAGGAAAGUGUUUGACCACUCAGUUGGCAAGUUAGGCAUGAUUGAUAUCUAUGCACCAACUUGAGGGGGAGUGUAGAAUGUAAAUAUUUACUUUUCUUAUAUGUGUAGGUUAAAUAUUUUGUAUAGAUGUAGGAGAUAUUUUUCCUAUUAGCACUACAAUUGUAUCUCUAUAUAAACCUCCAAUAUGGAGAAGAAUAAACAUUGAAGCAUACCAAACCAUAUUGAAUCCUUAUUUUCUACUAAGAUAUAAAACAUCUAACUCGAGUGUGUUGAAGAAGGCUUAUAAUUCUUAGACCUCUGUCCAUCCAAAAAAGAAUAUGACCCCAGUCACCAAGAGCAAAACGGGCUAGGAAAUGAGAAACCAUAUCCUCAAACUACUCUCAAGUAGUAAACCUCAACCCAUGAACAUGGAAAGACAAAAAGGGUUUCCAUACCAAACACAAUAUUCUUAUUACUAAAUCUAGAAGUGAUCAUUCAUUCUCCCUGUAGUAAUAAUCAGAAAUGACCAAAUAAAUUAAUCAUAUCUCAAUUCCAUUACUGAAACAAACUGUCCAGAUCAAUAGACAUUGAGUUUGUCUUCUCUGCACAAACAAAACUAGGAAGGGUUCAACAUUAGUACCCAGUUCUUAUUACUAUAUAACUUUCCGAACUUAAUGCACCCCAUGAGGAGGGUGUAUUCUGCUUAAUACUCUUGGCUAAACUUUAGGAAACAGCAAAGCUAAGCCCACGUAUAUUAUAUGCACAAAACAAUAUAUCCUUAAUUUGAAAAAAAGGAAAAACAUUCAACAAAUAUCCGUCUGUUUUGAGGAUCGACAUAGGUCAGAGUGGCAAUGGAUCUCAUAUAUUGUUAACACUCCGAACAACUCGUGGGUUGCUUUGUUAUGCAAAAGUUUGAGGGGAAAUGGAUUUGACUAUUGGCAGUAACAUUACUUCACAUGAAGCCCAUAAGUAAAAAGAAAUACAAGUGUACACAGAUGUACUGAAAGCACAAAGUGGGAGUAUGGUAUGGAUCACAGGCAACACAAUUUAGAACAAAAACUCACAGGACUUCUCAGAGAGCCAAAUUUAUAAAUUAGAAAAUAUGUUUAGAUGAUCUGAUUAGAAAAUUGAACUAAACGCGGCGAGAUUUCCGGCACCAAAGUUUGUCGGAGGUUAAGUCGAGGGCUAAUCUAAGUCGCUCGAAACACAAGCAGCUCCAGCUCUCUCCUAAAACUCUACACACACUGUUUACGCUUUCAACUUUUUAGUUUCAAAAAUAAAUACAAAAUAAAAAUAGUGACGACGUCGUUUAGGGUGUUUUUGGGUCAACUGCUCUGGGGGGAAGAGUAAAAAAGCAACUGCAGGCUUCAAAUCUCCGGGUAAGUUCCUCUCCUACUUCUAUCUUCGAUUAUUUGGUUUGAAUUUGAUUUUCUGGAUUUGGUUUUGCCAUUAUUUGUUGGUUUACCGGUAAAGAUUUUGAAUUGUAAUGAGAGAGAAGCCUUAAUCUUUGUAAUUUCUGGGUUGUGUUUUGUUUACAAAUUUUGGAAAUAAACCCAUUGGCAGAUUUAUGUGGUCACAUACACCAAGUGUUGUGGAGCAACUCAGUUAAACAAACUAAGCACUUUACUUACUUAAUUGUAAGCAAAACACUAAAUCUGUUAUAAAACCAGACUUUGUCUUCUUAUAGUGUGAUAGAUAUUAGGAAGUUGAUCUCGCAUAUCAACUAUAUUAGGAAGUUGAUCUCGUUAUCCCUUGUCGAGUUAUGUCUCGUAUCAUCGAUAUAAACCUGGGCAUCAGUCUUUUAUUUCUCAUAUCAGUCAGGCUUUGGAGCCCAAUACAUAUGACGAGGCUGCCUCUCAUCCAGAAUGGCAGCAGGCUAUGCAAUCUGAGUUACAGGCCUUCACGACAAUGGGACAUGGACUCUCACAUCACUUCCGACAGGUAAAAAGCCUAUUGGUUGUCGUUGGGUUUACAAAAUCAAACAUCGGUCAGAUGGUUCAAUCGAGCGUUACAAAGCUCGUCUAGUGGCCAAAGGUUUUACUCAGAUGGAAGGUGUUGAUUAUCAUGAAACUUUUUCUCCAACUGCUAAAAUUAUCACAGUUCGUUGUUUAAUUGCAUUAGCUGCAGCACAGCAAUGGCCACUUUCUCAAUUGGAUGUUAACAAUGUUUUUUUACAUGGCGAUCUUGAUGAGGAAAUCUACAUGAUACCUCCUCUGGGUCUUCGGCGACAGGGGGAGGAACAUUUGGUUUGUCGCCUUCACAAAUCCUUAUAUAUAUGGUCUCAAACAGGCUUCUCGCCAAUGGUUUGCGAAGUUUUCUGAUGCUAUUCAAUUAGCUGGAUAUGUGCAAUCAAAAGCCGAUUACUCUCUCUUCACAAGAAAAAGAGGCAAGUCUUUUACUGCCCUAUUGAUAUAUGUUGAUGACAUUCUGAUUACUGGCAAUGAUUCUGCUAGCAUCGAUGCACUCAAGAAAUUCCUGCAUAGUAAUUUUCGCAUCAAGGAUCUUGGUGACUUGAAAUAUUUUCUUGGCAUCGAAGUUUCUUCCUCUGCACAUGGAAUUUUUAUUUCACAGCAAAAAUAUGCUUUGGAAAUUAUCAAAGAUGCAGGAUUACUAGGUGCAGCUCCAGUUGAUACUCCCAUGGAGCGUGGUUUGAAAUUGUCUAAUAAAAGUGAUUUCCUCAAGGAUCCAUCUCAAUACAAAAGAUUAGUUGGGAGGUUAAUUUAUCUUACAGUCUCGAGACCUGAUAUCACUUAUGCAGUUCAUGUUUUGAGCAGAUUUAUGCAUGAGCCACGAAAAUGUCACAUGGAUAGUGCUCUUCGUAUUGUCCGAUAUCUCAUAAGUGCACCAGGUCAGGGACUAUUUUUCUCUUCAAGGUAGUGAUCUCAAAUUACAUGCAUUUUGUGAUUCAAAUUAGGCAGGAUGUCCAAUUACUAGAAGAUCAACUACAGGUUAUUGUGUUUUCCUUGGUUCCUCUUUGAUAUCAUGGAGAUCAAAACAUCAGAAGAUGGUUUCUCUUUCUUCAGCUAAAGCAGAAUAUAGAGCCAUGGCGGGUACUUGUUGUGAGUUAACUUGGUUGAGGUAUCUUUUGCGAGACUUGGGAGUGUUACACCCAAAACCCGCACUAUUGUAUUGUGAUAACAAGGCAGCAUUGCAUAUUGCUGCUAAUCCGGUUUUUCAUGAGAGGACAAGGCAUAUUGAGAUGGAUUGUCACUUCAUUAGAGAUAAAAUCCAAGAUGGUUCUGUCGUUACAAAGUUUGUCAAUUCUUCCCACCAGCUUGCAAAUGUUCUUACUAAGGCUUUGGGAAAGGAUGUUUUUAUUCCUAUGAUACGCAAGUUGGGAGUGCGGGAUAUCCACUCUCCAACUUGAGGGGGAGUAUUAGGAAGUUGAUCUCGCAUAUCAAUUAUAUUAGGAAAGUAACAUAUGUGAAUAUUCUCUUCCUAUUGUAUUGUGAUCAUGUAGAUAGUUUCCUUGUUGGUUACCAUCAUCCCUUGUAUAUGAUUAUGUUUAGUGUCAAUGAAAUUAUUCUGGCCAAGCUAUCAUCUUUUCAAUAGAUUACAAAGAAUGUGUGUGGAUGAGUCUGAUAUUGAUUUUUUUCUUCUAAGAGAUGACAAUAGUUGUAGGAUUGAUUCUCUUUUGAUGUCAAAUGUCAUAUACAGUUACAUAGUUUUGCUUUUCAUGUCUAUAAUUGAAUGUUUGUAGGUUAACAGAAACCAAGUAGAAUGGAAAACAAGCAUAAGUUAUUGGCAACUGAAAGUUCUCAAGCUCAGGGAGUUUGUCCUAACACUAUAGUAGAUCGAUUCAGUACUCUUCCAGAUGAAAUUGCUCUUCACAUACUUUCAUCACUGGAUUAUCAAGGUCUCACUCGAGUAGGUGUUGUGUCAAAGAGAUGCUAUGAGUUUUAUCUCUCAACUCCGUCAUUCUGCUUUGACACCCGUUAUGAUAACAUGAAGAUCACAUCAAUCAAGAUAAAUUGUUUUGAUCACUUCUUACAUCGUCGUGGGCAGUAAAAAGGUGCAUCGGUUUGGUAUUGAUUUGUGUCUCACGACAAGCCUCUCCUCUAAGGUAUCCCAAGUCAUGACUUGGAUUGAUACAGCAACAAGCUGCAAUGUUGAAGUGCUUGAUCUUCACUUAAAUAUGCUAUCCAAGGGGUUAGUAGAACUGUCGUCUUCCAUUUUCGGUUGUGGAUCUUUGAGGUCAUUAUUGGUGAGGAUGGAGGAGAGUUUCAAAGUGCCAUCCUUUCCUUGUCCCAAUAAUCUCCAACGCUUGAACUUGACUUAUGUCAGGUUGACAGACGGGUUUUCCAAAUGGAUCACAAGUUCCUGCAAAUGCAUUAAGGAAAUAAAGCUUAAAAGUUUUUACGCAGAAAAUAUAACCAUUGAGAGCUCAUCUUUGGAAACAUUUACUUUCGAGGCCCGUUCCAACCUCUGCUGUCUUAAAAUCUUAGGUGAGAAACUUGAAAGUAUACAUAUAAAGUGGAAAUUCUGUGGUCCUGGUCAUUGCAUAUUUGUGCUCCGAAUCUAAAGUAUUUGAAGUGGACUGGGGAUUUGUUGAAUCACCCAAAAUUGGGUGAGUUUUCAUGUUUAGAAAAGGCUGAGAUUUUUCUAGACGCCUGGUCGGCUAGUGUCUGUGACUUUCAUAACAUAUUUGAGUUCUUUUGCAGCUUAUGCAGGGUUGAAGUACUUAUUCUAAGUGACAGGACCAUCAAGGUAUGCAAUUUACACAGCAGGCAAAUUUUCUCUUUUAGCAAAAGCAUUAUUAUUUUGGAAUUAGGAAUGCUGAUUAUAUAUAUAUUUGCUCUACAAUUUUUUUAAAGCAUUUUACAAGGAACAAACCUUGUCCAUGAGCCUAUCGAAUGCAUAUAGGGUUGCUAAUAGUUGAGUUGAACUUUGUAUAUUCUUUUCAGUCUAUUUAUGGCAUUGAUUUUUCUAUAAUGCUUGCUAUUGACUGAUCAAGGGCUAUUUGUGGUUUGGCAUGUACUUUUCCUAGUAUAAUAGUUUGCCUUUACAAUUCUGCAGGCUUUGUUCAGGGAAGGUUCUAUGGCUACACCAAUCUUUGAUACUACUUACUUACGUAUAAAUACUGCGAACCUGAAUAAUACUCUAGUCCCAGCAAUGGUCUCUCUGAUGAGAGGAAUGUCAAAUUUGAAUACUUUGGAUAUAAAGUCUGACUCUUCCUUCCUCUUCCUCGAACCGAAAGUAAGUUGAAAGUAUAUGUUGCUGUUAUCUCUCUCACACACCAUACAUAAAUGCAAAGGGCAUAUUGAUUUUGGUCAAAGCUCCAUUUUAUACAUCUUACAUUAUAGUUUUACAGUAAUGUAUGACCCGCUGCAAAAUUAAUGACAAAUGUAUCUAGGUUGGUCUUGCAAUUCUGGGAAUAACAUGUUUCUUUAUAUCCUUACAGAAUUAUUCUAAUUGAUUUCGCUUCUUGCCUCUCCAGUCAUGCGGAUUUAAUGGGAAAUACUGGAAAUCCCAAAAUCUGGAUUUUGUAAAUCAGCUUAAGGAGGUAACAAUAGAACUUUCAAAUGGUUACAAUUCAUGGCAGUUGGCAAGGUUUAUUCUCGAGCAUGCUCAGAAUCUGAAGAAGAUGAUCAUAUUUUAUUUACCCAAAAAAAGCCAUGUAAUCGAUAAGGUGAGAAACAACAAGAAGGUCUCCUCUGCCACAAUCCACUUUCACAAGAAACGAUGGAGCAGAUAGGUAUAGUUUAUCGAAGAAUAUGUCAAUGUUUUGAACUUCUGUUGGUUGUUGGUAUAGAGGGCGUUUUGUUUGAAAGAAUCAAAAUCCUGAAUGCUUUGUUUCUAGGAUAUCUUUGUUUCUAAUGUUGCUGUAAUCAAAAGGGUAAACUGUUUCCACUAACUAAAUGUUGAUUCUAUAUAUUGUUUGUGCGCUAUUUCUACUUUUCUCAAGUUAACUCUAGUUCUGGGUAACAUGUGCACUCAGCAAAUAGCAGUUGAAUAUUUUAGAUUAGUACUGAAAAACCAGGUAAGCACAGAAGAUCUUUUGCUUCUUUUUUUAGCAUUCAAAUGAUCUUAUGCUUGCUGCUGGUGAUGAACAUCACUAUGAAAGUAUAUUAGUUUAGUAUUCUUUCCACCAUAAACAGCCUCCAAUUAGUCCAUGACUUGAUGAACACCAUCGUUCUUCAACAUGAAAAAGAAAAUUCCAGGUUCAUGACUGUGCUCUUCUUUCUACAGCCAAAUUCUUAAUUGAUUGCCUUUUGUCCUCUCCUUUUGGCCCUCUCCUUUUGGCUCUAGAGUUUCCAGCUUAAUGUUUUUGCUGAUGUUUGCCUUAUCUUCUGUAAAGCUUCUCUUCUCUUAAAGCUGCUAGGAAUGUCUUGAAGAUUUUAAAUGAUUUUUCUGAGGCUUUAGGACAAAAGAUUGACUUUCAAAAGUCCUCGUUGUACUUCUUCCCCAAUGCUCCUAGUCAUGUUAGGAAUGAUAUUGUGACAGUUUUGCACAUUCAACACAAGCCGACUAUUGGUAAGUAUUUAAGAGUUCACAACAUGAUUUUUUGGAAGGAUCCUGCUAACUCAAAUGAUUUAUUACAGAAAAUCAAUAACAAGUUGGCAGGUUGGAAAAAAGGUACUCCUUAGUUUCUAAACUCGUAGAAUCGCGGGACAUCAAAAGUGGGAAGUUUUUUGUUGGUUUUUGUUCCGAACUUUUUUAUGGGUGAACUUGGUUCGUUCAAUCUCUCCAGAGUAGGUAGACACCGUAGACGUAGACUCACUUUAGUGCAAGCUAAUUAUUUUUUUUAGAAGAGUGCAAGCUAAUAUUUUAGGAAUGCAAACAACAUUAUGUCUUGUUUCAAGUGUCUUGCUAAAUUUAUUAGCAAUUGAUAAGAAGGCGAGAGAUUUUUUCUGGGGUUUUGAUUCAAGGGCUACAGUUGUGGCUUGGGAUAAAGCUUGUACUCCUACCAAUUUAGGAGGAUUAGAGCAUCCCCAACAGUUUUUGUAUUAAUUCUCUAUUAUAGAGGAAGAAAUCACAAAAUCUCUAAAAAAAAAGAGCUCAACUUUAACAGUUCUUCUAUUCUAUUAUACAAAACUAAAUAUUUUUUUGUAUAAUUUAAUGAAUGUAUAUAAAUAUUAUAUAUUUAUUCAAAUUAAGCUCUAAAUCUAAUUUUAUUGGGAUCUCCAAAUUUGCUCAGUGUACCUCUCAUGCUUUCCACACCUCUAUUUUACUUUUAAAUACAGAUAUUUGCUGACUAGACCUCUAUUCAAAUUUUUAAAAUAACUUUGUUUAUAUUGUUCACAUAUAUUUCAUUAUAUUAAUCAUUACACCUACAUAUUUUAAUUAUAAUUUCAUUUAUUUAUGAAAGAACAUAAAUCUCUUAAAAAUCAAAUAACACAAGGUAUUGACUUUCAUAAACUUAUUUUUGUCAACAAGAAAAUUUUCUAAUAAGGAUAAUAAUUUUUUCUCUAUGGAUGUUUUUUUUCUUCCUGUAUUUUAUGUAAUUCAUGAUAUAUUAUUUCAAUAGUUAUUUAAUUUUACAUAACCGAUUUUUUUUUUUGCAAAUACAUUUGUGCACCUUGUAUAAUGUAUAUGCUUUUAAUAAUCGUUAUCAAGUGCAGACGUCCCUCCUUUCGGCACAGUACGGCACAGACAAUGGCGUGUCUCCACCCCAACGGACUCCAGCAACUUCCCCGACCACUUUCCAUCCCCGGCGAGUCCGCCGAAUUCUAGUUUUCCGGCAAGAUUUACUUUGUUUGAUGUUUUGGGUGAUCUGGCCGGAAAACUGGAAUUCGGCGGAUUCGCCGGGGAGGGAAAGUGGUCGGGAAAACUGCUGGAGUCCGCUGGGGUGGAGGCGCGCCCUCGCCGGCGCCGUACGGUGGUGAACGGAGGGAAAUCCGCACCGCCUUAAGGUGCGGACGUCCGUAUCUGAAAUGGACUGAUGCUUUUAACAUGUAUGAUAACAUAAAUUUUAUGUCAAAUGAUCGAUAUUAAUCAUAGCUCUCUUAAAUAAAUAAAUAUUUUAAUAAUAUGUAGUAAAAUUAGAAAAUGAAAAUACAUAAGGAAAUUAAUAAAUAAUACAAUAUUUCUUAUUGAAUUGGAAAGUCUAGAGAGAAUAAAUAUAUGGGCCAAUUACACAUAAGUCCACUUUCACACAUUUUUCCCACAUAAGUCCACCAAAACAUUUUUACUCAUAUAAGUCCAUCCAAGUAUAAAUAGAGUUUUAUAUUAAGUAUUAAAGUUCAACAAAAUUAUAAACUGUCAUCUAAUAAAAAAAAUUAGAUUAUCUUUCUCUUAUUUACGAAAAUACCACUACAAUAAAAAGUCAACAACCAGUCUCUCCGGCGAGGUCUCCGACCAACUCCGACAGGUCACCAGUUGACCUCCGGCGAGAUUUUCGGCAGACAAACGGUGAUGAUUUCGAUGACCACAAAAGCUACUACCACCAGCAAGAAAAGAUACUACCGUCAGCAACAAAAGUUACUACCGUCACCAACAAAAGCUACUACUGCCAACAACCUCUAUCUCUAACAAGGAAAGUUAUUACUGUCAACAACAAAAGCUACUACAUGUAGUUAUAAAAACUACUAUCCCCAGCUACAAAAGCUACUAUCGAUAGUAACAAAAGCUACUAUCGAUAGUAACAAAAACUACUAUCGAUAGUAACAAAAGCUACUACCCAACUAUAAACACUACUACCAUCACAAAAAAACCUACUCUCACCACCACCAAAACCUACUACCAUACACAUCAAAAACUACACUCACCUCCACCGAAACCUACUCUCACCACCACCAAAACUUACUUUCACCUCUACCAAAACCUACUUACCAAACACAUCAAAAACUACACUCACCUCCACCGAAACCAACUCUCACCACCACCAAAACUUACUCUCACCUUCACCAAAACCUACUCUCGCCUCUGACGACCUCUUCUGUAGCAACGUCUCCGGCGACCUCCGACAAGAGUCUCCGGCGACUUCUUGUGGCUUCUAAAGAAACGUAGUGGCUGGCUUCGCUGGGUGGUAACCGAGAGCAGAUCGGAGAACAUAAAUCUCCGCUCGUCGCCUCGCACCGGAGUCGAGGUGUCGGUGCAGUUUCUGGAGUCGAGGCGUCGACUUGCUGAGCUAUGGUAUCCGGAUAGGAGUCGAGGCAUCGCCGCGGUCCAACUCCUCCGAAAUCUCCUGUAGGUCGGCAACCGCUCGGAAAACGCGAGUCUCGGGUGAAAGAGUCGGCGGGAGAGGUGCGAUAGAGCUCCGACGACAUUGAAUCGGCAAAGAGGCGGCUUCGUCGAGACAUUUUCGUCGAGAGGUAGGAUGAUGGAUCAGAUCUGGUUUGUAAUAGAGAGAGAGAGAGAGAGAGAGAGAGAGAGAGAGAGAGAGAGAGAGAGAGUUUUUUUUUUAUAUUGAAAAUGGAGAGAAACUGAUUUGGAAAUGAGAGUAUUUUAGGUACAUCACAAAAAUAAAAAGACAGAUUUGGGUUUAAAAGUGGACUUAUAUAGGUAAAAAUGUUAAUGUGGACUUAUAUGGAAGAAAAUGUUGAGGAAAUGACUUAUAUGAAAUUUUCUAUAAAUAUAUUACUUCUUUUUGUUAUUGUACUUAAUAGUCAUUAUGUAAGAAGACAUAUGUGACAUUCAAUAACUCACAAUAGAGUGAAGUCAACUGAGCAAGUUUGGAGGUCCCAACAGCCGCACUCUAUAGAGGAUGCUUUACAUGAAUUGUUGGAGCCAAAAAAUGUGUUUUUCCUCUAAAAUCGACAUAUUUCUAAUUUUACAUGAGCUGUUGAAGAUACUCUUAAAGUCUUAGUCAUAAGACCUAUUGGUCAUUUCAAUAAUGCAGCUAUAGCCAACUUGGGCAAGAAAAUCAUUACUUAAAUGACAAAUGGUGGGUUCAAACUAUUAAGGCUAAAUAUCUGAGACAUCAUUCAUUUUUCAAUGUUAAGAAGAAAGCAUUUUCCUCUCUAGCCUGGAAAGGCAUUUUAGACUAGGGAGAUCUUAAUCAGAAGGGCAUCAGAUGGACUGUGAGAGAUGGUACGUACAGACAUUACCUUUUGGACCUUCAAUUGGGUAUUUCCUUUUCCUUUUAUUAAUCUCAUAGAUGAUAAUAAUCAUAAUAAUAUAAUUGGAGUGACUUAGUGGCUGAAUACAUUGUCAAUAAAACUUGGAACAUAGAAAAAUUACUCACUGUCCUGGAUAUAAAGAUUGUUGAUCAAAUUUGUGGUAUUCAUAUCCCUAUGAAUGACUCUUUUGUUUGGGGUUGUAGCCUUAAUGGGGAAUUUACAAUUAAGUCAGCAACUUGGAUAGAGAAUCCUGAAGUUAAUCCUCAUGAAUAUUCUUCCUCGCUAAAAAAGUUUAGAAAUCAGAUUUAAUUCCCAAAAUUAAAGUCUAUGAUGAAGGAUUAAUGGUAGAGACAAAGAGAUAGCAAGAGAAUCAUCUUAUUCAUUGAUAGGAGCCCUUUAUAUAGGGAAUUACACAAUACCAAUAUGGUAAGGAUAUGAAUACAUAGAUCUAGUCUAACUACAUAUCCUAUUGGCAUAAGGCCAAGGCACACAUAGAGAAUAUCCUAGAACACUCCCCCUUGUGCCGCNNNNNNNNNNNNNNNNNNNNNNNNNNNNNNNNNNNNNNNNNNNNNNNNNNNNNNNNNNNNNNNNNNNNNNNNNNNNNNNNNNNNNNNNNNNNNNNNNNNNNNNNNNNNNNNNNNNNNNNNNNNNNNNNNNNNNNNNNNNNNNNNNNNNNNNNNNNNNNNNNNNNNNNNNNNNNNNNNNNNNNNNNNNNNNNNNNNNNNNNNNNNNNNNNNNNNNNNNNNNNNNNNNNNNNNNNNNNNNNNNNNNNNNNNNNNNNNNNNNNNNNNNNNNNNNNNNNNNNNNNNNNNNNNNNNNNNNNNNNNNNNNNNNNNNNNNNNNNNNNNNNNNNNNNNNNNNNNNNNNNNNNNNNNNNNNNNNNNNNNNNNNNNNNNNNNNNNNNNNNNNNNNNNNNNNNNNNNNNNNNNNNNNNNNNNNNNNNNNNNNNNNNNNNNNNNNNNNNNNNNNNNNNNNNNNNNNNNNNNNNNNNNNNNNNNNNNNNNNNNNNNNNNNNNNNNNNNNNNNNNNNNNNNNNNNNNNNNNNNNNNNNNNNNNNNNNNNNNNNNNNNNNNNNNNNNNNNNNNNNNNNNNNNNNNNNNNNNNNNNNNNNNNNNNNNNNNNNNNNNNNNNNNNNNNNNNNNNNNNNNNNNNNNNNNNNNNNNNNNNNNNNNNNNNNNNNNNNNNNNNNNNNNNNNNNNNNNNNNNNNNNNNNNNNNNNNNNNNNNNNNNNNNNNNNNNNNNNNNNNNNNNNNNNNNNNNNNNNNNNNNNNNNNNNNNNNNNNNNNNNNNNNNNNNNNNNNNNNNNNNNNNNNNNNNNNNNNNNNNNNNNNNNNNNNNNNNNNNNNNNNNNNNNNNNNNNNNNNNNNNNNNNNNNNNNNNNNNNNNNNNNNNNNNNNNNNNNNNNNNNNNNNNNNNNNNNNNNNNNNNNNNNNNNNNNNNNNNNNNNNNNNNNNNNNNNNNNNNNNNNNNNNNNNNNNNNNNNNNNNNNNNNNNNNNNNNNNNNNNNNNNNNNNNNNNNNNNNNNNNNNNNNNNNNNNNNNNNNNNNNNNNNNNNNNNNNNNNNNNNNNNNNNNNNNNNNNNNNNNNNNNNNNNNNNNNNNNNNNNNNNNNNNNNNNNNNNNNNNNNNNNNNNNNNNNNNNNNNNNNNNNNNNNNNNNNNNNNNNNNNNNNNNNNNNNNNNNNNNNNNNNNNNNNNNNNNNNNNNNNNNNNNNNNNNNNNNNNNNNNNNNNNNNNNNNNNNNNNNNNNNNNNNNNNNNNNNNNNNNNNNNNNNNNNNNNNNNNNNNNNNNNNNNNNNNNNNNNNNNNNNNNNNNNNNNNNNNNNNNNNNNNNNNNNNNNNNNNNNNNNNNNNNNNNNNNNNNNNNNNNNNNNNNNNNNNNNNNNNNNNNNNNNNNNNNNNNNNNNNNNNNNNNNNNNNNNNNNNNNNNNNNNNNNNNNNNNNNNNNNNNNNNNNNNNNNNNNNNNNNNNNNNNNNNNNNNNNNNNNNNNNNNNNNNNNNNNNNNNNNNNNNNNNNNNNNNNNNNNNNNNNNNNNNNNNNNNNNNNNNNNNNNNNNNNNNNNNNNNNNNNNNNNNNNNNNNNNNNNNNNNNNNNNNNNNNNNNNNNNNNNNNNNNNNNNNNNNNNNNNNNNNNNNNNNNNNNNNNNNNNNNNNNNNNNNNNNNNNNNNNNNNNNNNNNNNNNNNNNNNNNNNNNNNNNNNNNNNNNNNNNNNNNNNNNNNNNNNNNNNNNNNNNNNNNNNNNNNNNNNNNNNNNNNNNNNNNNNNNNNNNNNNNNNNNNNNNNNNNNNNNNNNNNNNNNNNNNNNNNNNNNNNNNNNNNNNNNNNNNNNNNNNNNNNNNNNNNNNNNNNNNNNNNNNNNNNNNNNNNNNNNNNNNNNNNNNNNNNNNNNNNNNNNNNNNNNNNNNNNNNNNNNNNNNNNNNNNNNNNNNNNNNNNNNNNNNNNNNNNNNNNNNNNNNNNNNNNNNNNNNNNNNNNNNNNNNNNNNNNNNNNNNNNNNNNNNNNNNNNNNNNNNNNNNNNNNNNNNNNNNNNNNNNNNNNNNNNNNNNNNNNNNNNNNNNNNNNNNNNNNNNNNNNNNNNNNNNNNNNNNNNNNNNNNNNNNNNNNNNNNNNNNNNNNNNNNNNNNNNNNNNNNNNNNNNNNNNNNNNNNNNNNNNNNNNNNNNNNNNNNNNNNNNNNNNNNNNNNNNNNNNNNNNNNNNNNNNNNNNNNNNNNNNNNNNNNNNNNNNNNNNNNNNNNNNNNNNNNNNNNNNNNNNNNNNNNNNNNNNNNNNNNNNNNNNNNNNNNNNNNNNNNNNNNNNNNNNNNNNNNNNNNNNNNNNNNNNNNNNNNNNNNNNNNNNNNNNNNNNNNNNNNNNNNNNNNNNNNNNNNNNNNNNNNNNNNNNNNNNNNNNNNNNNNNNNNNNNNNNNNNNNNNNNNNNNNNNNNNNNNNNNNNNNNNNNNNNNNNNNNNNNNNNNNNNNNNNNNNNNNNNNNNNNNNNNNNNNNNNNNNNNNNNNNNNNNNNNNNNNNNNNNNNNNNNNNNNNNNNNNNNNNNNNNNNNNNNNNNNNNNNNNNNNNNNNNNNNNNNNNNNNNNNNNNNNNNNNNNNNNNNNNNNNNNNNNNNNNNNNNNNNNNNNNNNNNNNNNNNNNNNNNNNNNNNNNNNNNNNNNNNNNNNNNNNNNNNNNNNNNNNNNNNNNNNNNNNNNNNNNNNNNNNNNNNNNNNNNNNNNNNNNNNNNNNNNNNNNNNNNNNNNNNNNNNNNNNNNNNNNNNNNNNNNNNNNNNNNNNNNNNNNNNNNNNNNNNNNNNNNNNNNNNNNNNNNNNNNNNNNNNNNNNNNNNNNNNNNNNNNNNNNNNNNNNNNNNNNNNNNNNNNNNNNNNNNNNNNNNNNNNNNNNNNNNNNNNNNNNNNNNNNNNNNNNNNNNNNNNNNNNNNNNNNNNNNNNNNNNNNNNNNNNNNNNNNNNNNNNNNNNNNNNNNNNNNNNNNNNNNNNNNNNNNNNNNNNNNNNNNNNNNNNNNNNNNNNNNNNNNNNNNNNNNNNNNNNNNNNNNNNNNNNNNNNNNNNNNNNNNNNNNNNNNNNNNNNNNNNNNNNNNNNNNNNNNNNNNNNNNNNNNNNNNNNNNNNNNNNNNNNNNNNNNNNNNNNNNNNNNNNNNNNNNNNNNNNNNNNNNNNNNNNNNNNNNNNNNNNNNNNNNNNNNNNNNNNNNNNNNNNNNNNNNNNNNNNNNNNNNNNNNNNNNNNNNNNNNNNNNNNNNNNNNNNNNNNNNNNNNNNNNNNNNNNNNNNNNNNNNNNNNNNNNNNNNNNNNNNNNNNNNNNNNNNNNNNNNNNNNNNNNNNNNNNNNNNNNNNNNNNNNNNNNNNNNNNNNNNNNNNNNNNNNNNNNNNNNNNNNNNNNNNNNNNNNNNNNNNNNNNNNNNNNNNNNNNNNNNNNNNNNNNNNNNNNNNNNNNNNNNNNNNNNNNNNNNNNNNNNNNNNNNNNNNNNNNNNNNNNNNNNNNNNNNNNNNNNNNNNNNNNNNNNNNNNNNNNNNNNNNNNNNNNNNNNNNNNNNNNNNNNNNNNNNNNNNNNNNNNNNNNNNNNNNNNNNNNNNNNNNNNNNNNNNNNNNNNNNNNNNNNNNNNNNNNNNNNNNNNNNNNNNNNNNNNNNNNNNNNNNNNNNNNNNNNNNNNNNNNNNNNNNNNNNNNNNNNNNNNNNNNNNNNNNNNNNNNNNNNNNNNNNNNNNNNNNNNNNNNNNNNNNNNNNNNNNNNNNNNNNNNNNNNNNNNNNNNNNNNNNNNNNNNNNNNNNNNNNNNNNNNNNNNNNNNNNNNNNNNNNNNNNNNNNNNNNNNNNNNNNNNNNNNNNNNNNNNNNNNNNNNNNNNNNNNNNNNNNNNNNNNNNNNNNNNNNNNNNNNNNNNNNNNNNNNNNNNNNNNNNNNNNNNNNNNNNNNNNNNNNNNNNNNNNNNNNNNNNNNNNNNNNNNNNNNNNNNNNNNNNNNNNNNNNNNNNNNNNNNNNNNNNNNNNNNNNNNNNNNNNNNNNNNNNNNNNNNNNNNNNNNNNNNNNNNNNNNNNNNNNNNNNNNNNNNNNNNNNNNNNNNNNNNNNNNNNNNNNNNNNNNNNNNNNNNNNNNNNNNNNNNNNNNNNNNNNNNNNNNNNNNNNNNNNNNNNNNNNNNNNNNNNNNNNNNNNNNNNNNNNNNNNNNNNNNNNNNNNNNNNNNNNNNNNNNNNNNNNNNNNNNNNNNNNNNNNNNNNNNNNNNNNNNNNNNNNNNNNNNNNNNNNNNNNNNNNNNNNNNNNNNNNNNNNNNNNNNNNNNNNNNNNNNNNNNNNNNNNNNNNNNNNNNNNNNNNNNNNNNNNNNNNNNNNNNNNNNNNNNNNNNNNNNNNNNNNNNNNNNNNNNNNNNNNNNNNNNNNNNNNNNNNNNNNNNNNNNNNNNNNNNNNNNNNNNNNNNNNNNNNNNNNNNNNNNNNNNNNNNNNNNNNNNNNNNNNNNNNNNNNNNNNNNNNNNNNNNNNNNNNNNNNNNNNNNNNNNNNNNNNNNNNNNNNNNNNNNNNNNNNNNNNNNNNNNNNNNNNNNNNNNNNNNNNNNNNNNNNNNNNNNNNNNNNNNNNNNNNNNNNNNNNNNNNNNNNNNNNNNNNNNNNNNNNNNNNNNNNNNNNNNNNNNNNNNNNNNNNNNNNNNNNNNNNNNNNNNNNNNNNNNNNNNNNNNNNNNNNNNNNNNNNNNNNNNNNNNNNNNNNNNNNNNNNNNNNNNNNNNNNNNNNNNNNNNNNNNNNNNNNNNNNNNNNNNNNNNNNNNNNNNNNNNNNNNNNNNNNNNNNNNNNNNNNNNNNNNNNNNNNNNNNNNNNNNNNNNNNNNNNNNNNNNNNUCCAUACCUUUUUGUAUGUAUUCACAAUUUAAAGGAGCUUGACAAUCUUGAACCAGUGAUCCGAAGAUCCACAACGGUUGCAUUAAUGUCAUGAGCUGACGUGAGUAGUUUUGACAAAAUAGUGUCUAGACCGGGAGUGUCGCUAUUAGAGCCGGGAACACCUCCCCCUCUUUUCUAGACAUCGGCACGACGUUUUCUGCCGUUGCCAUGACCCAUAUUGUUGUCUCCACAUUAGGGGAUAAUCCCAAAUAAGUUUAUCACAUUAGCGUAUAUACAAUUCUCGUUUGUAUGAUCAAAAUCAAGUCUUGUUGGUAAUUCCACACCAACUUGGAGGACCUAGAGAACUUGAUGAUGAUCAAAUCCGCUAAAGAUUAUGGAUCAUGAUGCCACAAAAGAUCAUCGACAAUAUGUAGUCAAUUAAGGUGGUAAGCAAUCCACUUGACUAAUAACUCAACAAGUAGAGUUAUAUGAACGUUUCGAGAAAUGCUCCAUGAGUGCAUUCCACAGUACUUUGUGGUCAUUACUUUUUGCACAGGUUGUCAUUGAAGGUUUUUGUCGAUGUGGCGCUUCAAAAACUUUGAGCGCAUGAGAUGUGAAAUCUCGGCAUCUAGGCUUGUUAGCCUGGGGGUCAAAACAUGUGGUUUAAUCCUUUCCAAUGAAAGGUUCCACAGAUACCAAGCGAUGAUCCGCCUUAAGCAUCUAGUACGUCAAAACUCAAAGGAGCAGAAUGUUACAUUGCUCUUGCAUACAAAACCAAGCUGUUAUGAGACUCGAUAGAGGUCACAAACGAUGCUUUUAAUGGUUUGUCCUUCGGAUUGAUCAUACACAAUCCGGAAAAGCCGCGAAUUGAUCAAACACAAUUCGGAAAAAAGGACCUCGGAUUGAUCAAACACAAUCCGGUGAAAGGUCGGGGUUGAUCAAACACAACCCGGACAAAGAAACAAGAGUGAUCCAACAUACUCUUGACCCGCGAAUAAAAAUUCCGGGAUUUUUGGUACCUGCACACACAAAAUCCCAAGCAUAGAAUGGAGAUGGAGAAGGGGAGGAAAAGGAUUUUAUCCUCCCCGAGUUAUUGAACUUGAAGAGUUNNNNNNNNNNNNNNNNNNNNCCGUAUUUUAGGGUUUUUGGUUUUUAAGGGUUUGGAAAAAAAAUGGUGGGCUAUUGGCUCUAGGGUUAGAACAAAGUGCAUGAUAACGUGAUGAAGGAUUAAUGGUAGAGACAAAGAGAUAGCAAGAGAAUCAUCUUAUUCAUUGAUAGGAGCCCUUUAUAUAGGGAAUUACACAAUACCAAUAUGGUAAGGAUAUGAAUACAUAGAUCUAGUCUAACUACAUAUCCUAUUGGCAUAAGGCCAAGACACACAUAGAGAAUAUCCUAGAACAGUCUAUAAAUAAUUGGCUCCUUUUAAGGGGCAAAUUAAAGACUAGAAGAACCGUCGAUGCAUCGCUGCUCCACCACCACAAUCACCAUAGCUCCCUCACCAACAUUAGACCCUCGAGAAGCUACCGUUCGCUUGUGCCGCCGAAAAACCAUCCACACUCUAAACCGGAGUUGAAUAAUUAGAAGCACCGUAGAAAAACCGUCCCACAUCGCCAAUCAAAGUACCAAUCUGAAUUACCCAUCAAGUACAGGCCCUCCGACCGCCACACAAGCCACUAGCACAACCCAUCAAACAUCCAAUCCCGAUAAAAUCCGAGCCAUGGCCGCCCACAUACCUUUAUGUAGUCCCCGUCUCGUAAUGAUAGAGAAGGAGAACGACCCUUUCUAAUCCUAAUCUGCAAGCCCAGCCGAUCCAAUGAUUAGAAUUCUUAUCCAACCACGCCCAACAUACGCCGGCACGGUCAUAGACCGACACUAGCACCCUGGCUCAGCCGAACGAGAGAGGAGUAAUUUUUUUUCAAAACCUUAGUACCGACGUUUACGGAAUAACCUUUGAUAGAGUUUCAGGAUGAGUAAAAAACCACUGAAAUAAAUAAAAAAUGCAUCAUGACUAUACCAAUAAUUUGACAUUCAUAAGGUUUUGAAGAGAUUUAUUUCAAUUAUGUUUCCGGUAACUACACUAAAAAUGAAUUGCUUAACAUAGGAUCACACACGCUUAUAAUUAAGAUUUUUCCACCUUAAAAAGAAAAAAGAAACAGAUACGAAGAUUCAUAGAAAUGCAUUUUUAUUUGAGAAAGAGAUAAAAUUAUUCUAAGCUUAGAUAUAGAUCCGAUAUAAAUAUGCCUCUUCGCGUUGAUAGAGAUUUGAAAAGGGGGAUUGAUAGCUGAGUGUUAGGUAGAUCAUACAGAUGCAUGACGAGUGUGUUCUUAUUUCGUCUAGUUAACGCAGUUAGUUUGGUAGGAGAAGACAGUGUGCCCCAUGCCGAAUUACGCAAAUGCCCUUAACCGCAUAUUGUAACCGAAUGUGCGUCCAGAGAUGCUCCCGUGUCCUUUUUGCGGCUCUGCCCUUUUCCAACUCCCAAACCAAAUUCCCCAUCUUCCAGUCAGUUUACUGAUGACGUGGCAUUAUGAAAUCAGCCUCUUCCCCAGAUUGCCCUCUUUUGUUGUUUUCGUGAUUACGUUAUUGCCCUUCAGCUUGGUGAUUCUACGUCAGGGUUUUGGUGCUCCUCUGUCGUCAAUCUCGAUCAAACCUAAAUUAAGGUUUGCAAUGCAUGUUUUUUAUUGCUCCAUAUUCUGAUCAACUUGAGGAUUGAAAAUGAAAGGGUUUCUUCAGGUUCUAUUUGGAUCUUUCAUCUCCUAUAAUUUUCUAUGUCAUAGAAAACCAUGUCCCUGGUUGUGUAAUGGAGAGAAUAAGUCAGAGAACUUAGCUAGGACUACUUUGGUAUCCAUGGUUUUGUAAUAGUAAAACUUUGAACUACCUUGGCCACCAACAGAAAAGGGUACGGGUUUUUCACUUUGUCAUGCUCAUAGUCUCAUACGUUUUUGAAAUGUUUCAUCAGAAUUCUAGAAGAUUCAAAACUGUCUAGACAAGAAAAAACAUAAUAAUAUUGUAAAUUUCUAUAUAUUUCAUGUUUGAAUACUGUUGGUGGGUUGAUGAAUUAGGAUCGAAGUAUCGAACCUAAAUGACUUGUACGUAGUAUAAAGAGAUUAAUACCCUUCUAUUAUUUGAUUAAGCUUUUGGUGUUUUCCAAGAGAUCGCAUGCGAAACUCCAACGUUUUUGUUAUUAAUUUUAAAAAGUUAGAUCAAAUAGAUAGACAAACUAGACUGUCUAACUAUGUUUGAUUAAAUACAUAACAAAGAAAACUUAGAACCAUUUAUGUCUAUACCACCAAUCUAGUUGCAUGCAUAUCUAUAAGUGAUGCCUGGCCUUCAUGAAAACCUCAAAAUUGCAUAGUUUAAUGGUCGAAAUAUAAUCCCCACAAUUAAUCAAACAUGAAAGGCAGUAGAAAGGCCUUUCAUGCUUGGCUAUAUAUAUCAUUCUCAUAUUAGUAUGUAAACCACACAACCAAACCAAAAUUGAGGUGAAAAAAACAAAAAUAAAUUAUUAAUGGUUUUUGAAAGUCAACCAUGUACUAUUUUGACGAAUAAUGUAGAGAAAAUAAUGGAUCAGACAAAACAUCUAACAACAUCACAUAGAAAAGAAAAACAAAAGGCUAACAAAUCAAAAAGAUGUAAUUAAUACCAAAAUCUUGAGGCACAAUCUGGUAAUAAAGAAAAUCCUGAUUAUUACCACCUAAUGAAUCUAUGAGCCAACAAGACCCUUCCUUGGUAUGUUUUUCCUUGCCUUUUUGGUCUGAUUUUUCUUGGUUAGCAGGUAAAGCCUUAAAUAAAAUUAAGCGUACGUAGGGGAGCAAAUAAGGUAAUAGAGGAUGGGAGGGAAAUGACGUAACUAACAGAAAAAACACAGGGCAUAUUUGGAAAUUCGAUGGGUGAAAGUACCAGAACCGGAGUCCGCAUAAGUUGGUUGGUUGUAUCGCCAGGGGUGGCCUGGUCCAUUUGGCUUUUUGCCCCCUAUAAAAUCGUUCUGUUGAAGCCCACGCCUUCUCUAUAGUGCUACUACUAACUUUCCACCAAACCACAGUACCAACCAAUUCCAAUUCUCUCACUACUCAUGGAUUCCGACUACGGCAUUCCCCGGGAGCUCUCCGCCGUCCAGAAGCUCCGAUCUCAAUACCAGCCGGACCUUCCUCCUUGCCUCCAGGUCCAUCUCCGCUCUUUCUCUCUCUUUUUCAAUCCUGUUUUCGUCGUUUUGAUCUUGAUUCUAGUGUUUCUCGGUGUUGUUUUUUUCUAUUUGAAUUUCAGAUCCGGUUACGAUUGGAUCUGUUGUGUAUCUAGGAACGUAGAAGUUUGAUGGAAACUGUGUGAUUGAAUUUGAAUCUGUGGUUUACUAUGUGUUUUGAUUUUUGGAUGUGAUAUUUGUUUCGUGAAAUAAGUCUGCUGCAUUGCGUAUGGAUUUACUUUGAGUGUUGCGAAAAUCACUGUUGUAUGUUUGAAUUUAUAGUAGGAUGGUUCUACUGUUCUACAGUGUCUACCUAACAUUAUAAGAGCCGAAAAUGAAAAGGUUUUGGUUCUAUGAAAGCAUGAAUAAGGAUUCAAGUCCACGGCGUCAUAAUAUUUACAUGAGAUUCGCAUGCUUCAUUUAGUGUAAUAUUUCGGAAGAUUUAUUGAAUUCCUACGCAAAAGUUGAGUGUAUUUGUUAUGCAAUCUUCAAAUGUUUUGAGGAUUUUCCAGUUUUGUUGCAUGAAGUUUUUUGUUAUGUUUAUAUUUUUAGGCGUGAUGAGAUAAAAUGUAAUUGAAUCUGGUGCACCUUUUGUUCUAUCGUGCUGAAGUUUUAUACUGAGAUUGUGUGUAAGUAUCAUUUUGCAGGGAACUACUGUAAGAGUUGAAUUUGGGGACACAACCACAGCGGCAGACCCCACAGAUGCCAAUACCAUUAGCCGAUACUUUCCAAACACUUAUGGUCAGCCUUUGGCUCACUUUCUGAGGGCAACUGCAAAAGUUGCUGGUGCUCAGGUUAUUUCAGAGCAUCCGGCUAUGAGGUAUGUGCACAUGUUGCAUUUUACCAGUACUGAUAUUCAUUUUUUAUUUUUCGCUGUGAAUGGGUACAUGACCGCCUCUCUUGGAGAUCUAUCAGUUUUAUUGCAUACUAAUGCACUAAUAUGGUGGUGUUUAAGUCUAAUUAUUUUGUUUGAUCCAUUUCAAUCGAUGCUAAUAUUGAAUUAUUUUGUUUUAACAGGGUUGGAAUUGUCUUUUGUGGGAGACAAUCUCCUGGAGGACACAAUGUCAUCUGGGGACUUCUCAAGGCUCUCAAAACUCAUAACCCCAACAGUACCUUACUUGGGUUUUUGGGUAAGCUGUAUUCACUGUUUUGGGUCUUUGUAUUUAGGUUUCUGUUGUUUGCACUUUGUUUUGACAUGUAUUUGUGCUUGUAAAAUAUCUGUUUUCCUCAUCACGGAGAUGGCCCCUACUAAAGAUGAUCCUUUUAUUUGUUAACAGGUGGAUCUGAAGGUUUAUUUGCACAGAAAACUCUUGAGAUAACAGAUGAUGUUCUUGCCACCUACAAAAAUCAAGGUUGGAAGUGAUAGCAUGAAAUUUGACUGCUUUUGGGAUUCUUUUUGUACGCUGAAACUAAAGAGCUAUUUGGUAUUGUUGUGUGUGACCAGGUGGUUAUGAUUUGCUUGGACGGACAAAAGAUCAAAUUAGAACAAAGGAGCAAGUCAACGCUACGUUAACUGCAUGCAAUGCUUUGAAGUUGGCUGGCCUUGUCAUAAUUGGAGGUAAACUUCAUGCCUAAGGUUCUGCUAGUCCAUGCAUAUGCUUAUACACACAUGAGAUAAGUCCUGAUGUUUGAUAUUCUUGAAGGGGUGACAUCAAACACUGAUGCUGCUCAGCUUGCAGAGACAUUCGCAGAAGCAAAAUGCCAGACAAAGGUACUUUGCAACUGAUAUCUGUAACAUAACAUUCUGUUUUCUCAUUUAUGUUGAAACUUGGUACUUCCGAUGCAAUUGUCUGAUUUUUGUACUUGGCACCUUCCAAAUCUUUUGCAGGUGGUUGGAGUUCCUGUCACUAUGAACGGAGAUCUUAAAAACCAGUUUGUGGAAGCUAAUGUUGGUUUUGAUACAGUAUGCAAGGUAUUAGUCAAAUGAUGUGGGCACUUAAGAUAGUUUUUUCAAGUCCCUUUAAGAUAGUUUUUUCUUUUAUGUAGUGUCACUCUGUACAGUAUUGUGCAUUUCUUAAAGUGAUUUGAACAAAUAAGGUUAGGCAGGAGCAUAGUUUUCCAUCACACUGAUUUUAGUCAUAGAAUAACCAUUUGUUCUUGUCUGGCAUUUGUUUUAAUUAGUCCGUGUGAUACAUUUUAUUGAUGUCAUUUGAUAAUUGAAACUUCUGCUCUUUCUUGUACACAGGUCAAUUCCCAGCUCAUCAGCAAUAUGUGCACAGAUGCUCUUUCUGCUGAAAAGGUAUCUUAUUCAUUUGGCCCAAUUUUCUUUCCUAAGUGAGCUUGUCAUUUUGUAAGUCUGUUCUGUGUUCUUAACUGCUUUCAUGUAUAUCUCUAUUCUGUUUCUUUAUGGUGAUCAUGUUUUUUCAUCUAAAUAAACUGAACCUCUGUAUUUCCAGUAUUAUUAUUUCAUUCGACUCAUGGGCCGGAAAGCAUCACAUGUUGCCUUGGAGUGCACCCUUCAAUCUCAUCCAAACUUGGUUAGUAUUAUUUAUUUCUUUUCAUCCUCCAGUGUUCUUAAUUUAUUUCCCAGUAUUAAAUUAUAUGCUUUUUGCAGGUAAUUCUUGGUGAGGAGGUGGCUGCAUCCAAGCUAACGCUUUUUGACAUUGCAACUCGAAUCUGUGAUGCCGUCCAAGACCGUGCCGCACAAGGUUCCUAAUAAGUUUUGUUGCAUUCUUAUCAUUGUUGGGUUUCAUGUUUCUAUCCUAAUUCCUCUUAUCCUGUUCAGACAAGAAUCAUGGUGUCAUCCUAUUACCAGAAGGACUUAUAGAAAGCAUUCCUGAAGUGUAUGCCCUCCUGAAGGUAACUGAACAUAGAUACUUUUCCUCUGUCUUGCUUAUAAAAGUGUACACUUCAUGUCUUCAAUAAUUCUUCCCUUGGUUAUUGUUUUGACCAAGGAACCAUUGAUUAUUAUUAAGUGAUGAUGUUUUUAUGCAAUUACUGAACUUUAUUUCAUGUUUUCUCUCUUGAAAUUUGUAUCCUAAUGUUAUUUAUUAAAUACUGGACAGGAAAUUCAUGGUUUGUAUAGGCAAGGAGUUUCUGCUGAUAAGAUUUUGUCUCAACUCUCACCAUGGGCAUCUGCUUUGUUUGAAUUUUUGCCACAUUUUAUCAAGAAACAGGUUCCAAUUCGCCAUUAUGUUUAAUAAACACCAUCCGUUUAGUAUUAUUGAGGAAUAAUGUGGUUCAUCUUUGUGUAACAGCUGCUUCUUUUGCCUGAAUCAGAUGACUCUGCACAGUUAUCUCAGGUAAUUAACUGCAAAUAUUCCUGGUUUCUUAAUUGAAUACAAACUCAGAUUUUUGAUCAGUUUUUUUUUUCCUUUAUACAGAUUGAGACAGAGAAACUUCUUGCACAUCUUGUGGAGGUGGAGAUGAACAAGCGCCAAGUAUGAUUCCUGCAUAUCUUCUCUCUAUCUCUUUCUCUCUCUCGCCAAAUGUUUUAAAUUCCAUAUAGGCAUUUUUAUAGGUAAAAAGUUAAUCAGUUAAAGAUGGUGAAUCUUCAUGAAAAUGCGGGAUUUUGAGUAACUGUUAGUUCUGAUCUGUCUGGUUUUCAACAGAAAGAAGGCACAUACAAGGGGAAGAAGUUCAAUGCUAUCUGCCACUUUUUCGGUUAUCAGGCUCGGGGGUCUUUACCAUCAAAGUUCGAUUGUGACUAUGCCUAUGUAUGUUGCCUAGGGUCUCUUCAUCACAGCCUAUUUUGUUACAGUAUCCUUCAGUUUAAUAUGAUUUAUGCUCUUGCAGGUUCUUGGGCACAUCUGCUACCACAUGCUUGCAGCUGGUUUGAAUGGUUACAUGGCAACUGUAACUAAUCUGAAAAAUCCUUUGAACAAGUGGCGUUGUGGUGCUACUCCAUUUACGGUAGGUUUUCAUUUUUACUUUAUUAUGUUAUGUUUUCAAUAUUGGCUUUUGUAAAUUAUUUUGCCAGUCCUUUUAAGUACCUCAGUGUUUUAGUGGUCAAGACAUUAACUCUGUUUCAUUUGCGACCAAAUAAUAGGAUUUUAACUCUAUCUGACUGCAUUUGGUUACAUUGAUUUAGGCCAUGAUGUCCGUAAAGCGCUGGUCUCAAAAUCCUGGGUCUGCUGCAUCUAUUGGAAAACCUGGCAUAUUUCCUGCUACCGUAGAUUUGAAAGGCAAAGCAUACGAGUAAGUAAUGUAGAAAGCUUUUCUGCAGGCAUGCUAAUCUGAGGAUAUCCACCCACCCCCUCCCUCACUCUACACUGCUUUUUGACUUUGGUUUCAGGCUAUUGAGGCAAAACGCUACAAAAUUCCUGCUGGAUGAUAUCUACAGAAAUCCAGGGCCUCUCCAAUUUGAAGGUCCUGGUGCCGAUUCCAAGGCUGUAACACUCUGCGUUGAAGACCAGGAUUACAUGGGGCGCAUCAAGAAAUUGCAGGAAUAUCUUGACCAGGUACUCACUACGCUAGACUCAUUUGAGAAACUGUAAUCAAUUGCUGGUUUGUUGUGAAUAUUGUAAUCAUUUAUUGACAGUCUUGGAAUUCCUAUAUGUUGGGUUGCAAGUAUGCGUUGCUGUAACUUUUUUGUAGACAUAAUUGCUGUUUAUUAUGUUGGUGUGGCUUCUGUUGGCAUACAUGGUUAGUUUUGAUGGAUUUUCCCCGUUUCUUUUCAGAUUCGAACCAUUGUGAAGCCUGGAUGCUCACAGGAGGUUCUGAAAGCAGCAUUGAGCGUCAUGGGCUCCGUAUCAGAAGUCCUAACCGUUAUGUCUUCAUCUUCAUUGAAUGCCCCGUCAUCUCUUUAAGAGCAUUUUUCUUGUUCUUCGAUCAAGCUGCUGUACAGGGAGAGUGCUAAAUGUUUCACAUCUCCCAUGUCUCAUAUGAGGAACUAUAGGUUUGGAAGUGUCAAAUUAUGGCAAUAAUUAGAUUUGGAAUUUUUCCCCUUUUGAUUUAACACUGUUAAAAAUAAUCGAGUUAUAUUAAAUUUUGGCACAGAUGAAACGAUUUUUGUGAUAAUAAGGUGAUAUGGUCUUUUUCUUCUCUGGUCUUUUUCUUCUUUCAUAACAUGCAGUCAUGAAAUUAUAUUUGAACUUUUUUUUAUCUGGACAAUUUAGUGAUGAUUGCCAAGUACCAAACUAUAAUGAAAUAUAAAUUCAUUGAAUAUAUCUUUCAGCUUUACUGCUGCCUCGGUUAGUUCAUUCUCGUUCAGUUUGAACAUUGAAUUUUAAAAAAUAUUUAAUUCAGUUUAACCCAUCCAGAUUUGGGUUAAACAUCAUGUCCUAAUUAUUUCAAUUUAAUCAAGAACACCCUUAAACUUUCUAAUUUCAUCAGUCUUGUACAAUUUCACUCGCUCCGGUCCAAGUUAAACAUAACUUGAACGAUGCGGCCUACGUUAAUGGAUGAAAUUGUCAUUUUAAGCACAUCUUGCCUCUAAAUUACCACAUAUUAUAAAGAUAUGAUUAUGGCAAAAUGUUCAAAUUUUGGAGUCAAAUGUGCUUCAAAUAGUCAAUUUAUCCCCCAAAGUAGACCACAUCAUUAAAAUUAAGAGUUUGGACAAUAACAAGAGAAAUUUGAUACAAUUGAUGAAAUUAGAAAGUUCAAAAUUGUUCUUGAUCAGCCUAGUACCUUUUGGUCUAACGGCAUAGUUUCCUGUUUGUAAGUGAGAGGUUCGACUCACGAAGUUGUAAUAUUUAAGUUGUUUACCUGAUAAAGAUUGUUCUUGAUCAAAUUGAAACAACAAGACUAACAUGAUGUUGGACUCAAACCUAAAUAGGGUAAACUAAAUUUAAUCCUUUUAAAAACGAAGAAAACUUUUGUAAAAUGUUUGAAAAUGAAGACAAUUUAUAAAAACAAAGACAACUUUUUGUUUAGAGUGCGGCUAUUGGGACCUCCAGAUUUACUCAGUAUACCUCCACAUGUUUUGACUUAUUGAAUUAUAAAUAUAACCUCAUACAAAAUGACAAUAAUAGACAUUGACUUUCACAAAAAAAAAAANNNNNNNNNNNNNNNNNNNNUUUAAAUUUUUUUAAAUUUGUUGUCAUUGAAAAAUCGUUCUUACAACUUGAUCAAAUAAUAUAGGUUAAUGACAUUCUAUGCAAAAAAAUAAAAUAAAAUAAAAUAAAAAACAACAACAACAACAAAGAAUUGAGGUUGCAAAAGAGGUUUUCAUGAAAAAAGAGAAGAAGAAAAAAGAAAUCAAGCAAUCGAGGUCUGAAAUAGAUGUUUUCAUGCGAAAAAAAAAAAAUAAAGUGUGGGAGGUUUAGAGAGCGAAUAAGAGGUAUAAUGAGUAAAUUAUUGAAAUAUAUAUGAAUAACAAACCUAAGGUUAUUUUAAGAAUUUGAAAGGAUGUCUAAUGAGCAAAUGCUUAUUUUUAAAAAUAAAAAUAAGGUAUAAAGAGACAGAGAGGUACAAUGAGCAAAUCUGGAGGUCCCAAUAGCCGCACUCUUUUGUUUAUGGUAAACAAGGUUCAUUACCGUUCUUGCUAACUCUUUGUAUAUACGACUGCAUCACCAUAUGAGUGACAAUGUAGACUAUUUUGGUUUGCGGAAAUGAAUUUAAUCCUAAUUCCUCUGUCUUUCCCAUGGAAAGCCUUGAAAGGGUGGAAGAGAAGGUAAAUAAAAUUUCUAAAGAACAUCUCAUUUUGAUGUUUGGUAAUAUAAGAAAAAUUAUCUGAAAAAUUGUUAAAAUUAUUGUAAUUAAUUUGAUAAAAUAAUAUGUUUUGAGUAAUAAAUGUAGUGAAAGAAUGAGGGUUUAGAGGAACCGCUUCUCCCCCAUUUUUCGUUUCUUACCAAACGCCAGAAAUGAACAUUUUUGCUUUGCUAAUACUUAUUUUUCACGAACCAAACGAUGCCAAUAGGUAAUCUCGGUGAGUCAAUGACGAAUAGAUAAAUCUCACCACCACUUGAUCAAGGACUAUGCAGUCAUUUUCUAGCUCUUAAGUUUCGCGAAUCAAAUCUUAAACUCAUUUUUCAUUUCUUUCGGUUUUGAGACCUACUUUCAACUAAAAUUACCAAACACAUUUUGAAAUCUUAAGAAUGUAUUUACAUUGCCAAAUAGGAAUCCUCAUGUUUCACGACCAUGUAUCUCUAAUUUGAUCAUGUUUAUUUAUUUAUUUUUUGAUGAGAAAAAACUAAGAAAAACUAAUUACAAAGAAUAACCCCCUAAAAAAGUAUGAAGAGUAGAGGGAGGUAGACUGUUAUACCAACCAGCAGUAGUUGAGGUGAGUCCGUGAGUAGUAAUUAUCAAGCCAGUAUCUUGAUGUCUUGAACAAUAAUGUAUUUACGCCAUAGAGUAUGAAUCAGUGGAUGAGUAAUUUCGAACAUCUUGAGUAAUCAUUUGGGAGAGGUAAGUAACAAAACCACCCUAGGCUUGAAGAUGGCAGUUGACAAAGCAGCGACGCGUAGCAUCAGAUCACUGCCCCCACUUUAAGAAGAACAAAGUUCCCAUCUUCCUCUCUCACACCCAAAUGUGUUUUCCCCAAAAACCUGAAAACCCUCAAACUCAAACCCCCAAAAUUCCCUCCUCCUUCUCUUUCAACCAAACCUGCUACCUCAUCACCUCCAUUUCUCACACAUUGCCACCACUAAUGCAAAACCCUAACCCACCAACUCCCAAUUCAACUGCGUCGUUUUGGUCAUCUCAAGCUCCUCUGAUUCAGCUCACUCUACGGUCAGUUAUCUUCAUCUGGGUUCUAAUUUCCUUGUUACUUCCGCCUUAAGUUUGAAUUAUCGAAUUUGAUGGAAAUUAUAAUGAUCAGCAUCAUUAUCUUGAUGUAAAUUAUCAUCAGUCAUGGACUAUAAGCCUCUGACCAUUGGCAACGAUGUGGUGGAAUUUGACCUGGGUGGUUCUGGGGAAGAUGACGCUAUUGCCCUCGACUUAGAACACCCUGAUGAUGCUUAUGAUCUUUUCGAAGAAGACGAUUUGGUCCAGCUUGGUUCUCGUUCCACUAGGUUUGGUGAUGAUUUGGGUAAUGGGGACCCCAAUCUUGAGCCUUGUGAGGGCAUGGAAUUCGAUUCGGAACAGGCCUCUCGCAUUUUCUACAAUUCUUAUGCUAGGAGAGUUGGUUUUAGUACCAGGGUCAGUGUGUACCAGAGGUCGCGGCGUGAUGGCUCCAUCAUAUGCCGGCAGAUUGUGUGUUCCCGGGAAGGGUUUCGGCGUGAUGGAGGUGAAAAUAGGUCCAAGAGGCAGCGUACAGUCACUAGAGUCGGUUGCAAGGCGCAGAUGACUGUGAAGAAGCAGAGUUCAGGGAGAUGGGCUGUUUCGAAACUAGUGAAGGAGCAUAACCAUGAGCUUGUGCCGCCGGAUAAGGUGCAUUGUCUCCGUUCGCAUAGGCAUGUGUCUGGUCCUGCUCGGAGUCUGAUUGAUACUCUUCAAGCAGCUGGGAUGGGUCCCAGCGGGGUAAUGUCCGUGCUGAUAAAGGAAUCAGGGGGAGUUAAUAAUGUUGGUUUUACGAAAGUUGAUUGCCAGAAUUACAUGAGCAGUAGCAGGCAGAGGACUCUUGGGAGUGGGGGUCAGCUUGUUUUUGACUAUUUGAAGCGAAUGCAGGAUGAGGAUCCUGGUUUCUUUUGUGCUGUUCAGGGUGAUUUUGAGAACUCAACAGGUAACAUAUUUUGGGCUGAUUCAAAUUCAAGAAUGAACUAUAGUUACUUUGGAGACACUGUUACAUUUGAUACCACGUAUAGAACAAAUCGAUACCGGGUUCCAUUUGCUCCAUUUACUGGGUGGAAUCAUCAUGGACAGCCAGUGUUGUUUGGAUGUGCAUUACUCCUUAAUGAGUCAGAGUCCUCGUUUGUUUGGCUGUUCCAGACUUGGUUAGCUGCUAUGUCUGGCUGCCAACCUGUCUCAAUCACAACAGACCAGGAUAGAAUCAUUAGGGCUGCUGUGAUGCAAGUAUUUCCUGGAACCUGCCACCGCUUUUGUAAAUGGAACGUGUUCAGGGAAGCUCAGGAGAAAUUGUCCCACAUUUAUCAAUCACACCCAACCUUUGAAGCCGAGUUCUUGAGGUGCAUUAAUUUGACAGAGACAAUUGAUGAAUUUGAGAUAUGUUGGGAGUCGCUUAUUAAAAGGUAUGAUCUUGAUAGUAAUGAAUGGCUUCAGUCAAUGUACUAUGCUCGCCAGCAAUGGGUGCCAGUUUUCCUUCGUGAUACAUUUUUUGGGGAGUUGUUUGUAACCCAAGGAAGUGAUAAUAUAAACUCAUACUUUGAUGGCUAUAUAAAUGCAUCAACAAAUAUUCAGGUGCUGAUAAAGCAGUAUGAAAAAGCAAUUGCUACUCGCCAUGAAAAGGAAGUAAAGGCUGAUUAUGAUACAUUGAACAUCUCUCCAGUUCUAAGGACUCCGUCUCCUAUGGAAAAGCAAACUGCAAAACUGUAUACGAGGAUAAUAUUCAUGAAGUUCCAAGAAGAAUUGGUCGAAACGCUUGCUUAUCCGGCAACUGUGGUUGAUGACACAGGAUCAGAAACCAUGUUUCGGGUUGCGAAAUUUGGGGAAGACCACAAAGGGCAUUUUGUUAAGUUCAAUGUUUUUGAGAAGAAAGCUAGUUGUAGCUGCCAAAUGUUUGAGUUUUCAGGUAUUAUUUGCAGGCACAUAUUAGCAGUUUUCAGAGUAACCAAUGUUCUUACACUUCCGUCCCACUAUAUAUUGAAACGUUGGACUAGAAAUGCCAAAAGUGGAGUUCUGUUGGAUGCACAUGCUCUUGGAUUGCCAAAGGAUUCACAUGAUUCUUCUGCUGCUCGGUAUGACAAUCUAAGAAGGGAGGUGACCAAAUAUGUAGAAGAAGGGGCAGAAUCUGAGCGUGUUUAUAAUGUGGCAAUGGACGCUCUUCAUGAAGCUUUAAACAAGGUUGCUGCUGCAAAGAAGCAUGGUCCCGGAGUUGUACAAAGUACUCCAGUGAAAUGCAGUGAGCAGGUUCUGUCUUGUACCAUGGUAAGUUCUUUUCCCAUAAGAAUCUUCUCACUGUUUGGCCUAUGCAUUGCAACAUUUUGUUUUAUGCUUCCAUAUUAUAAUUGUGCUCCAACGGCAACGUGUAUUCUGUUGAGUAUGCAUUAUUGUGUUACACUGUUGGGACUUUCUACUUGUUUAUUUUCUUUCCACGAACUGUCAGUCUGAUCUAAUCAAAUUAAUGUUCUAGACAUCAAUUUCGAGUUUAAUUGGUGUUAAACUAAAAUGUUUAUAGGAAUGUGGAUUUUCAGUUUCAUAACUGAUGUAGAAUACAAUUAUUAAAUUUCGAAAAAAAUCUAUUUUAACCAUUGAUGAUAUUGAAUGUGUAAGGAAUAUAAGAUUAACUACUGAAAGCAUAUAUAAGUACAUUCUCUUAUGUAUUUAGUUUUGAAAGUCAGACAAUUCCAGAAUUAACCAGUUUCAUGGUUAUCGUAUGCUACUGCUUCUUUUCUAGCUUUGCACCUACAUGUUUGCUCUACUAGUUACCGUCCUUUCUUUUGAAUGUUGUAGGAUCAGGACAAGAAAAUUGAGGAAUUGACAGCUGAGUUGGAAAUUGCUAGUCAGCGAUGUGAAGCGUAUCAAGCAAAACUACUUGCUAUUUUGAAGGAUAUGGAAGAGCAGAAGUUAAAAAUAUCAGUGAAUGUUCAGAAUGUAAGGCUAAAUCUCAAAAUGUAGGACCAAGACCAGUUCAAGAGGGCGUUUGACUGCUGGUGCUGGGUUAGCUUUCACCAUCUUUACUCCCCACUUUUAGUUGCUGGGUACUGAUACUGGUAAGAGAAUAUAUUAAGAUAUAGUUUUUUUUUUCCCCUCCUCAUCGGCCUUCGCCUGUUAUUACUUGCAAUGUAAAUUAUGCAGAGCUAUAGUUCUAUGUAACUGUAGAAUAGAUGAUAAAGAUAAGAAUUAACCUUUUGUUCAUCACUUUGUACACACAAAUUCUGUUGUGAGUAAACUCUGAUGUUCUCUUCUGUAACUCAUGAAUUCAGCUUUGAGUUUUACUAUGGCGGUGUUCAAAUACUUGACUGUAACUCUCCUGUAAAUACAAACAACGCCUAAUUGUAAACCUGAAAGCAGCCUUUGGGUUCUUGUAUUUUGGAUCAUAAACACAAUGUCCUAAAAGUAAAGCACACAAACAGAAGCGCAUGUUGAGAUUCAUUUUCAAACGUCUGAAAUAUUAAUACUACCUUCAAGAAAAUUCGAAUAGAAAUUUAGUGUUCGACGGGCCGGCCCAACUUAAUUGGGUGGAGGCCCAAAAUGGUGAAACGGUCCUCUUAUGGAAAUAACCAAAAAAGGGAAAACAGAGAGAAGCAGAGCGCCUGUGGUUCGGACAAUUUGAAUUUCAAAAAAGAGUUGCCGUUGGGGACAUGAGAAUAAUAUCUCACCCCUCUAAACCGUUAUAUAAAUCCACCCUAUAACCCUCUCCUCCCUCACUUCCACAAUCGCCAACUCAAAUUCUAGAGAGAGAAAGAAAGAUCUUAAGAGAGAGAAAAUGGAGGAUCCAGGAGCGACGAUCGCAGCGUCGGCGAUGGACGCGUUCGAGAAACUGGAGAAGGUCGGAGAAGGUACCUACGGGAAGGUCUACAGAGCCAGAGUGAAGGCCACCGGCAAGAUCGUCGCUCUCAAAAAGACUCGUCUCCACGAAGACGAAGAAGGCGUCCCUCCCACUACCCUCCGCGAGGUCUCCAUCCUGCGCAUGCUCUCCCGCGACCCUCACGUCGUCAGGUCGAUUUCUGUUAAAUUAGGGUUUUGAAUUGGGGAUUUUUGGGUUAGGGAUUUGAGAAUAUUGAUUUGAUUUUGAAUCUGAAUAGGUUGAUGGAUGUGAAGCAAGGCACGAACAAGGAAGGCAAGACUGUGCUCUACUUGGUGUUUGAGUACAUGGAGACUGAUGUCAAGAAAUACAUUCGCACUUUUCGUCAGUCUGGACAAUCCAUUCCUGCUCCUAUUGUUAAGGUCUGAUUUCAAUCCUAAAUCUCGGUUUUCCGUUAUGCCUGAUAGUAUUUUGAAGUAUGUAUGGACUUGAAUAUGUUGUGGAUUUGUGGUGAUGCAGAGUCUGAUGUACCAACUGUGCAAAGGUGUGGCCUUCUGCCACGGUCAUGGGAUCUUACACAGGUAAAAUUAGGCUUUGUCGAUUUGAUAGCUCUAGUUUCACUUUGGUAGAGUUGUGUGAGAAAGUCAUCUUGGAUUAGUAGUUUGGUUAAUCUUUCCUUUACCGCGAUUUGCAGGGAUCUUAAGCCUCACAAUCUUCUGAUGGACCCCAAGACUUUGACACUUAAGAUUGCGGAUCUUGGACUGGCUCGUGCUUAUACUCUGCCCAUCAAGAAGUAUACUCAUGAGGUAGUGUAUGCUUCCUCAUUAUCUUUAACUGCUUUGGAUUUCAAGUUACUGUGCUGUCCCAGUAGUGAGGUAGUAGAAAGCAUUCUUACUCAUAUGUGAAAUUGGUGCUUGCAGAUUUUGACCCUUUGGUAUAGGGCACCUGAAGUCCUUCUAGGAUCCACACAUUACUCGACUGCAGUAGAUAUUUGGUCUGUUGGCUGCAUAUUUGGUACAGUUCUAUUUCUCAAGCACUAAUGUUUGGUCUUUGAAAUUUGUAUUCUGCAAUUGCACUAUUGGUUUUAAUAGUAUGUUUUAUUCGGACUUGUAGCUGAACUUGUCACAAAGCAAGCACUCUUCCCUGGGGAUUCUGAACUGCAACAGCUCCUACAUAUAUUCAGGUCGACCGAGACAGCUUCCAGUUCUCUCUUAGUAGUGAUGAUGUGCCUUCAUGCUUGCUUGUUAAUCGUGCUAAUCGUUUGUUUUUUUGUGAUUGUAGGUUGUUGGGUACUCCCAAUGAAACCAUGUGGCCAGGUGUAAGCAAGCUCAUGAACUGGCAUGAGUACCCCCAGUGGAGCCCUCAGCGUUUGUCCAAGGCUGUUCCAAAUUUGGAUGCCGAUGGGUUGCAUCUGUUGUCGGUAUGUUGAUCUACCCGGUUGUUUUUACUUGGUAUUGUUUGUUGUUAAUCUCCACGUUAAUAAUACAUGCUCGAAAUGUUUACAGGAAAUGUUGCAAUAUGAGCCUGGAAAACGCAUUUCAGCAAAGAAGGCCAUGGAACACCCUUACUUUGAUGAUUUGAACAAGGCUGGUCUGUGAAAAGCAAAAUGAAGAAGCAUAUGACAGAAUCACUACAUGUGGAAUUUGGAUGGAUUCUUGGAUUUGAUAUUGGAUGCUAGCUAACGAUGUUCUGUAGUGAACUUUCUUUGCUUUCCUCAAGCAUAUUUGUGUUGAAUCUAUCCUAGGAUUGAUUUGUAAAAGCGUAUUGCUACUUUGCAUUUAAUUCAGAACCUAAUUACAACACUUGUAGUUGCCCCUCUGUUGCUUAAAGUUCAGAAAAUUUGAAUGUGAUGAAUCAAUCUCCUACAGUUCUCUAUCAGAUCCGAGAUGAAUGAUAUAAAUUUUACUAGGAUGUUUUGUAGCUGUUUCACUAUAGCCUGGCCACAAACCACAUGAAGAAGGCAGACCAUAAAGUAAGUGACACUGAUGCAAAGACAUAAGUCCACAGCAGGAUUACUGAACAUUCGCUUUCUCCUGCUCCAAACAAUUGGGUGAUGGUUCCUGCCAUUUACAUAAGGAGUAAGGAGAUGAUUAAUCGUCUUGUUAACAAACUGUCUGAGGCUGACAAUGGGAUACACCAGUUGCAAAUAGCAACAAAAAGUUGCUAAAAUUGAAGAACUCUUGCAAGUGAAUCAACAAGGGAUAGAAACAAAAAAAAAAAAAAAAAAAAUAACAAUAAGGGUUACCUAUGUUCAUUGCAGGUGGAAGUGUAUACUGAAUCAGAAGAACAAAUAGAUACAAUGGAUCGGAGUGCACUAAGCCAAAUUUUAGCGCCCCUUUAAUGAUCAAUAUGCCUGUAAGAGGCAGGAACACAUAACGAACAAAGAUGAUCCCAACAACAAUAGAUUUCUGUAUCCCUGACCCUCUCAAACCUGAAAGAACAAUGAGAACAAAGUUAAACACCAUUACCUCAUGCAUGAAAUGUAGACUUAUUAUCUGCCUAUCUGGCAUGUGUACCUUUAAGGAGGUUUCCUCCAAUUAUCAAAGUAAGAGCGGGGAUAGCUCCAUCUCUGCAAUCAUGAACAGAGAAGUUAUAAAACCAAGUGGUAAUACAAACAAUAGUUUUUAGGUUCUUAUUGAUGUGAUUGGACUUUAAUAAAGUCAUUAUGCACGACAGUAGAAGAAAACAUCGUCUCUAGAAUCAUGUAACAUAAUCUAGGAGCAAUAAUUAAGUUCAAAUUCCAGGGAUAAAUCACAGAGUUGGUACAGUUUCUGUAUAAGUUAUAUACCCCAACAAGUUAGUAGUGUCUUGGAUCACCCGUAGAGGAGCACCAUCUCCUAUCAUUAGAUUACGAAUCUGAGGGAUGACUCCAAUUGCAAAUCCGACAAUCUUUACCAAAGAAUAAAAACAUAAGUGAGUCACAUUUCACCAAAUUACUGCUCAUUUAGCAACAAAGUAUUUGAAACACGGCAAAAGACAGUGCUGAAAGGCCAUACUGCUCCAAUAGUUGAAGGGGCAAAUAUCGUUUUCAGAUUAAGCAUUUGACACAUUCUCACUAUGCAGUUUUUGGAUUUACUUGGAGGCUCUAUCUGCAUGACAAACGACAGUAAUACGCCACGUCAGAAAUCAGCUAAAUGUCACAUUGCCAAUAUCAUGUAAUUUAUCAAACUAUCAAUAUGAACUGUACAUCCAAACUUUAUCAGCUGAUGGAUUAGUAGUCUAGAUUAAUAGUCUCGUAACAUAACAUGCGAGACUAUUUGGCAACAGAACAAUUUGUUCAUCACUGAACAGACUGGAUGAUAUUGAAGUACAUAAACACAAUCAGAGAGCGUCAACUAAUGCAACUUAAUGAUCAAGUGUAGAACCUUAGAGUCUUGUUGAGAUAUAGUGCAGGGCAGGGCAUACUGAUCGGCAUUGUCCUCCAGUAUCCCAUAUUCCUUGGAAGAAAGCAGAGGCUCAGUGAAACUCGCUUGGUUUGAUUCAGAGGGUUCCUCCAAAGACUGGGGUAAGUCUUGGGUAGUCCUCUUUGAAGAUAUCCUCACAAUGUUAUACACAUAGGACCAUAUAUAAAUGGCUCCAGUCUGAAGAACAAAAGACACACAAGAUAAAGCAUAAAGAAACACCAUACUAAUGAGAUCGAAGAAGAUGACAAAGAUGAAGAGUACUACUUACUGCCAUUGAAAGUGAUGCAUAAGCCAUUCCAUAAGUGUGACAGACAUCAGGAGCUCCAAAUGGGCUUCCCUUCUCUUUACAAACUGCUGGGAUUAUAAUGAGGAGCAAGUUCCCCAAAUUUCCUGAUCACAUCAAAUCAGGUACUAACUUCAGAAAUCAUUAAUACGAAUUAAGACUGCCAAAUCCGAAAGAAAAUUCGAAAGUACCAGCAGCACAGCAACCCAAAAUGAGGCCUCUGAGAUGUGGAGGUGGUCUUGCUAAUUGGAUGAGUAUCCAUCCAAGUAGAGAACCAACAAGAAAUGUGACUAAGAUGUUCACAGGCAUAAACCACCUAUAUAAAUACACACAUACACAGUCAUAUUCACCAUACUUCAUACAUUAAUCAAUGUAAGUUUUGAACAUAACCAAGCAAAGGAUUUGAACUCACAGUUUAAUCAUACUGUCAUAUGUAAUAGUCUGGGCAAGGUUAGUUCCCACCAAGGCAGGACUGAAUACAUAAAAUACAACCUGGUCACAAACACACAAAUUGUAUCAUAUACAAAAUUAUCCAUGGAAAAUCCACAAUUCCACAUAAUCCCAUUACCAAAAGUAUAGUUCUUUUUAUAAGGAAAGAAAAGCUUACUGUAUUCAAGUUCUUCCUGGUUUCUUCCCCAAGAAUAUUAAUUCGCUCAAGUGCAAGAUAGGAUCCAAGUGCAGUGAUGAAGAGCACCUUCAAGACCGGAAUCGAGGCGGUGAUGAAGAGCUGCAAAACCGCCAUUCUUGAUACUAACAAGCUCUUCACCACUCACCCAGAAAUCAAAAUGAGCUUCAAUUACCUAGCUGCCUCCUAUCCUUUAAUGAAACAUAUACAUGGACUUUUUCAGAAAUUUCAGGUCUACAAGAACCCUCUGAAGAUAUGAUGAAGAGGAAGAAGCUGAAAAUCUGGGAAAGCAAAUAAGGUAAGGAGCAAGUGAGAAAUUGCAUUUAGUAUUAUUGACUCCACACAGUGAAUGUCACAAUGAAUGUGAAUGAUGGAGAUCGAUGAUUGACAUGGGUUUUUCUUUCUUUUUUCUAUUCGAUUACAAAGGAUUGCAUGACUUGCGUCACGUGUUUGUUUUUUCUGGGAAUCUCCGAUAAGGACAAGUAAUGUUUGAGUACAAAUUUGCUUUCUGUUUUUGCGGUUGUCUCAUGCAUGCAAGCCACUUUCCAUUUCCAUGGUGAAAGGUAGGGCUGGGCACUUAGUACCGGAAUCCCGAUUCUGUACCGGUUCUGUCUUGAAAGUUAACGGGACGGGACGAGAUAGGUUUUGAAAAUAGCAAUUCCGUCCCUUCUCGUCCCGUUCCGUCCCGUUUUAACAUUACCAUAACGGGACGGGACGGGACGGGACUAUCCCGAAAAAUCUCGUCCCGUCCUGUAAUAUUAGAAUACUUGAUUUUAUUCAUUUUAUAUUUGAUUUUUUAGGUUGCAUGGUGUUACAAUGCACUCAACCACACUUAAUUUAGUCUAAAAUAAUACUUUUAAUUUAAUUCAUGUUCUUUUUUUUGCUUGUGUGAUUUUAGAUAUUUUUAGUUGUUGUUUGAGGGUUAAUUUUUAAUGUGGGAUGUUUAGUACUUUUAAAGUGGGAUGUAAUUUAGCACCUAUGCACCUAUGUUCUUGUUGAUUUUAGUACUUCUAAUUUCAUCAAUGUUCUUUUUUUUUGUUUAUGUGUUUUUGGAUAUUUUUUUUCCAUUAAUUUCAUUAAUGUUGUUCCAAACAGCAUAAAAAUGUCAAAAAUUUCAUACACUGAUCAAUUGUGGUGGAGCAUUUGAAUGCUUGGAGUUUCUCAACCCGUUUUUCCACCUGUGGUGAUGUUUGAUAAUCAAUUAAUUUAUUCUUGAAAAAAAAAAAAAAUUUGUCGGGAUCCCGAUCCCGUCCCGGUCCCGUCCCUAUCCCGAUCGGGACGUACGGGACAGAUUUUUAAAAACACAUUCCCGUCCCGUCCCGUCCCGUCCUGUGCCCAGCCCUAGUGAAAGGAGAAACUUGAAAAUUGAAAGAUGAUCCCUACACCAUGUCAUCGCUACCAAACUAUGAGGCAAUGACAACAACGUCCCUCCCAAUUCUAGUCGAGUGGUUGCUUGUCGUGCGGUACUAUUGUUGUAGUAGUGAAAUUACAUUUUGUGAUAUUUUGCGCCUUCUAAUGAAAUACAUAAAUAAGAGAUUCAUAAUCAUGUGAAAUUGUAAAACUAAACUAUAUCAUGAUAAGUAAAUGGUAUCAUUUUUAUUUUUUAUUUUUUAAAUGGUAUCAUUUUAUUGAGGAUGUGAAACCUUCAAUUCAUAAUAAUAGGCACAACGGAAUUCACAAGGAUAAAUUAAUAUGAAAAAGAAGAAGAAUAUUGGAGGAUGUGAAACCUCCAAUUCACUCUAUUGUAUUUAUGAAAAUGGUAAAAUAUUGUAUAGUCUUUGUGGUUUAAAGUCGAUAUUUGUUUAGUCCUUAUGGUUUUAUUUUAAUCUAAAUAGUCCUUAAAGUCACAAUUUUUCAUCCAAAUAGUCCUUAUGAUUUUAUUUUAAUCUGAAUAGUCCUUAAAGUUAUGAUUUUUCAUCCAAAUAGUCUUUAUAGCAUUUAACUGAGAAAAUUGUCGAAAUGAUUAUUUAGAUAAAAAAUCAUGACUUUAAGAAUUAUUCAAAUUAAAAUAAAACCAUAAGGACUAUUUGAAUAAAAAAUUGUGACUUUAAAGACUAUUCAGAUUAAAAUAAAACCACAAGGACUAAAUAGAUAUCGACUUCAAACCAUAAGGACUAAAUAAAUUUUAAUUCUUAUGAAAAAGAAAGAAGAAUAUAAUACAACCUAGGCAUAUAGUCGUGAUAAUAACUAAUUUGGAGGAUCUUCAUUUUUUUUUUCCUACACUCCCAUCGCCAUUCUUCAUGAGGAUGAGUUCUUUUCCUUCUAUUUCAUCAUUUUGUCACACAACUUGAUUACAAAUAGAGACAAAUAUCCUAUGCAAGGCAGCCGACGAAAUAGACUCAUAAUAUAAGCAGAAUCUGAUUCAAUAACAUAAAGACAAUUGUUGUCAUUGCACUACAACAAGCAAGUCAAAGUUGAAUCAGCUGCCCAGAUAGAUAGCUCCAUGGAGAUUUUCAAAGCAAAAGGCCAAAGCUCAGAGGGGCUCAUGAAAGCAAACAACAAUCCUAUGAAGAGAGCAAGAGACGUACUCGUCUAGAGUUGUGGCUCUGUUUGUUCAAUGUUUCAUCCAACUAUUUAUUCUAUAUGAGGAAAAGAGAGACUUGAGCACCUCCACCAUUCAUUUGUUUAGUAAUCAUUCACCCCUAUAUCGGUAAUCUCACAUAACCCCACAAGCAAGCUGCCAGACUACCAGUCAGUCAGUCGGUUUGAUUUGAAAGUGGGCUUCCCGACUAUGGCGACUUAUGAACAUAUAGAUUAAGGCAGAGAAAUAACUUUUAUGUGGAGAAGACUACUUUACACCAAUCGUUAAUAUGUUAAUACGUGAAGCCGCCCAUCAUGUGGUCUUUGCGGCAAAGUCUAUCCUCUGGAGCAGAUGAUGCAGUGGUUUAAUUUAAUGGUUAGAUUAAAACAUGGAUCAAAAGCAUCAUCCACCGGGUUGAAAUUAAGCUGGGUCUAUGUAAGACUCAGCAGACCCGACUAAGAGCUGGGUUAAAGAUUAACCCUCGUCUUACCCCAAACUAAUUUUUGCACAGGACCCACAACUAUUUCAAUCAGUAGCAAAUGUACCACUCGCACAUUGGGAGAGAGCCCAAUUGUACAUAAAAGACAUCAGAUAUAUCUCAACUGAUGUUUAACAAAGGCUGUUUAAAUGGAUAUCUAAAGGAUCAUAUCUAAAAGAUAAACAUAUAAUUUUUUUUUCUUUCCAAACUAAUAAAAAAAUGAAUAGUAAUCAGUCCUAUUAUCAAUCCCGUUGUUGUAUUAUCAAUCCAAAGACCAAAGACUAAUUUAGAUUAAUAGUGUAUUAACCCGGGUUAAAAACUAAUCCAACCCUCCCAAAAUGGACACAUUUGCUCUUAUAAAUGGAAGGUUAUGAGUUCAACUCACAAAAAUACAAGUUGUAACAUUUGAGUUGUUUACCUACAAUACAACACAUCCACAUUCUAAAACAUAAAUCUACUCUUUAUGAGAAUUUCCUUAAUGUCCACAAAGAUUGAUGUUCAUUUGCCAGUAUACCAUCAAAUAAGUAUUCCACGUAAAAAAAACUCAUCGAAUGCAAGUAAAUUCUUUGGUCCAUUCAUAAUUUUUUCUCAGAUAGUCAGACGAUAAGAGCCAUAGAGGCAAGUAAUUGAUCUAUAUCUUCAUGAUUUUAUCUCAUUCACUAAUAAAUAAUUCACGUUAUUUUAUUGUUACUUUUUCAUAAAUCAUCUAUUUCUUUCGCUCUCCAUCUUCACUGAAAAACAUUCGUCAGAAAUUUCUGGCUACAAACACUUUAUUGAAGGGUUGUGACUGGUGAACGAAAACAAGUAGGUGACAGCAACAUUUAGGAAGGAUUCCUAACCUGUACUUCGUUAGCUGUAUGCAUUGUAGAAUCUAAUAGCCAUCUCCCUAACAUGAAAGCACAGGAGCCCCAAUUCAACAAGCUCCAAAAAUCCCACCUUCUAUCAUUGAACUCAUCGAUCACAAUUGUACGAGAAGAAGCAAAACAAAGAAAGGGAAUUCCCUUCAUUCCAAUACCACAGUAGCACCCAACUCCUUGAGCUUGUCAACAAUGGACCCUGCCUCCUCUUUGGUGACACCCUUUUUCAGCACAACUGGAGCCUUUUCCACCAAGUCUUUAGCGUCCUUUAGUCCCAAAUCCGUGAAAGUCCUAACCUCCUUUAUGAUCUUGAUCUUUGCAGAUGCGUCAAACUUCUCAAGCUUUAUGUCAAAUGCGGUCUUCUCCACAACCUUGGAGUCUGCGGAGGCAGACCCAGAUUCAGAAGAUGUUGGGUCUAUCCCUGAGACUGCUGGUCCAUAUUGGUUGAGGCCCAUUUUUAGCCUGAAGAGGAUGGAGUAGUCUUGCCUCUCAAUCUUUGUGAGGUCCAAGAGGUCUUCAGCAAUGCGCUCAAGAUUCUUGGACUGAGACUUGCUUUCUCCAGUAGCUGUGUAGAGGGUGCGAGAAAGACUGCAUGUGGCAGGUCUGGAUUGGGACCUGCAGGAAACAUUUGUCGUUAAGGACAUUGUGGAAAGCUAAAGGGGUUGGGUUUUUCUGUAACAGAGAUUCAUUACCUAGCUGGACUAGAAGACUAUCAUGACUAAAGAAAAAGAUGACAAUCAUUACAUUUCCUGAGAAUCAAGUAGUUCAGUUUCCAAAUUGAAACUUCAUGAUAGAGGCUCAAUUAUAUCAACAGACCAACGGUAUAUGUAUAUUGACAUUCAUGGCCUAUCACCAAUGUAUACAUAGGUAUUCAAGACAUCAUCACAACAUGUAAGUUGCUUGUACAAAUCAUAUUCAUUAUACAGAACAAACCCAUCUACUGCUACUAAACAGAAUACCAGUGAACCAAAAAGAAAAUUCGAAUUCACCAAAAAAGCAACAAUAGUAAAAAUUACAAUGAACAGAAAAGAAAGGGAACAAAAACAGGAACAUACUUUUGGGACAUGAAGUUGAUUUCCAACUGCCAAACUUACCCUGAUAUUUGUUGAGCCACAAUCCUCACAGGUGAGUGUAUUACAGCCUGGAAUGUAAAUAAAGGAAAUAAUUAAAGGAAGAACGACUGAACAAAUAAAUGACAAUUACCAAGCAUAAUCACUUUGGGAAAGUACAAAAUGACUAAAUAAUGUAAUUUUCCAAUGAUAAAUGGCAGAUGUACCUUACUUUGAAGAUGUUCUUUGUACCCUAAGAUAGUAGUAAUGGAUUGAGAAACACGGGCUUGGCUCCGGAAGUGUCGCAGACAUGCCAUUGAUUUUUAACAAACAAUUGGAAAGCCAAACUUGCACCCUGUCAAAUGUAAAAUCAUCAUCAAAUACAAAGUGAAAUGGAAGUACCACAGUUUCAAUUUAUAUUAUUUGACUGAUAUUAAUUCUAGACCACCUAAAAAAGACAUUAGUCGCAUAAAUAACUUAGAUUAAAAAGAUUCAAUCAAAAUGAACUGCCGAAUAACUGAGUUAACAUCCAGCAACUCCUUUGAUUGACAGGUGGUAAUGCGAAGCACAUAAUGAUGAAUGAUGGUAAGGAAAGUAUAGAGUAUGCCAUCUUAGAGGCCAGUGGUGAUUGAGCCCAUUGCCCAUGCGUAUGGACUGUUCAAACCCAAUCAGUAAAUCCUUGUUUGAUUUAGCCUGAAUUAAUAGUAAUGAAACCCUUAUAGCAGAAUCCUAUGUCACAUUUAGAAACCUCAGUAAAUAAAAAAGAGAAGAUCUUUUGUUCCUAUUACCCUAAGAAUUCUCAUAAGCAAAAAGGAAAUUCAUUUGAACUAAACCAAUUAUACCCUACCUGGACCAAGUUAGCUAAUAUGUUGAGAGCAGAUCCCACAUGAGAUUGUAAAAACCUUGGAUAGACACUUAUAAAAAUCUUGGCCUCCCCAUCAAUUGGUAAUUGGUUGUUGGUUUCGGUGCUUUGGGAGGGGUGCUACUAUAUGGAUUUGAUAGAAAAUCCUGAGAAAUCUUAGGUGAGAAAGUUGGAUUCCAUGUCUGUACUGUAUGUUUUUAAAUAGUUGCUGGAAGAUGGCAUACUUUUAUUUCUCUUACCAUCAUUUAUAUGAGAUGAGCAAACCAUCAUUGAUAAAAAGGGACCCCUGACCAAAUGUAAUAACAAAAAAGCACCAAACCAACAAGAAAACAAAGCAGCUAGUUUCUUCAACAUAGAAAUACUGCAAGUACAUUGCUAAUAACUCUGCUUGUUAUGCAUACUAUAUACCUCCUUAAGAAUAAACUUAGUAGAAUAAAAGUACAUUGCUAAUAUUGGUUAUGCAAUCGACUCCUCAAACCAAUGGCCAUCUACCUGGAUUAAGCAGUGCAACCCUCAUUUGCAGGUUCUUGCUUAAGUAUAUCCUUGAUCCCGAAUGCAAACGAUCUCAAGUGCCUAAAUGAUAUUCUCAAUCCUAUAAGUAAACCCUUGAGUACAAAUCAUGAUUACCCGUUAGGUACCGUUUCUCGAUUUAGUUCCCAACACUAAAAAAAGUACUUAACAAUUAGCCAUUCCCAAUCAUACGGUUCAACCAUCUUAUGCAUAUCGGUCUAUGCCAACAUCAUUCAUACCAUGUCACGAUUUGGGUCCAGUUCAACCUGUUCAACCUUUCAAAUAGAUUCCAAACUCAAGUUUACUUCAUUGUUUUGACCAAUAACCUAACAAUUUAUAUUUGCAGCCACAAGAUACGUAGUUCUAAACUCAAUUCAACUACUUUAAAACCCUACAGAAUCCAUCUUCAUAUGGUUUUGUCAUUAGCUUUAGACACAUAUUCGGUCCAAAUGAUCAUAAAUAACUAAACCUCAUCAAGAACUGGUCUAAACUUCUACCUAUACCCAUCAAAAACAAAACCCGACAGAAGCAAUUCGAGAAAUAAGAAAGAGAACCUAACAGCAGAAAGAGAACACCGACGACAGCAAAAUAAGAAAUCUUUAGUAUACAGAGAUGGAGAUAACAAAACCUGACCGAGAGAUUCUCGUCGACCUGAACUCAAGGACACGGCUGAAGAGUGGAGAGGAUGAAAAAGAACUCGGUUGGAAAUGGGCUGCCUGACCUGACUAGUGAGGGAGUCGGAGUUCUUGUUUGAGUAACUCGUAACAAAAUUCCAACAACACCCUUUUGUAGUGGGUUGUGUUGGGAUAACCUGUUUUGUUUUGGGUUUUUUUAUGUUUAUUUUUUAUUAAUCAUGUAUUUCGUGAGUCGAACUCACAACCUCCUACUUAUUAAAGGGAGACUAUACCGCUAGACCAAAUGGUACUGUGUGUUGGGUUAACAUGUUAGUCUUAUGGGUCAAGUUAAUAUUAAGAGCAAGUUCACAUGUUGGAUCUAUACGAUUUAACAAAUUUCAUUAUCGAAGUCUUAAUCCGCAAUCCUGAUUUGGAUCGGUUGCUUCGGCCCAAAUUAUUUAUUUUUGUUUAAAAUAAACAUAAACAAUCGAUCAAACCGUUUAACAGAAACAAAAUCAAGUCAAUUCCGGGUAGGUGGGAUUUGUCUUUAAGAGGUGUGAUCAGUGAUGAGUGGACCCACCAUGAUGCAAUGAGACAUGCGGUGAAGCCACCACGGGUAGGUGGAGGGAAUGAGAGGAGCGUCUGGGUUGGCUCUCUUUCGAGUCUAGCUAGAUUCCAAAUAUGGAUUGACACUAUGUAGGAUAAGGCUAUAGUGGAGUAGGAUGGCACUAUCCACUAGUGAUAUGACAAAGCGACAAAGUGGCAGUGGUGUGGGCUCGGCAUCAGUGGACGUGCUGGAGUGAUGGUGUAGGCGUGACUUGGAGCUUGUGAGGGAUGGAGGCUUGGGCAUGUGUUAAUAUAGCUAGCAAUGAAAGAGAUCUAAAUGAUCGGAUGUUUUUUGUUACUGCUAAAGAUGCUGAAGCUACAAAGGACAUUCUAGAUGGUUCACUAUGGUCAAUCAUGAGAUACUCAGUUCACUUUCAAGAAUGGCCAAAAUCUUUUGCAAUCAAGGAACUACAAAGCAACCAAAUAGCCUUCUGAGUGCAGGUCAGGAGAGUUCCUUCGUACAUGUUUGAAGAGGAGAAUGUCAGGGAGAUGGUUAAGAAAUUUGGAGAGUUCAUCAGAAUGAAGGACCCCCUUGAGAGUGAGGAAGGCACCUACAACUUUCUCCGUGUCAAAAUCCUUCUAGAUGCUCGUGAUCCUCUACCCACAUGCUAUGAACUCCCACGAGACGAUGGAACAAAGAAGUGGGUUAGUUUUUCAUCCGAGAAAUUGUCCGACUUUUUCUAUGUAUGUGGGAGAUUAGGCCAUACCGAUUUACCAAAAACUUCAUGCCUCAAUGGAGCUGACCCAUGCAAUGAGAAUGAAUAUGGUGAUUGGCUUAAAGCAGUACCACCUCGGAAGUAAAUCAUGAAGGAACCCACACAAAUGAAGACGGCUAGUGGUUGGAAUAGAAGGAGGUUUCCCAACCAAACUGUUCACCCUGUGGAAAGUGAAGACAACGGGCAAAAUUUAUAACCCCAAAGAGCGUCCUCAAGUCACAUCAUGGAGCCUCACCUACAACAGUCAUCCCCCUCUAUCAAACUACAAAUUUCUGACACAACCAACCAUACCUCUGUUGUCAACUACUGUGAAAGUAACCACACAAAGGCUCUGUUAAGGGAACUUUCAAGGUACACCCUUCUACCCCACAUGUGCCAAACCUAAAUAAUACUUUCAUGCCCUACCCUCUGCCUGGAUUUGAUCUCCUCCCAAAAAGUGUUUCAACAUGUGACAAAAGAAAGAAACUUAAGCUAUCCACGGUUUUUAAUCAAGGUAACAAUGCUGCUAGCUUCAACCCAGCUACAUUAAUUUAACUGUUUUAUCUCUCAACCUUUUCUGCAAACACCCCCGAGUUCUAAUUACUCAUAUCCCAUUCCAUCACUAGCUAACAUCUCUCCAGUCUCACCACCACAAAUCAUGACCACAAAUAUCCAAACCUUUCUCCUUCACCUAGUGAAGGCCAAGCGAAAAGACCUUUUCAGUCUGAGAAUACCCAAUCUUCCUCUGGCAGGAAAGUAAAGAAAUUCACCAAACACUCCACCUCUAGAACUGAGACUCUAGUAUUGAAUUCUGAGGGUGUGAACAAUGGUUGUUUAAUGAGCAAAAGCGUUGAAGGCGGUGGUGGCUCGCCUAUAGCCACAAGGUCGCCAUGAUACAAAUUAGUUGGAAUUGUCAUGGACUAGGGCAAUUCAUGACAAAACAGUCUUUUAAAGAGCUUAUUAGAAAGUAUCGCCCGUCUAUUGUCUUUCUUUCAGAAACUCGAAUGAAGGACAAGGACAUUAAAACACUAAGGAAGAUAGAACUGUAAGUUUUCGCUUGGUACUACUGUGAAACCCAUUAGAAUUGUUGGGGGGCUAGCAUGGAUAACACUGUUACGGUUCAAAUUCUCUCUAAAUCCAAAUUCAUGAUUGAUAUAGUGGUCAAGUUCAAGUCUGACGAUUCCUUGGUUCGAUUCACUUGGUUCUAUGGACCACUAUGGACCACCAGACAAGAAAGAUAGGCCUAGCUUUUGGAAUAGGUUGGCUAAUUUAGCUAGUUCUAUUGAUCUUCUGUGGCUUUAUACUGGUGACUUUAAUGAGUUCUUAUGGCCUCAUGAGAAGGAGGGUGGAAACCCUUGGAAUCCGGGUAUGAGGCGUUUUCUACGAGAGUUUAUGAAAUCUAACGAUCUGAUUGAGCUUUAAUCAAAGGGGCAGAAGUUUACAUGGUGCAACAAUUGGCCUGGAGGGGGUCUCAUAAAGAUCAAGUUGGAUAGAGGGGUUGCUAACACAAGGUGGCUGGAGCGGUGGCUUGAAUCAAGUGUUUUCAAUCACCCCCGUGUGGGGUCUGAUCAUUGUCCUCUUAUUUUUGAUUAUGAUCUACCAUUAGUUUGGGGACCAAAAUUAUUCAAGUUCAAACCAAUGUGGGUGGAUGAUCUUGAAUGUAGAGAUGUGGUGGAGGCAUCAUGAUAGACAACAUUUCAACCAUAAGGGCUGCCCAAUGGGUCACAAGAAGUCAGAGGUGUAUAUAGGGCCGUAGGGGCUGCGUAGUCAUGAUUUAUCCAAGUGGAGUAAGAGGAAAUUCUAUAAUAAUCUUGUGGCGAUUAAUAGAAGAGUUGAGGAACUAUAAGUCAUACAAGAGGCUACAACUGAAGAAAGAGGAGAAAUACUGGGCUCAACGAUCCAAAGUUAAUUGGCUCAAAGCUAGUGACUCAAAUUCCAGAUUACAACCAUCCAAAGGAGGCAGCGGAACAAAGUUCUUAUAAUUAAGUCCUCUAAUGAUGUAUGGCUGGACCGCGAGGGCACAAUACGUUCUGAAAUGGAGAAUUAUUUCAAAGAUAUUUUCAAAAGCUUUGCUGAGAGAGAUUGGGGUGAGGCUUUACAUGCAGUGACUAAGGUUAUUAGCCUUGAGAUGAAUUGUUCUCUUGCCAAGGAAUUCUCUGCGGAAGAAGUUAAAGAUGUUACCUUCCAAAUGGGGGCUGAUAAGACUCCGGGCCCGGAUGGUUUUUACGGGAUAUUUUUUUCAGAAAUUUUGGAGCAUCAUCAAUGAGACUAUGAGGGCUACUGCAAAGGAAUUUCAUGAGACUGCUCAAAUCCUCUAGGAUCUGAACAAGACAAACAUAGUGCUCAUCCCAAAGAUCCCUUGUCCGGAGAAAGUUGAUCAAUUCUGUCUAAUAAGUCUUUGUAAUUACUCAUACAAGAUUCUCUUCAAACUAUUGACAAAUAGAUUGAAAGAGUUUUUCCCAGGUAUUAUAUCACCUCAUCAGUGUAUUUUUGUUUCAGAUCGUCAAAUACAAGAUAACAUCUUGGUUGCACACGAGGCUUUCCAUUAUUUGAAGUUGAGGUAAUCAUGAGACAUUCAAGAACUUGCUCUCAAGUUGGAUAUGAGCAAGGCAUACGAUAGAGUGGAGUGAGAUUUCCUUGAGGAGGUUCUAAUUCGAAUGAGAUUUGGCAUUAAUUAUGGCAUGUGUCAAAUUUGUGUCCUUUGCUGUUACUCUAAAUGAAAAGGUAGGGGAGUACUUCAAACCCUCUACGGGAUUGAGACAAGGCGACCCAAUUUCUCCCUACCUGUUCUUAUUUGUUUGAGAUGCAUGUGUUCUCCUCAGUUAUCAAAAGGGCUUGCGAAGUUGGGUCUUUACAAGGCAUCAACCUAAGUUCUCAUGGUCCGACUUUAUCGCACCUCUUCUUUGCAUAUGACUCUUGUUCGAUCUUCUUAACGGCCACAACUGCUAAUUGCCAAGAAAUUAUGCGAAUCAUUGAUGUGUAUUGUGUUCCCUUGGGUCAGCUUGUUAAUCAAACUAAGUCUACUCUUUAUUGUACACCGAACAUGCCAGAAGCUAGGGUGCAUUAUAUGUGUAAAAUUUUGGGAGUCCCUGCCACCUUAAAUUCUGGGAGAUAUCUUGGUCUCCCUACCAUUUGGGGUCGAUCAAAAAAGGUUUCACUUUCUUUUAUCAAAGCAAAGUUGGUUGACAAGAUACCGAUAUGGAAACUUUUCACCUUGUCAAUGGUAGGGAGGGAAAAUCUCAUUAAAUCGGUGGCCCAAGCUGUUCCCACAUUUCCCAUGCAUUGUUUUAAAUUUCCAGCCACUCUUUGCAAAAAGCUUGAUGCGAUGAUGGUAAAUUUUUGGUAGGGUCAGAAGAAGGAUGAGAACAAAAUCCACUGGAGAAGCUAGGAAUUUCUUGGCCAAGCAAAAGAUUGUGGUAGCCUGGGUUUUGGAAAUCUCAGAGAGUUUAACACCUCACUCCUAGCUAAACAGGUUUGGAGGAUACAUGAAAAUCCUACCUCUUUAUGUGCUCAGAUUCUAAAAGGAAUUUAUUACCCACAUUCUGAUAUUCUAAAUGCCGGAAAGGGUUCCCGGGCUUUUAGAUGGCAAAAAUCUAAUUGUUGAGGGAGCAAGAUGACAAGUAAUUGGUAAUGGAGAGAUGAUUGAUAUAUGGGUUGAUAAGUGGAUUCUUUCUUCUAACCAUGGUUUCUUGAGGCUCUACUUCUUGUGAACAGCUCUAGACCUCAUAUAGUGAAGGACCUAAUUGACUGGGAUACAAAGAGUUGGAAGGUUGAUAUGAUCAGUGAUUUAAUUUAUGAGGACCAUCAGGAUAUUGAGCUAUUAGCCUUGGGUGAUCAAACCGUGAUGGAUAGAAUUAUUUGGUCAAAGACAGUGUGGCCAAUACUUAAUGAGAACUGGCUAUCAUUUCAUACACUCCCAAACAUACAAGCCUAGCUACCACGCAACAGGCUCACUCAUCCCACAUAAUGAAUCACCUCGUGUGGAAGACGGUUUGGUCUACUCAAUCUACUCCUAAGAUUCGUAAUUUCCUAUGGAGAAUUCUGACCAGUGCUCUACCGUGUUACCUGAAUCUUUACAAGAGGAAAACGAUACCUUCCCCUUUGUGCCCUAUGUGUGAUAUGUUUCCUGAAUCUAUUGAACACAUCUUCCUUCAGUGUCCUAGUUCAGUGUAUGAUUGGUUUGCUUUUGACUUACAUUACACGAUUAAUCUACAAGCUAUCGAUACUUUGGAUUCGUGGUUUGAAAACAUUACUCUCAUGAUGAAGGGCUGCAAAAGAAUUAGAGAUGAGUUUCUUACCAAAGUUUCUUUUCUGCUCUGGGAAAUCUGGAAAGCUAAGAAUGCUUUUGUCUAUGAGGCAGUUCCAAUUGAUCCUAGUGUGGUAUAUUCAUGAUUUGAUUAUGGCUUCUUUCUCUAAAAUGCUGCCUAUUGAUUUGGGUAUUCUACCUUAAAAUAUGAGUGGAUAGAGCAAGCAUGUCAAUCCCUUUUAAUGAAGCUAGAUAUUACAAACAAACAGAAGGGAAAACAAAGCCAUGCCCUUCGCUAAAACUAGAAGAAACUGUAAAGGUGUGCUAAUAUUCACAUUAACAAUAAUAAGACUACAAAACAACUCAACCAAACAUGAAGUUUGUAAGUCGAACACAAUCUCGUAGACAAAGAUCUAAAAGAAAAGGAUCGGAGGAGCCUCAUUCCACCAAACCAAGCCUGAUGAUGACAAACCAAUAUUAGCAAAUGCAUUUGCCACCUGAUUUCCCUCUUUGAAAUUAUGAGAAGAUUUGAAAUGCAUUUGCACUAUACAGUACAAACAAUUAUCCCAAGCAACACGAAGUCUCCAUAGAACUAGAUGAGGUGCAUGUAGGAAAUUAAGCACCAGGCCGGGUUGAAUCAACUUCAAGCCAGAUGCAUGUACGUGCUUCCACUCCUUAAUCCAAGCAAGCUCAAUUGCUUGAAUAACCGCCAUGAUCUCCACAUCAACGAAACUAGAAAUAUCUAAAUUAGAAGCAAAGACACCCAUAAGUGCCUUUAUAGUCCCUAAACACUCCACCAUAACCAGCUCUUCCCGAAACACACGUUUCCAUGCAUCAUCAGUAUUGAUCUUCACCCAACUAAUAAUUGUAGGAACUCAACUAACCUCGAUGAUUUUUGGAGUCUGACGAUCGCGAGGACGACAAUCGACGCCAAAAAAUUUUAAAAUCUGUAGCUCAACCACAGAAUUGUACAUACUCCCUGAGCAAGGCUAGCUUAGUGCUUACUAGUAGCUUGAACAUGUCCCAUAAGUAAACUCUUUGCAUAUUAGUAUUAUUCUGCUCCAUCCUACCAGCAUCAAAUAUGAUUUAAGUAUUAAUUAGUAUCAAGGAGUCCAUGGAUGAAUUAAUUUCUAUAACAGGUGGGCAAUGUCGACGGUCUUGUGAAACAAAAUAUGCCCUACGUGGAUUGGAGUGAAGAAGCAAGUUUUCAUUUGCUCAUGUGUUUGUUGAAGUAAUAUCAAACCUCUAUUAGAAUCAACAAGCAAAACUGGCUGGCUCGAUCAACCAGGCAGUUAAUACAAAAACGUCGCUCACUAAUUGCUUUUCUUGCUUUAUUUCAAAAUUCGCCCUCAAUUACAUGCAGGUCUAGCUAUUAGCAGACCAAAACGUAAAGAAGAAGGCACAAUUGUAUCAGUCACCUAAAGAAAUAGCUUCAAAGUGACUGAUGCAUAAUUCGUUGCUGUUUGGACACUACUCAUUCCACAAGCCACAAGAAGAAGGCACACCAAAACGUAAGCGCUACUGAAGCAAAAAUGUAAGUCCAGAGCAUGAUAACUGAACACUCACUCUCUCCUUGUCUGAACAAUUGUGUGAUGGUUCCUGCGAUAUCAACACGUACAAAUACACAUUCUUUAAUUAGGAGAGCAUCUUGAAAUUUAUGUUGCUAAAAUUACAGUGAAUCAUGCAUGAAGUGGUUCUAGCAUGUGUAGUGUACAGUGAUAUUUACCCAUGUUCAUCGCAGGAGGUACAGCGAACUGAAGCAGAAGAACAAACAGGUACAAUGGAUCGUUGCUUACAAAGCCAAAUUUUACUGCUCCUUUAACAAUCAACACUCCUGUAAGAGGUGCCGCAACAUACUUAACAAUUAUGAUGCCAAUAAGGAUAGAUUUUUGUAUCCCUCCCACUCUUAAACCUGAAAGAUAGAUGCCAAAAGUACGUACGUUAAACCCUAGAAUUAUAAACAUGAAAACUGAAAAGGAAAAUCUAGCCAACAUGAGUUAUAUUACCUUUCACAAGGUUACCUCCUAUUAUCAAAGUAAGGAGCGGGAUAGCAGCGUCUCUGCAAUCAUAUCAUCAUAAGCAGUCAAGGCUAAAUAUGUAUACAUUUUUACUUUGGAAAAGGAAAUAGUAAUGUAUACAAUGAACACAUCAACUUGUACGUAGUUGAAUACAUGUAGUGAAUAAGUGUAUACCCUAACAACGAAGUAGCGUCAUCGAUCACCGCUAGAGGAGCGUCGUCUCCGAUCAAUAAGUUACGAAUUGGAGAGAUGAUUCCGACUGCAAACCCAAUAAUCUACAGAAGAAAACAGCAUUAGUUUGGUUGAUGCAUGCAUGUUUCGAUACUGUAGAGCUAAAUGAGCAUGAAAAUGAAGUGCAUACGUACCACUGCUAUAGUUGAGGGGGAAAAUACUGUUUUCAAAUUGAGCUUUUUGUUCAUCUUCACCAUCCAUUCCUUUAUUUUGCCUAGACGCGUCAUCUUCAAACGACCAAAAUGUGCUACGGGUUAGAUAAAAGAUAACAUUAUCGUGUUAAUAUGGAUCAUAUGUUAAAAUUAUAAGCCACUAAUCCAACUUAUUAGCAGUUCCGCCAUUGUUAGAUCAUGUUGCAACCUAGCAUGGUUUUCAACUAUAUGGUAAGAAUAUAUAAACAAAGCAAAAUACCAUGGUCAAGUGAACAACCUUAACCUCUCCUUGAGAUACAUUACUGGGGAGUUCAGAUUGAUCCACAUUGUCCUCUAUAGAAAGCAGAGGCUCGUUGUAACUUAUGUGGCCGGAUGUUGAUGAUGAACUCUCGGUGGUCUGCGUGGGAUCUUGGAUGCUCGUCUUUGAAGAUAUGCGCACUAUAUUAUACACAUAGGUCCACAAAUAAAUGGCUCCAAUCUGAACAAGCAGUGGAGUUGAAGUUAAUUUAUAAGAGAUAACAAAGGUAAUAGAUGAAGGGUGUGUUAAUCCUAAAGAUAAAGAAUUUACAACACAACUGCAUGUUUGAGUAGCUCUAGGAAGAAGAAAAAUAAUCAACCUUUUGUUAGAAAAUUAAGUCCACGCUCGCUUAGAUCUACCUUUGAAUUCGCUUAUGUUUUCCUUUCACGUAAUUCGCAAUGGAUAAAGAAAUCUAAACAAGAACCAAAAAUAAUACUAGAUCGAGGAAGAAGAAGCAAGAAGAAAUGUAUGCUGCAUAUAUAUACCGCCAUUGAAAGUGAAGCAUAAGUAGUUCCAGUAGUAUCACAGGUAUCAGCAUCUCCAAAUGGACUCCCUGAUUCUUCACAAACUGCUGGAAUUAUAAUGAGGAGAAGGUUUCCCAAAUUUCCUGUACUCACAUCAUCAACUCAGUACUUUAGAAUGUGGCAAAUUGAGGUUAGGAAAAAUAUAUACUGUACCAAAUAAUAUAUGUAUCCAUUCAAUUAUAUUCAAGUUUAUGAAAUGUCAUCGGGCUAGUGUUUACCCGCAGCGCAACAACCCAAGACGAGACCUCGCAAAUGUGGAGGAGUUCUGGUUAAUUUCAUGAGUAUCCAUCCAAAUAUUGAACCAACCAUGAAUGUAAGAAAAAUAUUUACCGGCAUGAACCACCUACGUACAAAUUCAUUAAACGAAUUAAUUUUAGUAGUUAUAUAUACCAUUUAUACAAUUAAUCAAGUUUGCACAUCCUGGGUCGGGUUGAAAGAACUAUGGUGCAUGCAUGACAGAUCGAUCGAGUAGUCUAGAAUUAAUUUAAGGAGAUACAAGUUAAUUUGCUUCUAUUGGAGGAGUAUUGGAGGUAUGGCUGUGCUCAAUAUGAAGUAUGGUUUUCCAGGAUGCAUGGUUGCUGUUGUAUCCCGUACUGUGGAAGCUGUGGUGUCCCUUCCAGCCUUACCCACUAUAGCAAGGGAUAAGAAGAUGUAUAAAUGGUAUAUACUACAACAACAAGUCAACAACCAUAUGCAUCCUGUGGAUACAACCAUACUUCUAUGACCACAGCCAUACCACAUACCUCCAAUACUCCUCCAAUAGCUAUGGAGUACGUACGUAGCUGAAUUUGAUCUAUCAGGCCAGUUUGAGGUUUAGAAUUUCUGAGAGAGAGAGAGAGAGAGAGAGAGAGAGAGAGAGAGAGAGAGAGAGAGAGAGAGAGAGAGAGAGAGAGAGAGAGAGAGAGAAGAGAGAGAGAGANNNNNNNNNNNNNNNNNNNNNNNNNNNNNNNNNNNNNNNNNNNNNAGAGAGAGAGAGAGGGCUAACCGGAUCGUAUUCUACGUACACUAUAUAUCGAUCUAUAGAGCCUGAUUAUAUAUCCUCUUCGUCAAGGAUCAGGAUCGCUCUUACCAAUGUACGCAGCAUUGAAUGUAUGAUGGGGCUAAACUGCGUACAUUUACAUCUUUCUCUGUGAUCGAUCUUUGUUCAUUUGCACCCAUCUUCUACGUACCACCACCACCACCGUACCUACCCUCUAUAUGUUUUUAUAUCCCUUGAUAUAUAGUUGUGAAAUCGACACCCUUUUUCUUGUAAAUUCACCUCUCCCACACAUUUGUAAAAAAAGGGCUGUCAAUUUCAAUCCUCAUCUUUAUUAACUAAUAGUCAUUUGUUGUAUUAAGCUUUAACUUAAUUGAAUCUUGAAUGUUCGUUACAAAAGCGAAGUUUGAGAGUUAGUUACGUACAGUAGUCACAAAGCAUCUUCUGGUAGGCUCCCUUCAUCAAGAACCAUGUAGAAAUAUCAAGAACCAUGUAGAAAAUGUAGUACGUGAUGCAGACAUGCAUGUAAAAUAGGCAAUGAACAACACAUGCAUCAAAAGGAAAGAAAAGAAAAAGUGUAAUUAUAUAUAGAGGUAAGUUUUGAAAAUUAAUGUUAAUUAUUCUUAAGUCGAGUUAUUUUGUUCUGUCGGAUUUACAGUUAAUAUUGGUUCAACAUAAUUUGCUUAAUCAGUUAAGUUAGUGGCAAGGUUAACACCACCAUUAUUUGAGGUGUAUACGUAGCUUAUGAUAAAACGGGAAAACUGAGAGCUAAAAAGUGAGAUUGAUACAGUGAAAUCUAGCAAAUAGAGUGCGAAAACCAUUUCCCCGUGAACUGGGAAAAAAAUCAACCAAUUUAAAUCAAAAUUAACCAUGUCGUAGUUUAUGCAUGAUUGAUUACUGAACUGAUGGGAAUUGAACUCACAACUUAACUAGGCUCUCAUAUGUUAUUGUCUCUGCAAGGUUGGCACCGAUCAGGGCUGGAGUGCAAACGUAGAACAAAAUCUGCUCUUCACAAAAACAAGUGUAUACACAACUCUACUAUAAACAAAACAGAUAGCUAGCUAGGGAGAAUCGUGUUCAUGAAGAGUAGUAGUAAAUUAAACCGAAGACAGUACGUUUUAAACUAAGAGGAGAUCGAGAAGCAAUUACGUACAGUGUUCAAGUGGUUCCUGCUAUCUGGCCCCAGAAGGUUGACGCGAUCAAGUGCAAGAUAUGAGCCAAGCGCAGUAAUCAAGAACGAUUCCAGCACUGGAAUCGAUGCGGUGACGAAGAGAGUCCAAAGAUUCAUCUUCCUGGCCUCCUCGAAAUGCAGAUCGAGCUCGAGCUCGAAUAAAUUAAAUUCAACCUGGAAAUGAUUUAGCUAGCAAACCAUUCCAAAUUAAUGAAGAUCAACGUCAUAACCUCAGAGGGAAGUUAUGGAAUUGGGUAGAUAUGGCUGCAAAUAUGAGCUGGUGUUGGGUGUGGUCUUUGUUGGGCAAUAAUGACCGCAUCUGCAUGGCACAUAGAUCGCGGGUCCAUAUAUAAUGUGACUAAUUAGCUAUGUUAAACUGCAUUCUCUAAAAAAAAAAAACUAUGUUAAACUGCAUGUGUGAUUUUAUGUAGUCCUCACCAUCCUCACAGUAAAGAACGUGGGUGGUCGACGAGCUAUACAUAUGAGCCUUUUGUCCAUGCAAUCAUAUAUCAAGACCAAAUCUACUAAGGGUAUCUACUAAGAGGAUCUACUCUAACUCAAAUAUUGAAUUCAAAUUUUAUUAUAUUAAUUUUUAUUAAGAUGAAAAAUCAACUUUUCUAUUUCUUCUAUAACACCCCAAAAGGGUAUCUACAACGUCACAAUUCUAAACCAAUAAAAACCUGACAUGUCCGACACUACUACACACAGACACAUCCACGACGUUUGAAAAACGCCAUUAAAUGUCUUCCAUAACAUUUUUGAACGCCAUCCCCUAACGUCGUCUAAAGUGACGCCGUCCUUUUUGUGACCUUUUUCAAAACACCAUGAAAAAGAUUCUAUGGCGUUUUUGAAACACCAUUAAAAGUUUUUCAAUGACGUUUCAUAAACGCCAUUAAAACUUGUGACGUUUUGUAAACGUCCAUAAAAAAAAUUCCAUAACGUUUCAAAAACGCCAUGAAUUCUUUUUCAACUUUUUAAAAAAAAAUUGCACAUUGAUUUUCUGAUCAAAUGCAGAAAAUCAAUUAUUCUGUUAGCAAAAAAUACAUACAUCACAAUGUCAAAGUUGUAGUACUAUGUACAUUUGAAUAAACAAAAGAAGAGAUACCCAUCUAUAAUUAAUAUUCCAUUGAAGAAUUUGAAAUACUUCAUACAUCAUACUAUAGAAAAUUUAAACACUGUAUAGGAAAUUUGAUCACAAAGGUUAUACAUUAUAUAUCACGCUCUAGAAAAUUCAAGCACUGCAUCGGAGAUCUGAUCACAGAGCUUAUUGGGGUGUCCCUCGAUCAUUUACAGACUCAAAGGUAAAGAGGAAAUUGUCCAUUUUCUGAAGCAGCAAGAUAUAAAUGAAGUUCUGGUAUUAGUAAUAUCAACUAAGUAGAACCUCAUUGCUAGUAAUGCGUAAAAUAUUAGAAAGCAAAAUCUUUCAGAAAAAUACUGCCAAGGAAAAACUCAACAGAUCUAAAAUCAUUCAUAUAUAUUCCUCACUCAAACAUGUAUCUUGAUUGGCAUAAAGAAUGUAAACCGUUCAUAUAUAUUGAACACUAAAUCAAGUUUGCCAUGAAUCAAAAGCUCAAACUGUGUUCACACCAAAUAAGCUUACCUUACACAUGAACCAGAACCCUCCUCAUUGGUCAUGGACAUCUUGUCAAGCUGAUCCCAAACAUACUCAAACAGUUGUCGUUAAGACAUAAAUAUUAAAUACAAAUGAACUAGAACAGAGGAUAAAUUACAGUCUGUUUUCAUUUGUGUACCAGUUGAAUGUGAAUAGUUAUUCAGAUAUGCUAGUUACCAGCAACUAUAUAUUCAAUUUCACACAUGACAUAUGGAUAAAAUAAAAUUAAGUGCUAAAAUUAGAGUGCGCCACAAUUAUAUACAAUUAUAUCUGAUAGUAUUAUGUGUUUUCUGAUAUCACAAUACUAACAGAAGAUGAAUCUAUUGGGAAUAGACAAGCAUUAUACAUGUCUAGGCAUGAUGCUACCCAAGUUAUUGUCAAUUAGUUCAAUCCACAGGUUCAGUUUUCAUUAUGGCAAGAAAUUGUUUUAAAGUGUAGUAUACUCCAUAAAAUUAUUAAAGCACAAUCAUCCAAUGGAACCCAUUGGUAAAACAACAUACACAAAUGGUACUUGUCCGAGGUGUAUCACUUGCAUAUAUUCCACGAAGAAAGCAAACAAAGAAAAGAGAGAUUAUCUAGAACAUAUAUGGGCUUGUUUUCAAAGUUUAGUAAUGCACUACAUUCUAUCAGCAAUGUACUUGAAAGAAAAUUAAAAGUCUAAGCUUUUGUAUAUUAGUCUAAAGUCUACAAGGUAAACAAUAUGAAAUUACCUGCUGUAUCUUUGAGCAAACUGAGAAUAUUAGGCAGCCUAAAACCCCAAAAAUUCAAUCCUGAUUUACUUUAACAAGAAAAGAGGAUAGCUAAAAAAAAUUAUAGUAGCAAAAGAGUAGAAAACUAAGUAGGGUUACCUCCUUACUCUGGUCCUAUUGGCUCCUUGUAGCCAUUGUUGCAGUAGAUAGAUAAUAAGGACUCUCUUUUCAUGUCAAUUUAUGCUGAUAAACGUUUCAAUCAAUUUUUCAAAAGCCAAAAGACAUAGAUAUAUCAGGUUUACAUUAAUCCUCUUAGAAGAGUUGUUCAAUGAUAAAAGUAAACUAAAAAUACGAGAGCCAAUAACUUAACAUUAAUCAAAUAGACAGUUCAAUUCAGAAACCAAUAUAUUUUCAGUACACCAACAUAACAGCCAGUACAAUAACCAACAUGGGCGAUUAGGCAUUAUCAUGGAUGUUGUAAAAUUCAAUAGUGCUAGACUUACUGGCCACAAUACGACCUAUUAUACUUUCUCAGAUAUAAAUUCAAUUACAUUGUGGGUAGUAACAAAAUAAUUAGCUACGAGAUCUAAUUUUUGUCCCAAAUUUCAUUGAUAUGUCCUUCCACAAUUCAAGGCUCACCAGAACCCAAAUCAUCUUUUGAAAUGCAAUAUGAGAUAAUACCCAACAAGUAAGAAUACCAAUCUUCCCAAUUUCAAGACCGAGCAAAAAUCUGAAACCCUAAAUCUAUUUAAAAAAAAAAAAAAACUAAUCCGAAACCCUGAGGCAAAGUAAAACAAGUCAAGAAACCUUUAUUCAAACAGACCCAAUCAUACGAAAUAUUUAAUCGGAGUAAAACCCAAAAGAAGUUUCAGACCUCACCCGGAAAAUUUUGAUAAAGAGCAACUUCGCCUCUUCUUCUUGUUGCAAGAGAACGUUGAUAGACUGAUGGAUCGGCCUCGCCAUAUGUGGGAGAUACCUUUGUUCUGCUUCUUACUCGAGUUGUCUAGCUUCUUGCUCUAGAUCGAGAAGAAAAUUAAGGAGGGAGAGGGAGAGAGAGAGAGAGAGAGAGAGAGAGAGAGAGAGAGAGAGAGAGAGAGAGAGAGAGAGAGAGAGAGAGAGAGAGAGAGAGAGUAGAGAGAGAGAGAGAGAGAGAGAGAGAGAGAGAGAGAGAGAGAGAAUAGGAAAAUAAAUUGGGACAGGUGAAUCAUAAAAGAGGCUUGGACACGAAAGGUUUUUAAAUAAUUAUAGUUUUCUAUAGUAUGACAUUUCUAAACGCUGUGGAUUUACUCCUAUAAUUAUGACGUUUAGUGGACGCCGUCAACUAUAUCUAAGUAUGACGUUUAGAAACGCCAUGGAUUUAGCCUGUAAUUAUGGCGUACACAAAACGUCGUCUAUAUUACUUUAUGGCGUUUGGAAAACAUCAUCUUCUUUAUAUUUAUCUAUGGCGUUUCAAAAAUGCCAUAAAAUUAUCAUUAUCAAAUAAUUUAUGGCGUUUUCAGAUUGAAAUGCCAUGAAAAUGUUUAUUCAUGACAUUUUUGUCAAAAAAGCCAUUAACAAAAUGUCAUUAAAGGCUAUGUUUGUACUAGUGCGAAGAGCGUGUCAACAACUUUAUAAAUAUAAAAAUAAAAUACACAGAAAGGUACCUUAGAAAUUUUUGAAUAGAUUCCUUAGUCAACUCUUGAGUUGAAUAAACUAAUAUUUGUAUAUCACUAAUAUAUGUAUAUAUAGAUUGUUCAACAUUCUAAAUCUAAAUAAAGUAACAUUUUUUUUUUGAGUUACCAGUAGAAUGCGAUUUCGCUAACGAAAAACAAAGAGAAAGAUCUCAUUCAAAGAGAAAGAUAUCAAAUAUCUAGAGUUUCUACUGGUUGUUGAUAAUACUUCACAAGUAGAAAUGUCAGAGUUAUACAAAUUCGCAAAGAGUAAGCAAAUUGUAGGUCAACUAACUAAAUCUUUAAUGACAAUAAUAAAGAUAUACACCAUGAAUAACAAUUUUUUGAAACUCUGGCUCUUAUAACUUCAAGCAACACUUUAGGGAAUGACUUGGGGGAGAAAGAAAGUAAAGCACGCGUAACAUGGUUAAGACAUAAAAUAAAAAUAUGAGACUGACUCCUCACAUCUAGCUCCCUUGCUAUCCAUCUCGUCUCAGAACACAGUACAUGCAGUCAACCUGUUGUAAGGGUGAGCGUCGUCAUCGCUUGCUCACAUAUAGGACUAGCCCACCAAUGCGAGGUUUGAAAUCACUAAACCCUUGACAUAUGCUCCAAGCCGCUAAUUCCCUUCUCGGAAUCCAAUGUCUCCACGCAAGCUAAAUCGCCUGAAGUACAAUUGUAGAGUAUAGUAAUUUAGCAACGAAGCAACAAUAGUGAUGAAAGAUGUAUUUUAUGCUAUGAUAUUAACGUAUUUUUGAUAAAGUAGUAUGAGGUUCACAACCAAAACCAAUUUGCAAUGAAUGGAGAGGCCUAAACCCUUAUAAACCCACAAACAAUAUCCCAUAUUCCCGAUGUGGGAUUCAUAUCUUAACACGCCCUCGCAUGUAUGGCAAAUUUUGAAGCCUAACACGUGGACAACAUUUUAGGUGACGUGGAGUGCGUGUGGCCUUGUGGCCUUUGGGCUUCACACGUGGACAUGGGUAACCCGCUCUGAUACCAUGAUAAAGUAGUCUAGGGUUCACAUCUAAAACCAAUUGGCAAUGAAUGGAGAGGCCCAAACCCUAAUAAACCCCUUUUAGCUAAGUUAUGUCCUUAAUAACACCAUUUCUAAUUUGUUUCAGUGUUGUAGGUCAAAAGAGGCAACAUUACACAAAAGAAGGCUAAAAUGCAAGAAUUGAGAGGAAUCCUGGUCAAAGGAGGAUUCCCAGUGCAACAAAGAGUCUCAAUGAGUUGCAGAAAUGAGUAAAUCAAAGGAUAAGUCGUUUGGGAAACUUUCCUGUUUCGAAACGGGAAACUUGCUAUUUCAUUUAAGAAACUUUCUUAUUUUGAUUUAGGAAACUUAUUACUUAUGAAGUUUUCAUGUUUUGACUUUUCUUAUUCAUUUUGAGAAACUUUCUUUCCUCAUGAGACAAAGAAGCCAUGUGAAGCUAGAAACCCUAACCCAACAUGAAAGAGGAUUUCUUUUGGACGUGUAUAAGAAGGGACGACAAAUCCCUUGGGAUUUUACCGUGAUCAAGGGAUUCUAGGGUUAGAAAAUCGUCCUAAAUCAAGGGAUUUUGCGUGCAAUAUAAAUCAGAAAAUAAGGGAGAUUCUUUCCUUUAACUUUACCGUUUCAAUUCCGAUUAUUCUUACCUUAUUAAUCUGAUUUUCUUUCCUUUGUAGGUGCCCUAAUUGCACACCAAGUAAGGAGAAGAUUUGAUUUGCGGCAGAAUAAGGAAGGAAUCCCUUGUCGUGAUUCAACUUGGCGUCCAAGCAAUGCAUCUAGUCCUUGUUCAAGCUACAUUCAACGUAUUAUUGCACAAGAUAUUAUAGAGAAUUCCUUGGAGAUUUAUAUCAAGAUUUUGUGCAAUUAUUCGACCGUUGGAUCAGUAAUUGAUCAAGCGUUGAGAGAGGACCUAGGGUUCGGCCAAACCACUAUAUAAGGGAGCCAAGAGUAACGUUUUCAUCAUCACUUCCUACACUCUAGAAAUUCAGAAAAGUUUUUAGUCUCUCUCAUUGUUGUGAGUCCCUAGAAGAAGAAGGAGAAAAACCCUUGUGGCCUUAGACGUUCUAGGAAGUAUUGAAGCCCUAGCACAGCCUUGCACGAUCUCAAGUUAUUCGAUCGGCCAUCAAGAUCAUUGAGAAGUGUAAUCCUAUGCCUAGAACAUUUUGGUUAUUUCGUUCUUGUUUUAGUUUUCAAAUUAGAACCAUGUGUUUUAUUUUUCAAAUUGGAUGGAUGCUUUGUUGAGGAUUAUGUUAAUUUUCAGUUAAUAAUAAGUUUGAUUUCAAUUGUCUAAUGAUGCUAUAUGAUUGAGUUCGUUGUCUUAGUUAAUUGUUGGAAGCAUGUUUCUUGUUUUAUUUAUAUUGCUGAUUCUGCAGGUCAGUAGUGCUAUGAUUAUACUAAGCCUCGUAGUUAAGUGUAGAUCUCCAGUAGUGGAGGUCGUGUCACAUCUAUGAUUGAGAGGAUGUUUUGCAUGUAAUGGUUAAGCGUCGUACGUUAGCUCUUUAAUUUUCAUGUUAGGGUUCGUUAUUUUGCUUAAUGAUUUGCAUAUUUUUGGACAGAUACUCAUAGUAUUGAUAGCAGCAAUAUGUAAAAUGUUUUAAGUUCAGACGUUCUAGCUUGGAUAACUAUUUAGAAGAACCGAUUAAAUGCAUGACCUCGUAGGCUUGUGUUUAGAACCCUUCUAUGUUUCUCUUUGGUGAUGACUCGAUUGUGUGAUUAAAGUUCAUUGGAAUAUGCUUAUGUUUUCUGAAAUCUGAUUUUAAAAGUGUGGAAGUCGAUCACUUGUAAAUAUCUUUUCUUUAUUGUUCUCGUAGGAAUUUAGUAAACAAACCCUAAAUCCCCCAUUUAAUCAUGUAAAUGUAAUUGGUGUAAAGAAUUUGUAGAUAUUUCCUUAACCUAGAUUCUAAUUUACUUUAAUUUUGUUCUCACAUGAGCACCAUAAAUCCCCGGAUUGAUCGAAUUUGAUUUGCCUUAUACUACGAUUGUCAAAAAGGGUUAACCAGGGCAUGACAAUUAAGAACCCUUUUUGACAAUCGUAGUAUAAAGCAAAUAAAGUUCGAUCAAUCCAGGGACUUAGGGUGCUCAUGCGAGAACAAAAUUAAAAUAAAUUAGAAUCUAGGUUAAGGAAAUAUCUACAAAUUCUUUACACCAAUUACAUUUACAUGAUUAAAUGGGGGAUUUAGGGUUUGUUUACUAAAUUCCUACGAGAACAAUAAAGAAAAGAUAUUUACAAGUGAUCGACUUCCACACUUUUAAAAUCAGAUUUCAGAAAACAUAAGCAUAUUCCAAUGAACUUUAAUCACACAAUCGAGUCAUCACUAAAGAGAAACAUAGAAGGGUUCUAAACACAAGCCUACGAGAUCAUGCAUUUAAUCGGUUCUUCUAAAUAGUUAUCCAAGCUAGAACGUCUGAACUUAAAACAUUUUACAUAUUGNNNNNNNNNNNNNNNNNNNNGUUUACUAAAUUCCUACGAGAACAAUAAAGAAAGAUAUUUACAAGUGAUCGACUUCCACACUUUUAAAAUCAGAUUUCAGAAAACAUAAGCAUAUUCCAAUGAACUUUAAUCACACAAUCGAGUCAUCACCAAAGAGAAACAUAGAAGGGUUCUAAACACAAGCCUACGAGAUCAUGCAUUUAAUCGGUUCUUCUAAAUAGUUAUCCAAGCUAGAACGUCUGAACUUAAAACAUUUUACAUAUUGCUGCUAUCAAUACUAUGAGUAUCUGUCCAAAAAUAUGCAAAUCAUUAAGCAAAAUAACGAACCCUAACAUGAAAAUUAAAGAGCUAACGUACGACGCUUAACCAUUACAUGCAAAACAUCCUCUCAAUCAUAUCUGUGACACGACCUCCACUACUGGAGAUCUACACUUAACUACGAGGCUUAGUAUAAUCAUAGCACUACUGACCUGCAGAAUCAGCAAUAUAAAUAAAACAAGAAACAUGCUUCCAACAAUUAACUAAGACAACGAACUCAAUCAUAUAACAUCAUUAGAACAUUGAAAUCAAACUUAUUAUUAACUGAAAAUUAACAUAAUCCUCAACAAAGCAUCCAUCCAAUUUGAAAAAUAAAACACAUGGUUCUAAUUUGAAAACUAAAACAAGAACGAAAUAACCAAAAUGUUCUAGGCAUAGGAUUACACUUCUCAAAGAUCUUGAUGGCCGAUCGAAUAACUUGAGAUCGUGCAAGGCUGUGCUAGGGCUUCAAUACUUCCUAGAACGUCUAAGGCCAUAAGGGUUUUUCUCCUUCUUCUUCUAGGGACUCACAACAAUGAGAGAAACUAAAAACUUUUCUGAAUUUCUAGAGUGUAGGAAGUGAUGAUGAAAAGGUUACUCUUGGCUCCCUUAUAUAGUGGUUUGGCCGAACCCUAGGUCCUCUCUUAACGCUUGAUCAACUACUGAUCCAACGGUCGAAUAAUUGCACAAAAUCUUGAUAUAAAUCUCCAAGGAAUUCUCUAGAAUAUCUUGUGCAAUAAUACGUUGAAUGUAGCUUGAACAAGGACUAGAUGCAUUGCUUGGACGCCAAGUUGAAUCACGACAAGGGAUUCCUUCCUUAUUCUUCCGCAGAUCAAAUCUUCUCCUUACUUGGUGUGCAAUUAGGGCACCUACAAAGGAAAGAAAAUCAGAUUAAUAAGGUAAGAAUAAUUGGAAUUGAAAUGGUAAAGUUAAAGGAAAGAAUCUCCCUUAUUUUCUGAUUUAUAUUGCACGCAAAAUCCCUUGAUUUAGGACGAUUUUCUAACUCUAGAAUCCCUUGAUCACGGUAACAUAAUCCUCAAUAAAGCAUCCAUCCAAUUCGAAAUAUAAACCACAUGGUUCUAAUUUGAAAACUAAAACAAGAACGAAAUAACCAAAAAGUUCUAGGCAUAGGAUUAUACUUUUCAAUGAUCUUGAUGGCCGAUCGAAGAACUUGAGAUCGUGCAAUGCUGUGUUAGGGCUUCAAUACUUCCUGGAAUGUUUGAGGCCGCAAGGGUUUUUCUCCUUCUUCUUCUAGGGACUCACAACAAUGAGAGAGACUAAGAAAACUUUUCUGAAUUUCUAGAGUGCAGGAAGUGAUGAUGAAAACGUUACUCUUGGCUCCCUUAUAUAAUGGUUUGGCCGAACCCUAUGUCCUCUCUCUACGCUUGAUCAACUUCUGAUCCAACGGUCGAAUAAUUGCACAAAAUCUUGAUAUAAAUCUCCAAGGAAUUCUGUAACACCCCGGACAAAUUUUACCUAUUUACUGGGUAUUUUACGAGUUACUGAGGAAUUUAACCGUGCUCAGUAACUUGGUAAUUUAACGGUCGAGUUCAUUUUCGAGUUUUUCUCAAAAUGUUAAAUUCCUCUUUUAAGGCCCCACUGUAGUAGUACGUGUCGACACGAGUUCACUGGUGUCUUCGGAUUAUUUGUCGGAGCUUCGAGUUAUUUUCUAUGAUUUAUUAGAGGUUUGGUUAUAGAAAUUAAUUUUUCUGAAAUUAGGAUAUAACUUUUAAUCUGGACCGUCUGAUCAAGUAGGGUUUCGAUCUUGGCCGUUGGUUUGGUUAUUUAAGGAAAUGAGAUGGGUUGACUUCAAGGAAAGCCUACACUCGGUGUUAACCCGAGCCCAGACUCCCCUCCCUCCCUCCAUCUCCGGUUCCGGCCACCUCAUAUAUGACAAGAUCACCACCAAAAUGAUCCUCUUCCUUUUCUCUUCAAAACCCAGUAAUCGGAUUCCACAAACAACCCGGAUUCAUGGAGAUCGAAAUCAAGGGUACUCCACUGAGUUUAUCGAUUUUCGGCGAAAUUCGGCAUCCCCUCCAGUGGCGACUGGUAGUGUUUUGUUCUCCUUUAUCUCUUCUACCUUUCUAUGUCUUUUGUUCCUCAAAUCGAGACCUAACUCUAAAAUCCCCUUUCUUCUGUUUUCUGGGUUUCUCGAGCUUCUUUUCCGGUGAAUGUGCUCUUUGUGCUCUGGUGGCCACCACGGGCUUCGACGAGCGUUUUACAUCCUUGGCGAAGCUGAGACAUAGAGUUGGGAAGCUUUGGGGCAGCUGCUGUUGUGCGGUAUCGUGGCAGAGGGACUGCAUGUCGAUUCCAAGUAGGGAGGAGCUGCUGAGUUCUUUGGUUUUGGGAUAUAUUUAAGGUAAGUUUAGUUUUUGGGGCUUUUGUGUUGGAUUGUGGAAUUUGUGUUGAUGAGUUGUGGCUGAAAUCGAUGUUUUGGUUGUUGUAUGUCGAUAACUUGGAGAUUGGAGGAUAUAGGGAGACUAUGGCAAAUUCCAGCGAGGCAGCAGUUCCGGCAGAAUCGGUGAAGGUAGUUUGUCGACUUUCCUUUUUUGUGUAAGUGGUAGUUUACGGUUUAGAAAAACCUGCCAUAUUUAGAAAGUUUCUAUUUUAGAAAACUUUCCCUUUAUGCAAACCGUUUUGGGUGCCCUUAGUAAAUUUUGGGGUGAAGUUGUGUAGAGAGGAAAUGAAGGAAAUUAUUGGUAUUAUAUGUGGGAAUGCUUGAAUGUAGGGGACCAUAAAAUAAUUUUGGUAAUAUGAACACUGUCCAUAGUAACUUUAGGAUCUAGACCAGAUUACUAUGUGAUGAAUUUUGAACUAAAUUGGUUGCAUUGAUGUGUUAAAGGCAUGGAAAUUGAUUGUGACUUCGAUUCUAAGUUAAGGGUUGGUUUGGAACCGAAUGAGUUUUAGUUGCGAAGUUAGUCGAAAAUAAUUAUUAAUAUCUGUUGGUCAAACAUGGGUCAAACCUGGUCAAUUCCUAGUCAACAUAGGAAAUCCUAGUCAAACUAGGAAAAAGUCGAAUCGAUGAUUAUUAUGGGUUCCGGUCUGACCGAUUUGUUCUACUAUUUAUCAUCAGACGUGGGAUUGGCUAGAGAGUGUGAAUAGUUGGAGGCAGCGCUCGAGGAGUAUUCCAAGCAUUGGAAGACUUAGGCCUAAUACUGUCAGUGGACGUUUGUUUUAAAUUAAAUGCAUGUGAUUGUUUCAUAUUUAAUGAUUGAGUUUAAUUUAUUGAAUCUUAAUUUGUGGAAUAAAUUUCCUUUUAUGAAUUAUUUAUGCGAAGUAUUUUCGAAAGUGAAUAUUCUUAUUUUAUUUGUUAACUUCACUAUUUGGAAAGUUACUGAAAAUGAAAUUUUCGGUGGAAUCCUAUACAUAUUUCCUUCUUCUAUAUUUGGCAAUUUUCAUUAUUUUGGAGAGUUACUGAAAAUGAGAUUUUCGGUGGAUAUGUAUAUGGAUAUUUAUGAGGAUAGUAUGUAUAUAAAUGCUAACUCGCCAUAUGUGUUUUUUUCGCCAUAAUGAGGUGAAAUUCCAUUAUGGUGUGACGUGAGCGUGAGACGCAAUCGUCGUAGCCCUAUAUGAGUGACGCAAGCGUCGUAGCCCUAUAUGAGUGUAGGAAUUUAUAUAGGGGGUAUGCACAUAUAUACACCGUCUUUUCCGCCAUAAUGUAGCGUUUCAAAAUUCCAUUAUGGUGUGACAUGAGCGUGAGACGCAAGCGUUGUAGCCUUGUAUGAAUUUCUAUUUUUCAUAUAUUUUCAUAAGAAUUCAUACAAGGAGUAUGACAAGUGUAAAUACAUAUAUAUAUAUAUAUAUAUUUUGGCCUGAGAGGCUGUUUAUUAUGAAGUAUGGGAGACUAGCUAGGCUAGUCACGUUUUUGUUAAUUUUUAAGUUAAAAGCUUUUGAGCUUGUCGCAUGCAUCAUAGCUUUUCUAAAUAGAUUAAAUUGGGAAAGCAUAAAGACUUGUUUUUUUUAAACUUUAUUUUUGUCCACUCACUCUAACGUUUUCAAUUGCUUCUCCCCUGGGCCCUUCGGUUUUAAAUGCCUAGUUUGCAGGUUAGCAUAGUUGAGGUCGGGCGUAUAUGGAAUAUAUCGAGGCAUAGUCCAUCAUAUAGCUUUCUUUUAUUUUUAUAUUUAUUUUUUCUUCAUUGUUAGAAUUGCUCUGAACCUAUGAAUUGUUGGAUAUGAGAUUAUUAUUAGAUUAGUAAAUAAAUUGGGAGGUGUUGUGAUUGGGGGAGCACGAAGGCUCCAAGAGUAUAUAAGAUUGGAGAUGAAAUUUUUAGAAGUGUUUGCAAGUAUUUUUAGGAAGGAUUGUCCAUUUUCAAGAGAGGUUAUGCCGAAUUUUAGAUAAAAUUUCCUUUAGAGGUGGUCCCCGCAGGUUUACUUUGAAUUUCAGGGUGAAAUUCGAGGUGGGUCCUGACAAAUUCUCUAGAAUGUCCUGUGCAAUAAUACGUUGAAUGUAGCUUGAACAAGGACUAGAUGCAUUGCUUGGACACCAAGUUGAAUCAUGGCAAGGGAUUCCUUCCUUAUUCUGCCGCAAAUCAAAUCUUCUCCUUGCUUGGUGUGCAAUUAGGGUACCUACAAAGGAGAGAAAAUCAGAUUAAUAAGGUAGGAAUAAUCGGAAUUGAAAUGGUAAAGUUAAAGGAAAGAAUCUCCUUUAUUUUUUGAUUUAUAUUGCACGCAAAAUCCCUUGAUUUAGGACGAUUUCCUAACCCUAGAAUCCCUUGAUCACGGUAAAAUCCCAAGGGAUUUGCCGUCCUUCUUAUACACGUCCAAAAGAAAUCCUCUUUCAUGUUAGGUUAGGGUUCCUAGCUUCACAUGGCGUCCCUGUCUCAUGAGGAAAGAAAGUUUCUCAAAAUGAAUAAGGAAAGGCAGAGCAUGAAAGCUUUAUAAGUAGUAAGUUUCCUAAAUCAAAAUGAGAAAGUUUCUUAAAUGAAAUAGGCAAGUUUCCCGUUUCAAAUCAGGAAAGUUUCCCAAACGAUUUAUCCUUUGAUUUACUCAUUUUUGCGACUUAUUGAGACUCCUUGUUGCACCGGGAAUCCUCAUUUGACCAGGAUUCCUAUCAAUUCUUGCCUUUUAGCCUUCUUUUAUGUAAUGUUGCCUCUUUCGACCUAAAACAUUGAAACAAGCUAGAAAUGGCAUUAUUAAGAACAUAAUGAAGCUAAAUAGGGUUGGAAAUAUGUUAAUAUCGUAGCAUAAAAUGCGUCUAUGAAGUGACACUUCAACCAAAACCCCAAUUCCCAUACAACAACCCUAGCCUCAAUAUAGGCCUAAUGCCCAAACAAGGGUUUAACAAUAGUCUGCCACCAGCAACUAGCGUAUGUUGACAUGCCACCGGCAACCUCCAAACUGAUCCUAACAACCUCUAAAUCGAUCCUAGCGCUUGCUGAGAACUCCUCCGAUAGGUACUUGUCUUCCUCCACAAAUAUGUCGUCAUCUUGGAGAACUUGCCCAAAGCCAUGAGUCUUAGAUUCGAUAACCCUCCAUUGAUUCACGACGAUCCAACCACCACCCGAACCAGUGACAUGGCCAUGGCCAUGUCGAGCCUUCCGACCUGCUUGAUGCCAAAGGCCGACGCCCGACACCACGUUGACAAAGCCGGCUUGGCCUGACGCCACAGAGUUGCCGUCGUUGAUCUCACUUUCACCAACAAACUCAUCAACGCCGAAACGAUCAAGACUGAGGAGAAGAAAACACAACCGAACCAAAAAUAGAUUGGUGCACAAAGAAGACGACGGGAAAGAAACCCACAACCUCCAUCACAUAAAACACCAUAACAAAUGGAAGAUCCUUUUCUACCAGUAAUAAAACCAUAGACAUAUGCCGCCAACGACAAACCCUAGCUAGCAGAGAGCCUUUCAUUUUGUUUAGUUGUUUAAUGAGAUGGUUAAUGUGUGAGUGAUAUGCAUGAAUUCAUGGAUGAAAUGUUUCUAUUAUAUAAAUUUAGUUGGUUAAUUCGAGUGUAACGUGUGUAUAUAAGGGGUUGUGAACUUACCACAUGUUACUCCUCUUAUUAUUAUUUUUGAAUAGUACGAAAAUUUGAUUGACCAAAGAUAGAGGUUACAUUGUAAAAUAAAAAACUUUUUCUCCUAAACCUAGAACGCACCUCACACGCGCAAACCUCUGACUUUUGUCGACGGCUUCUUUUCCACCUGUCCGGCUGUGCAAUGGCGUUGGCGUUGGCCUCCGGCCUCGUCGAAGUUCAUUUAUUGCGGUUGGACAGACCGUCAAUAUAGGAGCUUGCUCCGAUGAUUGGUUGGGUCUGUGUGGGUGCAGGUUUUCUUGUUUUCAGUCGAUGGUGGCGGUAGUACAAGUGGAGUCUUCGUGGACGAUUAUGAUGAUAGAUCAUAUUCGGCCGGAGCUCGCUGCAAGAAUCGUAGAUCAGACCCGAUCUAGAAUUUGGUUUUGUGAUCGGAUCCUUGUGGAUCUUGCCGGAGAUUCAGCCUUGGAUGAUUGGGAGUGGGUUUCGGUAGGUGUAGUGGAGGACGGCGGGGGGAUGGUUUGUGGGCUGUGGCGGUUGGGGGUUGUGGAGGUGGGGGUGUUACUGCGGAACCAGGUCAGGGGCGGUGCUUCGAAGAAGGUCGAGAUCCGAAAGCAGCGGCGUGACUGGGUUACGGACCCGCUGGGGAAGAGGCGGCUGCUUGUCCAACAGUUGGGUCGGGCUAAGAUUAAGGGCUUAACCUGAUGGGCCCAAGUCCAGUUACGGGCUUGUUUUGGUACUAUUAGAACAUGGGCUUGGAAUUCCAUACUAGGUCCAUUCUAUUUUAUUAUUAUGCUUUCUUAUUUAGUUGUUUCAAUUCUAGUUCUAAGCGGCUUUAUGUCGCAAAUAAUUCUCUAUCACAUUUUGAUAGGGCGUGAAUGGUUUUGUGCCGGUCUAUGCACCUUGUGUGCCUCAUUUGCUCUAGGUAGGUGGCGCGUCCAAUAGAAGAUGCUCACAACAAAGCCCAACAAGAGUCCACUACCAUCUCCAAAGUUUGCAGCUCUCAUGCCGGUGUACUGCCUUACCUUCCGGUUGCCGCUGUCAUGCCAUGCCAUGACCCAAAGCCGACCAAGACACACACCGUCGCUGUCUUGCGCCCAAGCCAUCAUAGAAGUUCACAACCUGCGAAACACCGCCCUGGCUAAGUUCUUUUAGAACCACAACCAUGCCGAAGGCACAAAGGCAUGAAACUCGCCAAUGCCCUAGACGUAAGCCAUCCACCACCACAGAAGCCACUCUCCUUGAGAGAAAGACCAUGGACCAUGCCUCAGCCAUCAACUAAUCCUUGAGUCAAGAUGCAUCCCUCUAGAUCUCUCCGAGCAAGAAGAUUGCAGAUCCUGUCCGGCAGCAGACCCUGAGGCAACGACAAGGCCAAGAGGCCCGCCGAAGCGCUCGGGCACCACCGAAUGAGGUUGGAUCUGAAAGUUUUGGGAGCGAUAACACUUUUUUUGAUUUUUAUUGAUGAAUUAAUAUCUCGCUAAAUUCUCAAGGCCUGUAAAGACUACACACAUUUAGUUUGUUUUUAUAAGACGCUCGUUUUUCAUGAAAAAAGAAAAAAGAAAAAAAAGUAAAUGAAUAAAAAUCAAAGUUGGCAAAAUAUAUAAACCUCCCGUCGGGGACUCUGGCACUCUGCUUAAUCAAAGUUUUGCUUCUUAAAAUUUGCACUUUAUCUUACGAUUUACCUACAAAGAUAUUACAAGGUAAAACUCAAGUAAUUAAAGUUUCUCUAUGUUUUCAAAGGGAUCGUAUGAGAUUUAGACGACAAGCCACAUGAAGAAGGCAGACCAAAACGUAAGCGCUACAGAAGCAAGAACAUAAGUCCAUAGCAUGAUAACUGAACACUCCUUCUCUCCUGCUCCGAACAAUUGAGUGAUGGUUGCUGCCAUAACAUGAUGGAUAUAUGUUAACAGACAUGAUCAUCGAGAAACAAAUGCACAUUGCAAUUUCUGGUGUGUGUGUGUAUAUAAAUGGUACCUAUGUUCACUGCAGGUGGGAGUGAAAAUUGAAGGAGAAGAACAAACAGAUACAACGGAUCAGAGUGUACUAAGCCAAAUUUCAUUGCCCCUUUAACGAUCAAUAUGCCGGUGAGAGGCAGCGCAACAUAACGAACAAUGAUGACGCCGAUAACGAGAGAAGUUUGUAUCCCAGACCCUCUUAGACCUGAAAGGAAAUGGUGCAUAGAUGGAACUUUUCAGUUGAACUCAAAACUAAGUAUGCCUAAUCAUGAAAGCCGGACUCUGUGGAUGGAGUUAUCCAUUACCUUUAAGAAGGUUUCCUCCUAUAAUCAGAGUGACGGUAGGGAUAGCUCCACCACUGCAAUCAUUAAGAGAGCAUUAGUUUAAAGACUAUAAUGUCACGGAAAAAUAACAAAGUACACACAAAUGGAAUCGACACCAGAUAAUGAACUCUUAGCACUCAUUAUUCUCCUAUAUAUCCGAGUAAUUAAGAUUAUGUUAAAAUAAAUAUGUAUAUAACAUAUACGUACGAUGGACCAAACAUAUAUUUUCCCUAGAAUCUCAUAGCUAGGAGCUACAUCAAAGUGCUAAACCCCUGGAGCUGGAGACAGUUUUUGCAUAAGUUUUAUACCCCAACAAGGAAACAGUGUCAUUAAUCACCCGUAGAGGAGCGCCAUCAUCUAUGAAUACUUUUCGAACGGGAGGGACGACUCCGAUUACAAAGCCGAUGAUCUAUAUUGAAAGAAAAAAAAGAAUUAUAAACUCUAUCAAUGUGUCGAUAAUCAUAGAAAGGGGAAAAAGGAACCACAUAGAUUGCAUUUCUCAAAUUAAAGGUUAUACCGCUGCAACUAUUGAGGGGGAAAAGAUCGUUUCUAGAUUGAGCUUCUUAACCACCUUCAUUACACGGUUCUUUAGUUUGCCCGGAGGUGCCAUGAUCUGCAGCAAUGAAAUAUAACAAGAAGCUUGCAUUAUUAUCGAAACUUAAUAUAUAGCUUGCGACAUACGUACAUACUAUCGUAUAUACAUAUGUCAAUUUCCUGUCAGCUAUUUGGAAAAGACUCGAAACUUUACAAAUAAGUAUAUUUGUAGUUGAAACUAGUUGACAUCACAGUAUUAGACUAUUAGAGUGUUAGUGUACACUCUAAAUAGAUGAAAAAAUACAUCCAACAAUUCAUAUAAGAAAAAAAAAAAAGGACAAUGCCCAUUAGCCCUAAUUUUAAGAAUUUUAUUUUCACAAACAAAAUCAGAUUUUAAAAUUCCCAAGAGUCAACUUAAACAGGAAAAAGACAAUUAUACUCUUAAUGAUUUAAAUAAACUAUAAUAGACCAUUAUUAUUAUUAUUAUUAUUUAAAUAAAUAAAACUUUUUAUUAAAUAACUCACACACCCUUACAUAUGUCAGCGAGGUUUGAACUCAUGACCUCAACGUUGUCAGUUAGGCUACCUAACCAACUAGGUCACGGCUCACCGACGUAUAAUAGACCAUUAUAAGAAUAAUAGAAGGUCUAUUUUGAAAUAAAUAUCUAUGACCGGAUUCUUGCACACCAAUGACCGUUGACCGUGACUCCGGCAACCGUUGACCAGAAUCCGACGACCGUUGACCGGGAUCCGACGACAUUGACCGGAGUUCGGUGACCGUUGACUGAACUCCGAUGACCGUUGACCGGACUCCGACGACGGUUGACCAGUCUCCGGUGACCGGAUGUCUAUUGAGGGCAGUAGAAGGUUUAUUGGGGGCAGUAGAAGGUUUAUUGGGGGCAGUAGGACCUCCUAUUGGGGCAGUAGGACCACCUAUUAGGGUCAGUAGGACCCUUAAACUUAACCGUGCUUUAGUCACUUAUAACAUGUCCCUAUUGGGGCUGUAUGACCACCUAUUGGGGGCAAUAUGACCACCUAUUGGGGUCAGUAGGCCACCUAUUAGGGGCAGUAUGACCUCCUACUAGGGUCAGUAGGACCCUUAAACUUAACUGUGUUUUAGUCACUUAUAUCAGGUCUUUAUUGGGGGCAGUAUGACCACCUAUUGCGGUCAGUAGGGCCUCCUAUUGGGGUCAGUAGGACCUUCUAUUGGGGGCAGUAUCAUUCAAAAUGGAAACCAAGUUCUUGUACACCCAACACUGUUUUCUUAAAAAAAGAAAAACUAAAAAAUUGACACGAAAAUAAGCAUAGCAUAAGAGAGACUUCAAAUCCAACCAUUCUAUGUAUCAAUUAUAGCUAUUUAAAAAAUCUUGACAUAUAAAUAAAUCAAGUGGUCAAUUAGAGGCUUAGAGGGGCAUUCCCAUCUAGUGAUACCAUACAAGUCUUCCCGGUAUAUUCAACCAUAUACAUAUAAACCAGAAAGAAGUACCAAGUCCUAACAGCUAUAGUAAUGGAAUAAUCAAAUAGAAAUAGUUAAGGUAAAGCAAAAUGAGAGAAAGAUGCAGGGAAUAUAUGAUUUCUACUAUAGAUUGAGGGCACAUGAAAGCUUACACAGUGGACUACUCCACACAAAUUUGCAAAGCGAAAUCAAAAAGCCAGAAGAAAUUAAUUAAGAAAGGAUUAAGAAACCCCUAAGAAAACAUUGUCUGUUUAAAAAAACUUAGCUAGCUAACUCAUAUCCACAAUCCACAAUUUUCACUUCAUCAUAUCAAAUCAGAUCAAACCCUAACUCCAAUCCAUCACACAUCAAAUCAAACCAAAGCAUUCAAAUUCCCAAUUUCUCCGGGCAAAGUCUUCAUCUUGUUGAACGAAAGGCCCAAAUACUCCAAGCUCUUCAAGCAUCAAAUCUCCGGCGGUAGAAAAGUUAUAGAGAAAUAACAUACCGAUAGCUUAGUCAGGAGCUUGAGCCCGGCGACCUAGAUAAGAAUUAGAACCGCCGAGCACAGGGACGUGACUUUGGAGAGCUCCAGCUCCUUCAGCCCUUGAACUUGUGCAGCGGCAAGCCGUCGAACUCCGGCGACGAGAUCCUCAGGCAUUCGAGGCUCACCAAGUCUCCUGGACUAGCCAGUCGACAUUGAUGGAGGUGGGCUUCGCCGGCAGCGUCGUUGUCGGGUCUGUGUCAGCGACGUCGUCAUCGAGCAGAGAGAGAGAGAGAGAGAGAGAGUAGAUACGAAUGAGGGGAUGGAAGAAAGAGAAAGAGAUAAUAAGAGGCAGGGGUAAUUUGGUCAGGAAAAAAACACAAAAGGUUAAAAAUUUUGUUAGUGAGAAUAGAUCUGUUAAGAGUGUAUGGGUUGAUGGGAAUAUUGAAAUCUGUUUUUGUUAGUGGGAAAAAGAUCCCCAAAUUUAGGGCUAGUGUGAAUUUUCCUAAAAAAAAAAAGUAGCUUAAAGUCUAAACUUCUUCAAAAAUGUAAGAAAAGGCCGUACUAUCAAUAUUGUCGGUUGAAUAUUGCUGGAGGAACCAUCUUUUUUGGUAAUACAUGCAUCACAUCUUAUGUGAGAAUUGAAGUGACACAAUAUGCACGACACAAUAUGCACGCCAUUUAAGAAUAGGUUCGGCUUUGUGGUACAUAUAUAAACUGCCGAUAAGGUGAUAUGCAGAUGAUAACCAAAUAGUUGGUUCACCGAACAUUAGAGUAUUGGCAACAAUACCACUGUUGGAAUAGCUAGGCUUUUACAUUAGUAAUGGAAAGAAAGCAGAGGCUCAAUGCAACUUGGUUUUUUUUUAUUGAAAUUAACUUACUUGGUUUGUUAUGGAGGAUCUUUCCAAAGAUUGGAUCGUGUCUUGAUCAAGAGUGUUUCUCUUUGAAGCUAUCCUCAUAAUAUUAUAAACAUAGGACCACAAAUAAACAGCAGAUAUCUGGCGAACAAAUGGGAUUGAAAUUAAAAAAUUAUGAUAAAGAAAGAAUCUAGAAAAAUAAAAUAAGCAAACUAGAGAAGUAUACCGCCAUUGAAAGUGAAGCAUAUGCCAUUCCAGAAGUAUAACAAACAUCAGCAGCUCCAAAUGGACUCCCUUUUUCUUUACAAACAGCCGGAAUUAUAAUGAGGAGCAAGUUCCCUAAAUUUCCUGCUCAAAUCCACAAGCAAAUUUAUAUUACAGAAAUAUUUCUGUAUGCUGAUCGAUUUCGGAGGUAUAAAAAUUUUGCCAUUCAUCUUUUGUGGACCUUUCUCUUUCUCUCUAAUUUCUUUUCUUUUAUAACAAACAUUUCAUAUUGACAAUUCAAAUUUACCAGCAGCACAGAAACCCAUAAUAAGGCCUCGCAGAUGUGGAGGAGUUCUUGUUAAUAAGUUGAGUAUCCAUCCAAAUAUUGAACCAACAACAAAGGUCAGUAGGAUGUUCACAGGCAUGAACCACCUAUAUACAUAUAGCUAGGCACAUAUAUAAGUCAUUUAUAAACGCAUGCAAUAGUACUAGCUCAGAAAUCAAAUUAAAUUGUAAAAUCUCACUACUAAACGAAAGACUAUUCAACUCACAGCUUGAUCAUACUGUCAUAUGUUAUGGUCUCAGCAAGGCUGGAACCAACCAAGGCUGGGUUGAACACGAAAAAUGCAACCUGUUCAUCAAUAAACACAAUAAUAUACAGUACUACUCAUCAAUUCACUUCAUUCGAUCAGUAAGAGAAAUGAAGAAAAAAGAAGUACGCUGGCGGUAUACAUACACUGUUUAAGUGCUUCCUAGUAUCUUCACCCAGAAUAUUGACGCGUUCUGUAGCAAGAUAUGAGCCAAGGGCAGUAAUCAAUAGGGUUUUCAAGACUGGAAUGGAUGCAGUGAUGAAGAGCUGCAAAAGCUUCAUCUUCAUCUUGUUUCAGCUAAAAGUAAUAUUAAUAUUUCCAAAGCAAAUUCAAGAAUGAGCAACUUAUGUUAACCCAAAGAAAGAACACUACUACUUGGUGGUUCCUCAUAUAUUAGACUUAUAUAUACUUGCAUUAAUAUGGAGGACACUGCUGCAAUGCGUCACGGUUCACGAACUUAACUGUGGUUGAUGCCCCUGGAGGCAAUAUUAUUGCAUAAAUUCUACGUUUGAGUUGGGUUCUGUCUUUUCUAGAUUCCCAUAUUAAAUAUCGAGGGGUUAGUAACGAGUCAGCACAUGGAGUUAUAAGAGCAUUUUUAACAGACUAUAUUUUCUCUACUUUAUAACAAUUUAAACUAUUUAAUCGUUAUUUAAGAAAUAAUAUUAAUGUAAUGCUAGCUAAAAUAGGGAGUAUUGAUGCAUACGUAAUUCAAAAGCGACUAGUCAGAAUAACAUUUUAGUUAAUUUGACUAAAGAUGACUAGCAUUGCUAAAAAUGCUAUAAGCGCAUGAACCCAAAGGCUCUUUAAACUUGCUAGUGAUAAACCAGCGUCAUUGUUUGUGCUAAAAAAGGAAAAUAAAAGGGUCGCAAAACGGCCGUAGAUUUGAUCUGGCGCGGCGCCUUGCCGCCUUCCCCAUGUCAUGCCAUUGCAAACGAGACUCAGACACUAGCAAAAGCACCAUGUUAAGAAUUGAGGAAGAGCAAUUAAAACUUAGCUACCAUCUAUGGUAUUGUUUAAGAGGAUUCCACUAAACGAUUGUAAAGAAAGAGAAAACCGAUCAAUAGUAUCUCCAAAACGCACUUAAGAAAUGAAAUGGAAAGUGAAUUAUUCAUAUAUGGACGAUGUAAAACGCACUACGUCGAUAGCUUUUGGUUUGUGUACAUAUUUUCAACCUGAGGCGCAUGAAACACUGAUUUCAUAAGCACACGUUCGAAAAGUUUUUGGCUCUUUCAUCAAAUGUAUAAUUGUAUACUAUGAAAAGAGUGGGCAACACUAAAAAGGAAGAUCAACUUGCAAUUAACAAUAUCAGAACCCAACAACCGAUUGCAUAUAAGCAUACGACGUGAUUGAUUUUGCUUUCCUUAAUUUUAAUUUAGACUGAAAUUAAUUUACAAAAUGUGUUCAAGCUCAUUAGGUUUGGUCCGGGCCAUUUUCCGUUACUAUUCUACUGAUGAACUCGGGUUCAAGCAUGGAUAGAUUCCGUUACGAGUUGAAAAUGAUCAAGGUGAGCAUCAGUGGUGUAGCUACAUGGUGAGUAGGGAAGUCAAUUGACCCUUCUCAACAUCUUUCCACAUCCAUUCCAUUGUUUUCAGAUUUUUACUUAUAUCUAAGAGUAAUAUAAACUACUUUACUCAUUUUGCCCCUUCAAAUGUGAUAAUAAAUAUACUUGCUUUUAAGUUUUAACUAGUUCAUGAGAUCAAAGCAAAACAAUGUGUUUAUUUCUUUGUAUUUAUUUUAUUUAUUUUCUCUCGUUUGUUCUCUUUUCUUAAUUUGAGUGGUUUAUCUCAUACACAUAUAUUAAUAGACAAAAUAUUGGUCACUCCUCUUAUUUUUGAGGUUUCGACAGUUUAGUCCUCCUUUUUUUAAUUUCGACAGCUCACUCUCAUUACUUUUCAAUGUCAAACAAUUAGGUCCAACAGUCUACUUUCCAUCCAAUUUUACAGUUAAGUUGUUGAGCUGUCAUUUCUCUCAUGCCAAGUCAGCUGAAUGAAGGGGUAAAAUCACUAUAACACUCUUUAGUUUAUUUUCCCGUUUCUCCAACAAAAGAAGGAUGGAAAUCCCUCCAAAACAAAAAUUGGAUGAUGCAAUUUUUGUUUUCGGUAAAUUAGCACUUUAUUGAUUGGCUUGCUAAUUUUGAAGAAUAUGCAAUGUAUUUUUGUUGACAAUAACAGUAUUAUGAAGGUAUUAAGGAAUGUAGGUGAAAUUUGUUUUUUAUUCAGUUUCCUUUAGUUAUGCUUCAGUUUUUUUUUUUUUUUUUUUUUUUUUUUUUUUUCUUGAUACAAAUUAUGCUUCAGUUCUUGAAGCUUGAAUUUUAAUGACUAUCUUGUACAAUGAUUUUAGAGGGAAAUGGUUUCCGUUUUGGAAAGAUUUCCAUAUUUCUUUUGCUGGAGAAGCCAAAGGGUGUUAUAAUGAUUUUACCCUUCAUUUUGCUGAUUUGACAUGAGAGAAAAUGACAGCUCAACAACUUAACAGUGAAAUUGGAUGGAAAGUAGACGGGUGAACCUAAUUGUGUGACAUUGAAAAGUAACGAGAGUGACCUGUCGAAAUUGAGAAAAAAAGAACUAAACUGUCGAAACCUCAAAAUAAGAGGAUCCGAAGUGACCAGUAUUUUGUUCUAUAUUAAUCUAUAGUUUCUUCUCGGCUUGACACUACUGGAAAAUAACACUUAGGAGGCGGAAUGAUUUCGUCUCCUAAGUAACAAAAUUGGUCUCCUAAGAACUUAGGAGACGGAAUUAUCGUCGACUAAGAUCCGUCGGCUAAGUAUCGUGAAGUAGGAACUUAGGCGACGGAAUUUGAAUUUCCGUCUGCUUGGUGGUUCUUAGGAGACGGAAUCGUUUCGUCUCCUAAGAUAAUAAGAGACGGAUUUUUUUAAACAAUUAUACAUUUAUACUCUAAGGCGACGGAAUCUAUUAUACAUUUAUACUCUUAGGCGACGGAAUUGAUUCCGUCGCUACUUCUUAAAAAAAAAAAAAUGAUAAAAUCCGCCGUAGGCGGCCUCUGCUUUCUUCCAAAUCUCAAUCCAAUCUACCAUAAAACCACAAUUAAUAUGNNNNNNNNNNNNNNNNNNNNGGGGGUUUGAAGUAUCAAGUUGUGGAAGAAGAAAUUAGAUGGAGAUGGAGGUGGUUUGAGUUUGGAAAGGGGAUGGAGAUGGAGGUGGUUACGGGAGAGGAAGAGAAAGAAUUGAAAUGAUGAGAUGAGAUGAGAAGAUAGGGUUAGUUAUCAUUGGAUAGGGUUAGGUGGUUUUAUUAUUUUUAAUUUUUAAAAAGAAGGUUAGUUUAAUGAGACAAGAAGUUGAAAUUUUUGAGAAAAAAUUGUUUGAAUUUUUAUCAAUUUUUUGGCGGAAAGACUGCCGCUAAUAAUUUGGGCACUUAGACGACGGAUUGAAUAUUGUUCCGUCGCCUAAGCGAAUAAAUUUUUUAUUUUUUAUUUUAUAAAAAUGAUUCCGUCUUCUAAGUAAAUUUUCUGUCUCCUAAGUAGAACUUAGAAGACGGAAUAUUGUUCUGUUGCCUAAGUCAAUAAUUUUUUUUAUUUUAUUUUUUUAUAAAAAUGAUUCCGUCUCUUAAGUAGAACUUAGGCGACGGAAUACGAUUCCCUAGCCUAAGUGACCACUUAGGCUACGGAACAGUAUUUUGUCGCUUAAGUUCUACUUAGGAGACGGAAUUAAAACAAUUCCGUCUCCUAAGAGCUUUUUUUCAGUAGUGCGAUUUGUUUAUUAUUCGAUGAACUCUAGAGAUAACAAAAAAUUUCUUCCUACCUAAGCCCGUCCAAAGUUUAACCCCUCUUCAUAUAAUUUCUGGAUAUGCCACCGGUGAGCAUAAUUCGAAAAGUACAUAUGCUUUCUAUCAUUCAUUUUUACCAUCCACCAUUGAUCAGAGGGGAGAGGGGCUAAUACGACCAACCAAAAUUCGAAAUGAUCGUUCUCAAAACAAUCUCAAGAUGAAGUACUAUACAACUUUCAAUCUCAUCAUGGUACUUCCCCGUAACAAGGGCAAAGAAACGCCCCGUCAAAACUUCUCAGUCGGACUGCGCUCACAGUUUAUCAACAAGGCCAACAGUUUGGCUUGACAUGGAAAUUAACUAGAGGGCAAAGGCCUCCAAGCGUAUUCAUUAAGCCAUUGCCACCCUCUGCUUAAGAGAAAGAAGGAGAGCCUAUAGAUUUUGAUUUUGUAUAAUAUUGAAUUCAUAUGAGUAUGGUUAUUGGGACCUCCUAAUUUACUCAUUUAACUCAGGGCCGGUCCUGACAUUUUAGAGGCUUGAGGCGAACUACCAAAAUGUGGCCUCGUAAAAUAAUUCAAUCAAUAGAGCGAUUUUUUCUUUUACUUAUAAAUUAGUUUCAUGCAUAAAUAUUAUUAAAUUAUCUUGCAUCAAUAUGAGAAAACAAUGAACAAAAAAAGUAACAAAAGAAAACAGAACGGGAAAAAAAAAAAAGAACAAAACGAGCUAGCCCCAAGUUGAGGGUGGAAUGAAACAAGGAAAAAAAAAGGAAAUAAAGUAGUAUAUGCAAGAUGACUAUAUAUAAAUAGACAAUAUUCUGGCAUAACUUAAAAAAAAAUAGUAAUAAUAAUAGUCAGAGGUCCACUAAAGACGGUGGCCUGAGGCGGCCGCCACAAACAACUCCCCUCAGUGCCAGUCCUAACCUCUAUUUUGAGUUAUUGAAUGACAGAUAUCUCCUCUCACAUAAUUUAUAUCACUACUACAAUCCUUACCUAUGACCACAUCCAUCAAGUGUGGCAAAGUAGGCCAGUAACCACACUUAUGUGUGUCCAAGCCUCCAUUGCAACAAUGCAGCAACACUUUCUAGGUUUGUGGGCAACAGAGCCGUUGCAAACAAAUAAAAUGCCACAUUUGUGUUGGAUGUGGGUUAGUUCAUACUAGGUAAGAAGCCCGCGCCCAGCUGCGGGUUAUGCUACGGGUGUACCACUAAUUUGGUUCAACUUACAAAAGUGCAAUUCGUCAAGCUCUUUUUUUCUUUUGGGAAGAAAUUCGUCAAGCUCAUUCAAGUCUUCAAAGGAGGAAAAUGCAGGGAAUCAUAUUCAUUUGUAUAAAAACCUAGAGUUUUGACUUAAAUCAAAAGUUUGGGCUGAUCGCCAAUUAACUUUAUCUUCUUCUUUUUUGGAACAAUUAACUUUAUCAAUAGGACAUUAUUUCAUUCAGAGUAACCAAAACUCCCAUCUUAAUGUAUAUUUAACUAAAUAGAGUAACCAAAACUCUUAUGAUAACUAAAUAGCAGUGAGAACAAAUGAAAGGAUUUUUUUGAACACUUCUGAAAAGAGGGGAAAAAAAAAAGAUACAACAAAACGAUCGAGCAAUUUGGGGCCUCCUUUUCUGUCCAUAUGACCCACUUAUUCCUGAAUCUUUGCUCUUACAGCAGCAUUAGCACCUCAUUAGCAAAUGAAGAGCACAACUUUGUGUCUCCUACUUUCUGCAUCUUGGCAAAUUCAAUGUGCUCUUCCUGCAGAAUAAAAGAAAAAGCCAUUUAACCAGGAUCUCAGCUCAUGAUGGAUCCAAUUAAUGUUGUUGUUAUAUUCACCCUCUUUUAAAAGUAGUUCUAAAAAAAUAAGAGUGCGGCUAUGCUCACAGCUCACACUACUAAAUCCUUUGUUCAUAUUACAUUUUCUUUUUGACCAAUCAAGUUUCAAUUUUACCCUGAAACAUUAGAAAAACUGAAGAAAGAAAAAAGAUUAAACCUAAAAUUGAAACAUAUAUAUAAAACAUGGAUAAAGAAUUAGAACACCCAAUUCACCGAGACUUGAAUGGGAUUUCUAGUAAGGGGCCAUAAAUACAAAAGAAAAGGAAAAAAAAUGUAAGAAGAAGAAUACUGCAAACAAUUUCAAUCGUGUUCUGAACAGAAAUCCCAAGAAAAAAAAAAAAAAAAGUUCAUCGGUACAGAGGUUAGAUGACAUAGAUUUCUGCAAGGGAAAAUGAUAAAAGGCCGUGUGGGCUGAAGUUGUGCUUUAACUAAUAUAUAAAGGCAAAUACUUGUGUGCCUUAAGGUAUGGAUACCUUAACCACAUGGUUGCUUAUGAUUGGUCCAACUAGAUUAAUGAUGACCUGCUACCUGUUUGACUGGUCAUCCAAUUUAAAUCUCAAACUAACUCUCACUCUCUCACUAACGGGGUUAGUUUCUCUCUCUCUCUCUCUCUCUCUCAUUAACGGGUUAGUCUCUCUCUCUCUCUCUCUCUAACUUAAACAAUUUGAACACCUUUGUCUCAUCGAUCUCUCUCUUGUCUCAUCGAUAUGUCAAUUUCUUACUAAAAUUGAUCUCGUUGCAAGAAACUAAUUCCUCUUGUAUGCUCUCUUGAGAUUAAACUCAAUGAAGGCAAAAGUUGCAAAGUUUACAUUUAACAUAAGACACAACUACAUUUUUCAUAAAAAUGGCUACCAUUAACAUAAGAGAAAUCAAAGAAAAGUAGACUCUCUGGAAAUCAAAAUUGUUCUUGAGAUUGAAUCAAUAAUUAUAAGUGAAAGUUGCAAAGUUUACAUUUCACAUAAGACACAACCAUUAUUUUAAUGAGAAAUGUCUACCAUUUAGAUAAGCAAAAUCACAAAAAAGUAGACUUUCUGAAAUCAAAAUUGUUCUUGAGAUUGAAUCAAUAAGGGAAGGUGAAAGUUGCAAAGUCUACAUUUAACAUAAGACACGUCUACUAUUUUCAUUCGAAACGCCUACCAUUAACAUAAGAGAAAUCAAAGAAAAGUAGACUUUCUGGAAAAUUAAAUUGUUCUUGAGAUUGAAUCAAANNNNNNNNNNNNNNNNNNNNACCCUUCCUUUUUAUAGUUGAUUUCUAUAAAUAGUAACUUUCGUUUUUAGAGCAUAACUAUCCCCCCAAAAUGGAAACUUACCCUUCCUUUUAUAGUUGAUUUCCAUAAAUAGUAACUUUCGUUUUUAGAGCAUAACUAUCCUCCCAAAAUGGAAACUUACCCUUCCUUUUAUAAUUGAUUUCCAUAAAUAGUAACUUUCAGAAAGUCUACUUUUGCAUGUCAGUUAGCUCAUGUUAUUAUUAGACUUAACUCAUGUUAAUAAUAGACUUUACAUCUUAGAGUACUUGAUUCAACUUUGAAAAACAAUCUCAAGAACGAAUUUCCAAAAAGUCUACUUUUCUUUGAUUUCUCUUAUGUUAAUGGUAGUCGUUUCUAAUGAAAAUAGUAGACGUGUCUUAUGUUAAAUGUAGACUUUGCAACUUUCACCUUCCAUUAUUGAUUCAAUCUCAAGAACAAUUUUGAUUUCCAGAAAGUCUACUUUUCUUUGAUUUCUCUUAUGUUAAUGGUAGACAUUUCUUAUGAAAAAAGUAGUUGUGUCUUAUAUUAAAUGUAGACUUUGCAUCUUUUACCUUGGGUUGGUUCAAUGUCAAGAACAAUUUAGAUUUCCAGAAAGUCUACUUUUCUUUGGUUUCUCUUAUGUUAAUGGUAGACAUUUGUAAUGAAAAUAGUAAAGGUGUCUUAUGUUAAAUGUAGAUUUUGUAUCUUUUACCUUGGGUUGCUUCUAUCUCAAGAACAAUUUAGAUUUCCAACAAGCCUAAUUUUCUUUGAUUUCUCUUAUGUUAAUGGUAGCCAUUUCUUAUGAAAAAAGUUGUUGUGUCUUAUGUUAAAUGUAGACCUUACAUUUUUUACCUUGGUUAAUUUGCUUCAAUCUAAAGAACAAUUUAAUUUUCCAGAAAAUCUACUUUUCUUUGAUUUCUCUUAUGUUAAUGGUAGACGUUUCUAAUGAAAAUAGUAUACGUGUCUUAUGGUAAAUGUAGACUUUGCCACUUUCACCUUCCAUUUAUUGAUUCAAUCUCAAGAACAAUUUUGAUUUCCAGAAAGUCUACUUUUUUUUUGAAUUCGUUUAUGUUAAUGGUAGAGAUUUGUAAUAAAAACAGUAGAUGUAUCUUAUGUUAAAUGUAGAGUUGCAAAUUUUACCUUGGGUUGAUUCAAUCUCAUGAACAAUUUUGAUUUGUAGAAAGUCUAUUUUUCUAAUGAAAACAGUAGAUGUGUCUUAUGUUAAAUGUGUCUUUCGACUUGCAACAUUUUCUGUGAUAUUUUUCAUGACAAUAGUAGAUGUUUCUUAUGAUAGUUGUAGACAGUCUCAAGAAUCAUUUUGAUUUCUAGAAAGUCUACUUUUGUUUGAUUUUGCUCAUCUGAAUGGUAGAUAUUUCUAAUGAAAACUGUAGAUAUAGAGAGACUUAACGGAGAGUUAACAGUGUUAGUUUGCUUUAACCUGCUAUACCAAGUCAAAACUUGUUGGGUAUUCAUACCUUAAGGCACACAAGUGGAACCCAUAUAUAAAUAGAUAUUUUACAAAAUUUCUUAACUGUAGGUUAUAUUGUAAUAUUUGAUUAAAAAUACUAUAGUAAGUAAGGUCAACAAAGUAUUGGGUGGCCAUAGUCGUACCCUAAAAUAAAAGUUUAUCACAAAUUUUUUUUUNNNNNNNNNNNNNNNNNNNNUACCAUUAACAUAAGAGAAAUUAAAGAAAAGUAGACUUUCUGGAAAUCUAAAUUGUUUUUGAGAUUGAAGCAAACCAAGGUAAAAGAUGAAAAGUCUACAUUUAACAUAAGACACAACUGCUGUUUUCAUGAGAAAUGUCUACCAUUUAGAUGGGCAAAAUCACAAAAAAGUAGACAUUCUGGAAAUCAAAAUUGUUCAUGAGAUUGAAUCAAUGAAUAUUCACAAAAUGAAAAUUGACCGUCUGAUGUGAUCAUUAUAGUGAAACAUGGCUAUGGUAUAAAAUUCAACUGGAUUCAACAAUGUUCGGUGCUCGAUCAAAGCGGUCAACCCUAAUUCAUCUUCACUUAUCACACGAAAACUAUCUUACCUACCUCUUCGUGACCUAGUUUGGUGGAUUCUUCAACACAAUAAAGUGUCACAUAGAUGAGACAUAAUCACCCAUGUAAAACUUUGGGGACGUUUACCACCCGAGGAUAGGGCUCUCCUUAUUGAAGCAUAAGCGUAAAUAGGGUUGACCGCUUCGAUCGGGGCCCAAACAUUGACGAAUUAAAGUGAUUUUCCUACAGUAGCCGUAUUUUACUAUAUCGAUCACAUCCUAUUUCAUGAGAUUUUUGAAAAUUUUGCUUCCUCUAUAUAGUUGGCUCACAAAGUUGUACACUAGCAUAUAACCUACCAAACAAGUUAUACCACAUUAGUAAACACGUUAUAAUUCCGAUGACUAAAAUUCACAAAAUAAAAAUUGACCGUAUGAUGUGAUCAUUACAGUGAAACAAUGCUAUGGUAUAAAAUUCAACUGGAUUCAACAAUGUUUGGGGCUCAAUCAAAGCGGUCAACCCUAAUUCAUUUUCACUUCUCACACGAAAACUAUUUUACCUACCUCUUCGUGACCUAUUUUGGUGGAUUCUUCAACACAAUAAAGUGUCACAUAGAUGAGACAUAAUCACCCAUGUAAAACUUUGGGGCAGUUUACCACCCGAGGAUAGGGCUCUCCUUAGUGAAGCAUAAGCGUAAAUAAGGUUGACCGCUUCGAUCGGGGCCCAAACAUUGGCGAAUUAAAGUGAUUUUUCCACCGUAGCUGUAUUUUACUAUAUCGAUCACAUCAUAUUUCACGAUAUUUUUGAAAAUUUUGCUUCCUUUAUAUAGUUGGUUCACAAAGUUGUACACUAGCAUAUAACCUAUCAAACAAGUUAUAUUACUUUAAUAGGCAUGUUAUGAUUUCGAUGACUAAAAUUCACAAAAUGAUNNNNNNNNNNNNNNNNNNNNUUAUUCUUUUUAAAGAGUUAAAGUUUUUUUUAUUAAAUAUUACAAUUUCGUGACUCAAACUCACAACCUCCCACUUAUUAAGUGGAAACUAUGUCACUAGAUCAAAUGGUACUGGACUUAAAGAGUUAAAAUUACAAUUAAAAAAAAAAGAACAGAAUUUUAUUUAUUAAAGUUUUAUAUUGCUAACCAUAGUUAGAGAGGAUUAUGAAAAAAGACACAUGGAAUGAAAUUAAGUGGGUGGGAAUUUAAAGUGGGCAAAUGCGAUGGUCAACAAAUUUGCACUCGAACAAAAAUAUAUGAUUUUCUUUCUUUAGAAUUAAAUCAUUGUAUGCAUAUGGCUUAAUCUUGAUAAGUGCUUUCAGCUUAUUACUACGCGUAACUGAUCGAUUAAAUUCAUUAACGUUGCCUUUUAUAUAAAAUUGUUAUCAGUAUUGACUCAGCAUACAACAAUGUUAACAUUAAAACAAAAUAGACAAGGAUCAUCUUCUUCUUGACUCUGCUAGUGCUUGUUUGUCCUUGAGUUUUAAUAUCAUCCGUUGAUUCUACAUUUCAUGAUUUAUAAACCUUCAUCAGCACUUCACAUUUAAUUGACUAUGCUUACGGCGUUUGAUUUCGGUUUUUCCGUCAUCGAUUUGUCUUCUUUCUCCAUUGGCCAUUGCUCUCUUCUCUUUGUUCUCCCUUCUCCAAUUUUGUCUACUUACUUGCUCCAGAAAUUUUAUUUUCCCGGAUACCUAACACUAGAAUAGGUAUGUGAGAAGGGGUUGAUAGAGAAGAGGUGAGUUUGUGUUAUAAGAGAGCAAAGUCGUUGAUGGGUUUAAUUGUAUUUGUCGUGGGGCGGAAUCGAUGACGGUUUCUGGGUUUUAUCAGUCUCCUCCUUCUAAUCAUAUUCAUCUUCAUGUUGAUGGGUAUCAUGAAAUAUCUACUUGAGUCAUCAAUCAUCGAAAUCUAGAUAUACUAGAUGAAUGAUUCCAUCCCUUAGAUUCUCAUCAACUCAAUGUUUCUUUCCUUAUCUUGAACCCAGUAGAGUAUAAACAACAAAUCUGCAUUCUGCUAAAUCUUUUCUUCAUUUUUCUUGUUGUCGAAAAUAAUGCAUACUAUUUACUUAAUCAAUGAAAUUACAAUCCAACGUGAUGAGUUGGGUUCUUUAUAUGAUACAUCUCGAGUUGAUUUUUUCCUCUGUUGUUUCGAGUGAAUGUAAUUAAACAAAAAUUAACAGAGUGAGAAGAAGAAUUCUUGCAAAAAGAAAUGUAGAAAGAUUGAGCGAAGAAUAGAUGAUUUUUUCUUCAAUGGAUGAUGAGAAUAAAGUAAAGCUGAGGUGAGGUUUCUAGGUAAAUUCGAUGAAGGGGAAUUAAUCCUCUGUUUUUGUAAACAAAGAGACUGAAAUAUCAGCUUUUGAUCUAGGUGAAUUUACUCUUCCUUUUCCCUUUCAUAGUUUCGGAAAAUUCUAUAAUGUGUUAAUAUGUGAUGCAUUAACUUUUUAAAUUGACUCCUCAAACUAGUAAUAUUAGUCCUCGAAGUUGUAAUACGAGUCCUUAAAGUUGUAAAAUUUUCUAGUUACAAUAUUACUAAUCAUGUGUCCUUAAAGUGGUAAAAUAUGUGCUUAAAGUGGUAAUUGAGUUCUCAAAGCAGUGACAUAGCUACAUGGUGAGUAGGGAAGUCAAUUGACCAUUCUCAACAUCUUUCCACAUCCAUUGUUUUCAGAUUUUUACUUACAUCUAAGAGUUAUAUAAGCUACUUAAUUUACUCUUUUACUCAUUUUGCCCCUUCAAAUGUGAUAACAAAUAUACUUCCUUUUAACUUUUAACCAUUUCAUGAGAUCAAAGCAAAACGAUGUUUUUGACCAGAAAAAAAAAGAAAAAAAAAAAGCAAAACAAUGUGUUUAUUUGUUUUUUUUAUUUUAUUUAUUUUCUCUCGUUUGUUUUCUCUUCUUAUUUUGAAUGGUUUAUCUCAUACACAUAUAUUAUCUCUAGUGUCUUCUCGGCUCGACUUGUUUAUUAUUCGAUGAACUCCAGAGAUAACAAAAAAUUUCUUCCUACGUAAGCUCGUCCAAAGUUUGACCCCUCUUCAUAUAAUUUCUGGCUACGCCACUGUCUCAAAGUGAUUAAAAAAAAGUUGUUACAACUUUCUAGACUCAAUUACCACUGUCUCAAAGUGAUUAAAAAAAGUUGUUACAACUUUUUAGACUCAAUUACCACUUUAAGAAUAAAUAAGGACUAAUGUUGUAACUAAAUUUUUUUACAAUUUUAACAACUCAUAUUACAACUUUGAGGACUAAUAUUACUACUUUGAGGACUUAUUUUACAACUUGAGGACAAAGUUGAUGCAUCACAUGCAUUAACACACUACUCUUACCCCAUAGUUUUACCCAUCAUUUUGACCAUAUGAAUAAGGAACUAUUCAAUGCUCUUCAACAUCCAUUGAAUACGGUUCAAAACAAGGAACUAUUCCAAUGCGGAUUAAGCAGCGGCUGAGUUUCUCCUUUAGGCUUGGAGCAACUUGUCACAAUCAACAUUUCAACCAUAUAUGAUCAUGUAUAUAUUAAAACGAAACCCGCUUAUUUAGUUCAUCUUAGUCCAAUUCCAAAAACAUAAAUGCAAUCAAAUAUUUAUCGUCAUCAUAGAGGUUACGACAUCUUAUGAACGGACCAUUUUUUUGCAGCUUUCUUGGCUUAUCCUCCAUAAGUUUGGUUGUUAGAAGGUCUAAUUUAUUCCCCAUCGAUGCUCUUCAACAUCCAUUGAAUAUGGUUCAAAACAAGAGAUCAUUUCAAUGCUCUUCUUCACUUGAUGGAUUAAGCAGCGGCUGAGUUUCUCCUUUAGGCUUGGAGAAACUUGCCACAAUCAACAUUUCAACAAUGACAACAACUGAGAGGAUGAUAUUGGGUAUCUGAUUAAGAAGAAAAUUUUAAUCUAAGAGAGAUUCUGAGGCAAUCUCCUUCAAAAAGGUAGCAUCAGAUGUCGAUGCACCCUCUUCUAAAAAGGCAACAUCAGAUGUCGAUGCAACCUCCUCUUGGGGCUCAGCAACCUCAGUUUGCGCAGCAACAACCUCAGUUUGGGGCUCAACCUCAGUUUGCACAGCAGCAACCUCAGCUUCGGGCUCAUCCCCUGAGGUUGCACAGCUGCAACCUCAGGUGAUGAGCCCCAAGUUGAUGUUGUUACUGUGCAAGCUGGUGUUGUUGUUGGGACCUGAGGUUGUUGCUGCGCAAACUGAGGUUGUUGCUGCGCAAACUGAUGUUGCUGCGCAAAUUGAGGUUGCUGAGCCCCAAGAGGAGGUUGCAUUGGCAUUUGAUAUUGCCUUUUUGGAAGAGGGUGCAUCAGCAUCUGAUGCUGCCUUUUUGAAGGAGGUUGCCUCGGAAUCUGUUGCUGCUGAAAGGGAGGAGGGUGCCUCGCCAUCAUUGCCAUGGGCUGAGAGGAGAGAAAAUUAAAGUUGAUGUUUUCUUCAAUCAUGAAAAUGUAGUGUUCUAAAGCCUUUUCUGGAAACAAUCCUAGCAUCUCUCUCGCUAAUGUGCAUCGAGGUACCAUGUUUUGGGCAACCAUUUCCUUUAUUUCCUGGAAACAAUCCUAACAUCUCUCUUGCUAAUGUGUGUCGAGGUACCAUGUUUUGGGCAACCAUUUCUUCUAUUUCCUUUAUGUUUACAAUUUCUUUUGCUCUACCAUUUACCUUAACUUUGUUUAUUUUGAUGUUUUUGUGUCUUUGAAUUUUCUCGUUCAAGUGCUCAAGCACAUCCUUAUAGUAAUAAACAAAUCCUAGUAUGAGAUUUGUUGCAUAAAAUGUGAAGAAUUCUUGGAUAAAUAAAAAUAAUAGUUUUCGGCUAUGAUCAUGUAUAUGUUGAAACAAAACCCGCUUAUUGUAGUUCAUCUUUGUCCAAUUCUAAAAAACAUAUAUAAAUGCAAUCAAAUAUUUGUCAUCAUCAUAGAGGUUAUGACAUUCUAUGAACGGACUAAUUUUUUGCAGCUUUCUUGACUUAUCCUCUAUAAGUUUGGUUGUUAUAAGCUAAUUUAUUCCCCCAUCGCUUCUAACUUUUCCAAAUUCACAUAUGGACUUGAUAUUUUGAGGCCAGACUUUCUUUCCACAGUGUCUCGAAAAUUCUUAGGACUAAUAUCGUUUGACGACACCUCAUUCUUUACCAAGACCUUUUUACCGUUACGCUCUUGAGCCUUUGUCUACAAGCCCCAUAAACAGAACUAUAAGUAUGCAACACUAAAAACAUAACAAAAAAAUACUCUAAAUGUAAAUUAACAUUCCUUAAAAGGUGUUGCCUUAAGAUUAUCAUCGUUCAAUAUAUGACAUGAAGAAUCAACUAAAUCUUCCUUCACAUAUGGUGUUUGAAACACAUGUUAAUUAUGUUGAAAAUCACCAAGUUGUUCCUUUGCAUUGACAUUAUUAAUAUGAUUAUAUCCUGCUUUCUCCUUAAGUUGCUCCACACUAUCGUUUACUUCAUUUACUUUUUUCAAAAUAUCCUCUUUCAGCUCUCCUAAAGCCUUAGUAAUCAUGUUAUCAAACACAUCUUUGAGUUGUUCAUUUACUGCUUUGAUAGAUUCCUCUCUAAUUUGCACCACAACAUUUGGAAUAAUGGUAGCAACAACACCUUUCACAUCUUGUUGGAGAAAAAAAAUGACAUUGUAGAUUUUGUUUAAUUGUUUUUAUUAUUAAAAGAAAACAAAAUAUAAAAUGAAUGACAGUAUGCAAAAUGCAAUGAGGUUACGAAGAAGAGUUUUGUUUAGCUCUAAGGUUUAUAGUCACAAAAUGAAGACUUAGAGACUAAUGAACAAUGCAAAGUAAAACUAGAACCCAACAAAGCAAAUGUAAAAACUACAUUUUGACAACCAUUGAGCAAAGGCAGCAUUGCUCAAUAUAUAUAGGCUGAUAUUGUGCUCUAAACAAGUCAGGUACAAAGGCUAAUGAGGUACCACAAGAGGGCAGACACGAGGGCCAAAGCAAGGAAAGAGUUUUGGACUUUCGUCCUUGGCCAAACUAAGUCCAAAACUCUGAAAGGGAGAGGACAUAUGCAGCUGUCCUAGGCCAAAAAAGAAAAAACAAAACUUUCCUAAACAAUGUUUGAUUUAAAAGCAAAGGACAAAAGGUUUUGCAAACUUUUUCAAAAGUAUAAUAUCAAAUUGAUAAAGCAAAGCAUCUUUUCCCUGAUAUCAAACAAAGAUAGCUGCAAAAUUGGUUUGUGUAUCACAAACACAGUUGUAGCCUUAAAGCUCUUAAACCAUGGGUCACGGUUUUAGAUGAAGGCAUCAAACCCGACUAAUUUGAGCACCAAGGCAAGACCUUUAUUCUUGUUGUCAAUUUGAAAUUCAAAUUAGAAUCUCAACCAGACAUAAGUCUUAAUUCAACAAGGGUAAAGAAAGUUAACCCUAAGACAACAUAACAAAAUAUCGAAAAGCUGGAAACCCAAUAAUUCAACACAUCGAAAAGUUAACCCUAAGCAAUGUUGUUAUCCUCAGUGAAAAUCCAGAAAUGCACAUGCAUGAUUUUACCUGAGUUUAUGUUGGUUCUUCUAUUUCUUCAACUUGUUCUUUAGUUGUGAAAAACCAAUCUCCUAAUUGUUAUAGGCUUCAUAGGUUGUAUUUUGUUUUAUAUAAGGAUUGCCAACAACUUUAUACUUUCAUUACUGUCAGUUUCACAAUUUCUUUUGAAGAAAGGGAAUUUGAGCGGGAAUUAGAUUGCAUUGUUUAAUUUAAGAAGACCAUUAGUAACUGAACGUCUUUAUCAGCCUUGCCUAGAAUAUACAGUUUCAUCUAACAGACCUACUCUCUCAAAUUUCAUUUUCAGAAACAUGUUUGUCCAAAAAUGCCUUGGCUAGAUUACUGAAGCUGACACUUGCUCCUUCAGCAGCGGCAUAUCUCUUCAUGAUGUCAACCACUUCUGGCUUCAUAAUCUCUUCCUUAUUAGAUGUGUUGCAGAGAUAAUAUAGUGAUCCAAUUGCAUAGUUCACGGUGUUUCUAACAGGCAGUGGCGGAUCUACAUACAACGUUGGUGGGGCUCAAGCCCAACCAAGAUUUUCAAAAUAAAGUUUUCAUCAUAUACGGCCAUAUCAUAUCAUCAGCUGUAGCAGGAGUGGCUUAGGUAUUUUGUCAAUGUCAAGACCACCCCAGUUCGAACUAGACAAUGGUCAUACAAUAGUCUUCUUUUUCUUCUUUCUACCCAAACUGGUUGUCUUCUUUUCUCUUCUUUCUACCCACACUGGUUUUUUCUCCUUUCUCCCCUAGCACAUUAGCCUUAAACUGGAGAAGGGGCUUCGUUUUUUUCUUUCUUUCUUGGGUCAAACUGGAAUAUAAUGACCUUCUCUUCUGUGUAGUUGGUCUCUACUUUGGGUGAUAAUUUUUUUUCUUAAGAUGUUAUGUCUUUUUUCUAUGUAGGUUGCAAAGAAACAUUAAUUUGUUGUACUUUUUAUUUUCAUAUGAGAUUCUCACUUUCAUUGAAUUGAUUAAACAGAAGUGCAGACAAGUUCUUAAUUUUUGUGUCUCAAAAUAGUGUACGUAUAAAGGUAUAAUAUAUUUUUGUUUAAAAUUGGUAUAUUAUAAAUUUUUUUAUCAAACAAAAAAGAAAAUUCAAGUCCACCCGGUUCAUGAAUCCUGGAUCCGCCACUGCUAACAGGGCUUGAUAGACAUUGAAUAACAAGGGGUAUCCCACCACUCUGGGUGACAAUUGCUGCAUUGGCUGGAUCAGGGCAACAGUUGCAGAUUCCGCCUACCCCAAAUUCCAGAAGCUUCUCAUUUGGUUCUGUUAUGCGGUCCAGAAAAAGUUCCACCACAUUGAGCUGGCGCAAAUAGGUAUAGUUGUAAGGAUCAUAAGCAAAGUUCGCCAGAUUAGCAACAAUCUUCUCUUUUGAUUCUUCACUGGUAGUACUCUGAAAUUGAGUCACCACUUCCUGAAGGUAUUGUAGCCUUGAAGUACCAUAUCUUCCAGUUCGCUCUUCUUGCCUCCUAUCAUUGGUAAACAUCUGUUGAGUUGGUGAACCUCACUGACCUUUUGCUCAGUAAAGUCCUUGCUUAGUCAUGCUCAGUAAAGCCCUUGCUUAGUCACGUAAGUCUGAACACGAUUGCCUGAAACAAAUGAAUUUGGUUAGCAUGCAAGCCUAACUAUAUAAAGAGGCUUUUGAGUCUAGUUAAGGAUGAACUCUGCCCAAGUGGAUUUUUCGAACUCAAAACAUCAAAUAGAUUAGAAUCAACAAACUACAUAAGGAGCAAAGAAAUACAAUUCAAUUCCAAUGAAGCGAUAACUAGUAUGUAACGUAAUUAAGUUGUUUUUUAACACUAGUGCCUACCUAAAAGACCUUCUAUACAACCCAGUAUGGCAUACAAGCCUUGAUUGGGUAAUCAUCUUUGGUUACUGAGGUCAUUUUUUCAUGCAACAGUUGCAGCAAUCAUCAAUUAUGAUCUGACAAUAUCUAUACAUGAUGGAACUACAUGUACAACGGGAUCCAACAAAAUGAAUACAGCACAGCAAUCCCAAACUGGGCCCAAGUCUGAAUGUUUAACACUUGAUUAAAUGCGCCUGUUCAAGCCUUCACCGCAUGGACACUUAAAGGUGCCUGCUCUCAGUGCAUGUUCUCACUUGAAAUUUCCAUUUCUAUCCUAAGGGCAAUUUUCCUGACAUAUCUCCCCAGAUUGUCUAUGGGAGCCUGGGAGGUAUCGCCCGAGCAACAACCAAUAUCCACCCAACUAAACCCCACUUCUUUUCUAAAUCUCCUAUCUAUCAUAGAGUUCCUUAUGUUGGAACCGAGAUAAAUAGAGUUCCUUAUGUUGGCGCCAGUCUCCCAUUCCCGUUCUCUGCAUACAAGUUUAACAACAACACAUAAGAACCUGGUUUACUUGGCCCAAAUCCCAUCAAAACGUCUGCUGCUCACUGAACCCAAGAAAGCUUUGCAACAGAGAACACCAUGUCUGUCCUUAAGUCCCAAUACUAAACUAUUCUAGAGGAGAUGGUUCUGUCUAAUUACCGUUCACCAUUUAUUGAAAGACCUGAAGGCCAACCUCAACCCCUCCCUUUCUAACCACAUGCAGUCGGUAAAGAAAGAAAUAUGACUGAAUCAGGUCUCAUCCCUUCUUUUACCAUCUCCUUGUAUAUUUCUGUCACAGAGUUAUAUGCAGAGAGUACUGCAGCUGAAGCAAAUUGAUUUCUAUGAGGUCUGACACUCGAACACUCUUUGGGACUCGUAAAUGCUUCCUCACUUUGCAUACAUAUCUAGUCAUACCUUAGAUCAUUCAAUAGUCCAAGCUUUAUCAGAAAAUAGUGACAUUUGUUGGCUGUACUUGAGUGAAAUAACCUGAGCACGACCAAUUGCACCUUAAGAGACGACCAAAUGCAUAAAUCUUUGGCUUAAGUUCCAUAAAUGCUAAUAAGAAUGUCUUUACUGCAUCCUAACAAGCAUAACCUGACUUCAGGUAUGGUUUCUCUAUGGUUCAACUCAUCAAAAACCAUGACAGGGUCAAGCAUGGGCUCAAAAUACGCAUAUAGGGUCAAGGAUAGACUCAAAAUAAGCAUAUAGGGUCAAGGAUGACUCAAAAUUAGCAUAUAAAAGCUAUUGCAAACAUUAUGCUUUGGCAGAAAGCCAGUCAUAAUGCAAAAGCUGUAGAUCAUCUGCCUUCUUCAUCCAACUUCACAGUCGAUAUAGCGGAUUAGUCCUUCAUAUUCCAAAUUAAAGUUCAACUAAAGGGGGUGUAUUGUAUAUGGAAUUAGUGGAAGUUUUAAAGAAGUCUAUGGAAUUUGAAAGUCUAGGUGUAUUCAAUACAGACUUUUAAAAAUCAAUCAAAGUCUGGGUGUAUUCAACUAGAUUUUAAAAAAUCAUUAUGAAUUCCACCAAAGUUCAAGGGUAUUCAAUUAAGACUUUUUAAAAUGAAUAGAAGUUCAGAUGUAUUCAAAAUAUCAUUCAUACUUAUGGAAUUAAUAACUCAUGGAUAAUUGUGGACUUUGUAGUGUAAAUUACACACACCAAACUCUAAUAUUUUUCCAUCCACUAGAGCAAAGAUUUGGAAAAGUUUACGACAGACUUUCUCUUUACAUGUGAAUAGGUUGAUCCUACGAUACAUCAUUUUUUUUAAUAAUAUUGUGUGUUAUCAAAGUUCUAUUCUACCUAUUCUUUUCAAUGUUUUUUGAAUGUUAACAUUUUGUUGUCUUUCAAUUGUAAUGCUUGGAACCCUCGAUAACCUAAAUAUUAUCUACUAACUCUUGAUAUUAGAACCACAUGAUUAUAUUAUUAUAUUUGCGUAUAUGAAUUAAAUUUGUGAAUAUCUAAUAUCCCACUUUAGAACAUGUGUCUUUGGUUUACGUACAAGUAUGCGUGUUGUUAAGUUAAUAUAACCUUUUUUGUUACCUAUGUUUAUGUAUUUUAAUCAAAUAUUACAACUCUAUGCAUCGAAAUUAGAUAGAUGAGCACUAAACUUAUAAUCGGUGUCAUUAUGUGUGUCAUUACAUCUUUAUUUAUUUAUUUUCUUUCCUGUAACUUUGUAAGUAUUGAGAAAUCUACAUAAAUCAUUCAAAUGAAAUCUGUAGAUUUCAGAAAUCAGUGAAAGUCUGUGAUUAAAAAUCGAUGGUUUUAAGAAAUCAGUGAAAGUCUAUGAACUUUUCAAAGAGUCUGUAGACUUUUCAAAAAGUCAGUUGAUUAAAAUAAGUCGGUAUGAAUCCAAAUCAUAUAAUCGGUGUCAUUAUGUGUGUCAUUACAUCUUUAUUUAUUUAUUUUCUUUCCUGUAACUUUGUAAGUAUUGAGAAAUCUACAUAAAUCAUUCAAAUGAAAUCUGUAGAUUUCAGAAAUCAGUGAAAGUCUGUGAUUAAAAAUCGAUGGUUUUAAGAAAUCAGUGAAAGUCUAUGAACUUUUCAAAGAGUCUGUAGACUUUUCAAAAAGUCAGUUGAUUAAAAUAAGUCGGUAUGAAUCCAAAUACAAUACACCCCCCUAAAUAGAUAUGCAUUAGACUAACAUUCAUUCAUAAUCAAAUUUCCAUAUACCCAAAUGAUUGCAAGGUCUCCAAAGCAAAACCAACUAACCUUACAACAGAUUCCGAAGAGGAAUGCAGAAUUGGGGCUUCUGGGUUCCGAUGAGUAUCAAUUUCUAUUCCAGAACAAGCACCAGCUUCGAGGUUGGAGCCAUAACUACCAGAAUAAACACCCAAAAAUACCAAUCUAUAUUAAAACUUGAUCAAAACCAAAAACUAAUCGUAUCACCAUGUAGAGGAGUAUUUCCUAGCUACCUCAUGCAGCCCGACGAUGACCGAUCUUUAUUAAGAAAUUGGAUUGUCUUGUUGGGAUUUCUGAUUGUGUCUCUGGAACGAUCAAGUGUGCUUCCAUAAGUUGCGAGUGUUGGGUUGGGGUUUCUGAUUCUUGAUCUUUAGUCAAAAUUUUAAAUAUUGGGAGUGUGUCUCAAUUUCUCCACUGUGUUCCUUACUUCCUUAUGCCCUUGUCUUAUCAACCAAAACAACCUGUAACCUAGUAAAUAGAUAUUCACAUGUAACUCCAUUUAAAAUAAAAUCAAAUGAGUAAAAUCAAUUUCUCCAUGUUUCACCGUCUCCCUAACACUCUAAUCAAUAUGUUUUCAAUUUGUAGACCUCUUAUUACUCAUUGUGAAAAACACAAUAUAUAGCAGUGCUAUCAUAUGCACAGAACAUCUUCAGAGGCCUGGAAUUCUGGAAACAAUAGACUCCACCACUUUAGGUCUGCAGAAGAAAACUCUUCAGCCAAAGUCUUUGACAAAGGCCUUCAUAUAUACUCAGCUUGCAUGGUGGAUGUAGCUAUGAGCGUUUGUUUCACAAUUAUCCAAGCAAUAGCUCCAUUAGCAAGAAUAACAACUUAGCACUCUUCAGCUAGCACUAUGUAAUUCUGCUGUGAAAGUCCAAGUAAGCAUCUUUUGCUCUCUCUCUCUCUCNNNNNNNNNNNNNNNNNNNNNNNNNNNNNNNNNNNNNNNNNNNNNNNNNNNNNNNNNNNNNNNNNNNNNNNNNNNNNNNNNNNNNNNNNNNNNNNNNNNNNNNNNNNNNNNNNNNNNNNNNNNNNNNNNNNNNNNNNNNNNNNNNNNNNNNNNNNNNNNNNNNNNNNNNNNNNNNNNNNNNNNNNNNNNNNNNNNNNNNNNNNNNNNNNNNNNNNNNNNNNNNNNNNNNNNNNNNNNNNNNNNNNNNNNNNNNNNNNNNNNNNNNNNNNNNNNNNNNNNNNNNNNNNNNNNNNNNNNNNNNNCUCUCUCUCUCUCUCUCUCUCUCUCUCUCUCUCUCUCUCUCUCUCUCUCUCUCUCUCUCUCUCUCUUUAUUUCUAUUCCCAAGACAUCUAUGAAGGUUCACCAAGAUCUUUCAUAUCAAAAUUCAUUGAUUGAAAUUUCUUGGUUUGGUUUAACAAGUCAAUAUUCCUACAGGCUAGUAAUGUCAUAAACAUACAACACAAGAAAACUAAAAUGACUGGUCUUCAUAUAAACACCAUUUUCCACAAAAUCAUAUGAUCUCGCAACAGAUUCAAACAUGUUCAACUGUUUCCACUAGAAUUUCAUCUUCACUCUUCAGCUUCUGGCUACUCCAAGUUGUCUUGAGCUCCAAAAUUGUCUUCUUGAAUAUUUUGCUCAAUCUUAGAUGGCGUUGCAGUAGGUGUCAGUAGUGGUAAUUCAUCCUCAAGCCUGAACAGAGGUGGCACGCUGUAAUACAAGAUCCUACUUAUCAUCCUUUGUGGCACUAGGCGGGUCAAGAACUCAAGAUUAAGGACCAAAUUCUCAAGGGACAUGGUGUUCAAUAUGCGAUGUUAUACAUUUUGAUUGCAGGAAGCUGCCUUGUAUGUCCUCAGACGCUAGUGACUCCACCAUUGAUGGACAAAGUUCCCUCUCAAUCGAAGGAGAAAUUGAACAUCAUUAUGUAUGUUCCAUAGUAACGGGUUAUGCAAGAACGUUUGAAUUGUGAGUCACUGUACACUCCAUAUAAGUGAUAUGCCAUUAUAUGCUCUUUUGCUGCCCUCAUCUCAAACUAAAAUCAACAAUUUGUAGUGAAUCGUGCAUACGAACAUAAGAAAAGCGUCACCAACACUAGUCUAUCAUAACGUACAAGGUCAAUACAGCUGCGCUGAUCCUCUGCUUAACUCCUACAUAGUACCCCGUUAACACUAAAAGCCCACUAACCAUGCAAACCAGAAUUUAUAUAAUAGCAACCAUAAGCACCACAACAAGAUUAUCCAACUAUCAAUAGAUGGUCAUGUGCUUAACUCCUAUAAAUAGUGGUUCUAAUAACACUUCACGGAUACCGGUCUAUGAAAAUACACAAGGUCAACCGAAUCGCAGUGAUCCUCUGCUUAACUUAGUGCCCCAUUAACAUUUAACCCCCAAGAACCAUGCAAACCAGAUGUUGAGUUUAGCUACUAGCACCACAACAACAUUAUCAAACCAUCAACAGAUUGUCUUGUAACUCCUACCAAAUAGUGGUCCAAUUAACACUAAAUGCACACGAAUUUUGCAACUAUUAGCUCCACAACAAGAGUAAAGAAAUAACUAGACAACCACCUGGAUGGAAGAGGAUAUUGAUGUAGAGAUGGGAGCAACACAACUUGUGCUCAAGAACUAUGAAAUUUUUUUAAAGUUCCCUUUGAUUGUUGGUAUCUAAGCAAUUCUGGGAUUCUUUUAUAUAACUUCGGUUGUUAAUUAGAUUUCUUACUCUGGUAAGUCUAGGAAAUGGGUACCAAGACAAUAAGAUUAAAAUACACAAUAAUGAACAAGUAUGAAUAUUAACUAGGACAAUAGAGGUAAAAUUUUCAGAAAUCAUUCUACAGUAGUAAUUCUAGUCUCGAGUUACAUUAAAAUACUAUUAUGAAACCAGGACCAGUGAUCAGACUAGCAAAUUCUACAAUGUGAAGAUUCAUGCACUAGUACCACCUGAAGCAUGUAUAUCAUCCAAGAAAACAUUUAAACAGAAACCUGGCUUUUAACGCCUAGAUGAGACAGAGAGUCGUGAAACUCAAUAAUACUUGUGAUCCUUCAACUUCUUGCUUCCUCUGGGUUUCUCUAUAGGGGCAUUCAUUCCUGCCAUUUUAGCAUUGUACUUUCCCCGAAGAGGAUCAUUGUAGGUCCACCUGAAAUGCAAAAAGCAGUAAACUCAACCUCAGACCCAAAAUGAAAUUUUGUUCUAGCCACAGAAAUUGAAACUUAAGGUCUACGCACAGCCUUUGAAAGCUAGAAGCACAGCUAUAGACUGCAAAUAUAAUUGAAUCUCUAAACUACCAAGUCAGAUGAUGCUCUCUCAUUGAAAUAACAAAUUGCACAAAAUGAAAAUAUAUGUAACAAUAUCAAUAUGACCAGAAGAAAUUGUUACAAGUAAAUACUCAAACAAAACAAACAAUAAAUGUUCAAUAAUUAGAAGCAUGACAAGCAGUAAGGAUCUUAUAAUGUGACGUUCAAAUAUCCAGAACAGCUAACCUACAUCAAGAAUCUUCUAGGGUUUAGUUGCGAAAAUGUAGCACUAGUUUCAGAGUUUGACGUCCGUAAAGGUUUCUCAAAAUCACUUCAAGAUCGACAUUAGAAAACUUUCUGGCAUCCACUAGAUUAGUUAACAUAGUUGUCUUACAUAGUUAAGACGAUAGUCACUCUAUUCUAAUUAUCUUGGAAAGUUAAAGUUUGCUUUACAUAUAUGAUGUCAUAAUCAAUACUGUUUUGUCUCCCCUAGUGCAAUUGAUACAAAAUAAAUAUAUCUUUUCUUCUUCUUUUUUGUCUUUGCAAUGAGGCCUAAAAAAGCCCAAAACCAAAAAGCAACAGUAAAGUGAACUAUAUAUUCAACCUAUUAGAAGGCUUAGCCGCAGUUCUUCUAGCAAGAUACGAAGAACGUUUCAUCAAUGAAUGCUAGUUGUUGCAAAUAAACCCUUUAGAACUCUAACUUAAGUGACUAAUAAUUUUAUACUUGUAUCCUUGUGUCACAUUUCUUAUGCUAAUCUCCAGACGUACCCGUAAAUCAGCACAUAGGAUUCAACAAUGUUGAUGCUACAGUAUCUUAAAAGAAAAUGUUGUGCUACAGUACCAUUAUAGAUGCCUCCAUAUCUUAGUAUUCUCUAACCAAUAGAAUCUUAAGUGAACAAUGCAUAUUGUAAACACAUGACCACACACAUAGUUAAGUGAUAAACAAAAUAGAUGAUAAUUCAUUUAGGGAAAGUCAACUUACGGAUUGUUCCAGUCAGUAGUAUCCUCAUUCACAAGAUGGGUCCAUUUUGUCCUCCCACUACGACCAAAAUGCUUGACUUGCAUGACCUUCGGCAAUAUAGUUUUGUCCAUUUUAUCUUCUCCAGUUGGAGCAGAGAAAUCACGAGUGAAAAUUCCAUCUGUUCCAACAGUUGCAGCAUGGUCAUCUGCGUCCGACUGGAAGAAAGCGCCUUUGUGGUAGUAUUUCUGCAUGAACCUCCACUUUUGCUUUGGUCGUGGUGCAGGUUUAGGAUUCUUCCUCUCCCAUUCCCUCCUCUCUUCUUCUGUCAUAUUUCUUACUCUUUCAAUCUCUUCCUUUUCCUUCAACAAUGCUUCCCUUUCCUCCCUAUCCCUCUUGAUCCUGGCAAUCUCUCUUGCCUUCCAAGCUUCAUACUCCUCGGCCUCGUUAAGUUCAUCAUCAGUAUCAAUAUCAGCAAUGUUAGCGUCCUGUUCCAUACCUUUCUGAAUCUCUUCAUCCUUUCGGAUUUCCUCAACCACAAUCUGCUUUGUCUCUCUUUUCCUCUCCUCCAAUUUUUUCUUCCUUGCUUCCUCAAGGGCCAGUUCUUCUGCCUCAAUUCGCUCCCGUUCAGCGAUGGUAUCUCUCUCAGCCUUGGGAACAAAAACUGGCUUCAGCAUCAUCAUACCACCAUGCUCAUCUUCAGAGUCAGUUGAAUACUCUGAUUCCUCUUCCUCCUCCUCUUCCUUAUCUUCUUCCUCAUCUUCCGAGGGCAGGAGUGGAGCUUCUUCUUGCUCCCUCUGACGCAACCUCUCCUUAAUCCUUCUCCUCUUUUCCUCUAAAGCAUCCGGAUCCUCUUCCUCCGCAUCUAUGCCUUCCUGCCUCCUGGCUUCCUCUUCAAUCGUCGAAACAAUCUCAGCUUGCCGGAUACGCCUAUGAUCAGCCCUAACAUCCUCACGAUUAUCUAUCCUGCUCUCAGCCAAACGACGCAGCCUCGGAUCAUCUUUCCUUCCGACAUCCGAAUAAUCCUGAGUGGGGAAGGCUUUCUCGAGGGAGGCAGCCGCAGACAUCCUAAUAUCGCCAUCUUCAUUCGCAUCAUCUCCCCACUCGGGAGCUUUUCCGGGCCAAUACCUCUUAACCUUAGUUUGUCCAAUUUUACCUCUCAGCUUAUCCCUAAUGGCAAUCACAGUAUCACUAACACCUGCCGUCACCGACAUUGCUGCCGCUGACCUGAUUCCUAAAAAUAAAAAGCUCUAUUCUCUUCCGGGUUUCUAAUCCUAUCAAGUAUGUUGAACCAAAAUUUCACUGAAACGAAAACAAAACACAAAUCAAAACAUAUAGUUAAGUAGUUAACUGAAUUCUAUUCCCUAUUCCAGUAUUCCCUAUUGAAUUCUAUUCCCUAAUUUAGUAAAAUAACAAUCAAAAUUUACGCAAAGAACAAGUCAAACAACAAUCAAAAUUUAGUAAUCCCUAUUCCCUAAUAAAUUAUAUAGUUUGAUUCAAAGAAUCAAAGUUUAGGCAAAGAGCCAUUAGCCAAUAGCCAUACCUGAGGAUUGAGGAAGACAAGAAGUCAGGAAGUACGGAUCGGGGACUGCCGGAUUGGGAAUCUGGGAUGGGCAUCGGCAGGAGCGACGACCAAGGGCUGAAGGGCGACGGCGGCGAGAUCGACUGGCGAGAGCGACGGCCAGGGGCCAGUCUACGAUGGGCAAAGGAUUUGGGGCUUUGGGCGUGGUUGUGAGUAGUGAGAAUGAGAAGUUGAGAACGAUGGGUAAAGGAUUUGGGUAUAUAUAUAUAUAUAUUUUUUUUUUUUAUUAGUAAGUUGGUUUUUUUUUUGGGCUUCAACUUCAUCUGGGAUCCAGCCCAGUCAACACUGGGCUAGCUCCGCCCCUGCAAAUCAAUUCUUAGCGCAAUAAAUAGUGACCCAAUGGCAGGAAUUUGAGAUCUAUUUAUAAAGAGAUGAAACCCUAACCCUAGAAGUAAAAGGACACCAAAAACAUUAUAUAGCAAUUUCAUCUGAAGCGUAGGAUUCAAAUUUACCAGGGGCGGUUCAUCAGAGUUGUGCGGCGGUUUCCGACGUAGGAUUGGCAAACUGGAAUCAAUAAGGGGGAUCUUUUACUUGAGAGGCCACGUUUGGUGAAGGGUGACUGGAUAUAACCUCCGGAUUAUAUUGAAUAGGAUGGCGGUGGCUCAAGGUUGAUGCUUGAAGACGAACAUGGAAACUUGGAAGACGAAAGCGCAAUGCUGGGUUAGCGUUUUAUUUGCAUUUCGGGUCCAUGGUUUAUCUUACCUGGGUUAGCCUGGCCCAAGUGAAUCAAUUGAGAACCCAAGUAAGAUAAAACUUACCUUUUAAAAAUAAGAGGCAUUUAAAAACGAGAAUGGUAAUUACUAUGGUUUAGAAUUUUUUUUUUUUUUGGAUUGCUGAAAGAAAAUGCAAAACUUGAACACAAAGAUUCUAGAAACUCCUUUUCUCAGCUGAUCCGAAUAGAACAUUUGAGGAACACAAAAAGGGGAAGACAGUUAAACCAGAACAAAGGAGUAACAGAGUUAAGACCAAUUGAGACUAUUUUAUCCGCUACAAAGUUUGCAUCUCUAUGAACAUGUUGGAAGUAACAAGCAUGAAAAUACGAAGCCAACCAACAGAUAUCUUGAACUACAAAGCUAAUACACCAUGGAGUAGCAGUCCUACCAUUAAGGCAGUCAAUAAAGACCUUGGAGUCUCUCUCGAUGACCACUGAUUGCAUCUUUUGAAGCCAUGAUGUAUGAAGACAUAUUUUCAAAGCCAAAAAUAUAAGUCUAGUGGGGCACAAAAAGAAAGUAGUAACAUUAAAAUGUAAACAAACUUGAAGCCAUGAUGUAUGAAGACAUAUUCUCAAAGCCAAAAAUAUAAGUCUAGUGGGGCACAAAAAGAAAAUAGUAACAUUAAAAUGUAAACAAACUUGAAAAAUAAUAAGAAGAAAACUGUGAAUUUGUUAUUGAGUUGAGAGUUAAUGCAUGUUGCAACCAUGUUUUUCCAUCUUACAAGAGUUCUUCAAAUCACUAGAAAAAAUGCUAAUUGUUGGGCUCGAACCCGAGCUAAUAGGUACACAUAGUAAAUGUUUUACCACCAAAUUAUGGACAAGUUUAUAAAAGUGGCAUUUAAUUGAAAAGCUUAGUGGGGCACAGGCCCACCGUGUCUCAUUGUGGCUAUGUCUCUGUUUCAAAGCCAAAGUUUCAGCCACUGGCACACUAGUAUCUCCAAUAUAAGAAGGUUUCCAUUUAAAUCGCAGCUUUAUUAUGUCACACCGAAGCAUCAAAGUUAAUUUUUUACAAAACUGGAAUCAAGAGGGUACCAAUAAAUCAUGGGAAUACCAUAUGUUUUUGGUUUAUGGUAAGAGGUAUUAACUGAUAAAUAAUUAUUUAAGAAAUUAACAACAUGAAAGUAGCAAUGACUGGCGCUUGCCAUAACAGUCUUGAAAAUGAGUUUGUUCCUGAUAUGCCAAAUUCACUAAGUAAUCGUAAUAGCCAAAUGUAAAUGUGAGUUAUCAGUAUGAUCAAAGAAGGAUUUUAACCAAGAAAUAAAAGAGUGAAUACCAUUUGGAGAACGCCCAGUAUACAAAUAAGACCAUACUUGCUGAGUAAAAGAACAUUGAGAGAAAAUAUGAUCAACAGUCUCCGCAUGAGUGUGGCAAUAAAGAGGUAUGUUAGGAUUAUAAGAAGCGGUAGCGUAUCACGAGUUUUUAAUUUGUUCUUAAAAAUCAGCCAAGCAAAAAGUUUUACUUUAGGAGGUAAAGACAAUUUUAGAAUGUUUUAGCAAUGACUGUACGUUGUUGAAGUGAACAAGCAGAACUAAUAGCAAAAGAACCUGACCUAGACGGGCCCUAAAUAAACAAAUGCGGCUAAGAGUGCAAAGGAAGAGGAACCACAAUAAUCUUAUUCACCAACUCCAUGGACAGAAUCUGUUGUAACAUUCCGAUUACCAUUUAAAAUGAAAUGACUUACAAUCGUGUCCCAAUCUAUAAUAUGCCUUUGAUCAUGAGGAAUCAAUGAAUUAAUGUAAAGGAAAAGGCACAGUAUACUUGGUGGAAUCUGGCAUAUCUUAACCAAACCUUUUGCAUGGGCUUGUCGUAGCCAAUUAAACUUCCAAAAUAGAACAAAAAUACCAUCACCAAAUGAUCCAUCACAUUCCAUCAAGAAGAAUAUCCCUAGAAUCCAGGAUACUUUUCCAAGCAAAAGAGUGAGAAAAAUUUUUAUGUAUAGGGAGGAAAUGAUCCCUCUUAAGUUAUUUAUUUGUGACUAAUUGAACCCACCAAUUGGUGGGUUGAGUUAAACUUUCCAACCUAGUUUGGCAAGAGCAGCUUUAUUGAAAAUAUGUGCAGGUCUGAUACCUGCCUCCAACCUGUUUGAGGGCAGUAGCUUGAGACCAAGCCACAGAAGCAUAGGACUUACCCCAAAAGAACGACCUACAGUCUUUGUCAAUGGCACCAGUGAAUUUCUCAAACGUUCAAAACAUGGAAGAAUAUGAUUCGACAUUCCAUACAAUUUACUAUAUACUAUUUUUUCGUCAUGUCGGUUACUGUUCACAUGUACAGUGGUUUCACUGUUCACAAAUUACAGUGUUAGGCCUAUCUGUUGGGCUGCUGAUAAUUAGGAGAUAGAGCACCGAUUGUGUUGGGCCUGCGUGUUGGGCUGCUGAUAAUUAAGAGAGAGAGAGAGCACCUACAUUUUAGAGACAAAAAUUUCGAGAAUUGCUAAGAAGAUAGUACCAACAUUUUAAGAGAGCCCCAACGUCUUUCAAAUAUACCAACAACAUCACCGACUAUCUAUGUUUUAGCAAGAAAAUUCAGAGAAGAGGAGAAAGAAGAGGAAGAAGGAUUCGUCGUUCAGCAAGAAAAUUUAGAGAGAAGAGGAGAAAGGAGAGGAAGAGGGAUUCGUCUAUCUAUAAAAGGUGAGUAACAGUAGGGAUUUUUCUGGGUUUUUAGGGAUUUGUCUGGGUUUGUAUCUGUAAAAGUUGAGUAAUCGAAUCCAAUUCAUGGUGAGUAAUCGAAUCAUCUCUGGGUAGGCUCGAUGUUUGCUUUUGAUUAUAUAUGAUUGAGAAGGCUCAAUGUUUGCUUUUCUUUUCUCAGUAUUCCAUAGUUUCAUGAGCCUCUUUUCUAUAAUCUCAAUUAAUUAGUCUCGAAGGGAGUGUUUAGGGGUUUGAUAAUUUAAGCCAUGAGGGCUAGCUGCAAUGGCUGUAGGGUUCUUUGCGAAGGGUGCAGUGAGAACUGCGAAAUCCGACCCCGCAUUGAGUGGAUCAAAUCGCCGGAAUCCCAAGCGAAUGCCACCUUUUUGUUGAUGAAUUCAAUUCGUUGCUUAUUAUCCAUCAUCUUUUGUGACAUAAAGAUUGGUUUUCAGAUUUCAUGGUGAUUUUAAAGCUUUUGAUCUUAAAAUAACAUAUUUCAUUCCUGUGAUUGCGACCAAAGAUUUCAACCAACGAUCGAGGACAAAGAAGAGAGGAGAAAGGAGAAUAGGUGUGCGUACAAGAAUUCAAAUCCUUUCCAUAUCCCGAUAUCGGUUCCAGUAAUUUCAGGUUAGUAUCUUUGUCUCCUCUUCAACUCAAGACAUGGAUUUGUGCAAUAUGUGUACUGUGAUAUUGAUGAAGUAGCAGUAUAAACUUAUCUAGAUGAAUGGGAUUUCAAGAUAUCAUUUUCACUUCAGCAAUUUGUAAUCAACUAAAUAAGUAAAGGGUUUGUAAAUUGAUAUUUAUUAGAUAUGUUCAAUUUUACAUUUGAUGUUUCUGAGAUUGUUUAUUUAGUGAUUUUAUUUGGUGAUAUUGAAUAUCCAUUUAAACCUAUAUAAUCGUUAUAUACUCUGCUUAUCCAAUUACAGUGGAAACCUGAUACUUAGACAAGAGAAUGACGAAGGUUACCAAUUAGAUGAUACAACAAUGAUACAAUGAUAAACUAACAUUGACUGUUUGAACCUAAUAUUUUGAUAGUUUACAAGGCAUUGUGUGUAAAUGUGUGUGUGUAUAUAGAUAUAUAAUUUACACAUGAUUGCUCUUUUUCUUUUUUCCUUUUUUUUUCUCCUUUUUUCUUGGGUCUGUUUGGUGUGGGUUGUCUGUGCUUUUUGAAUUUCAAAUAUCUCCUUUUUCAGUUAGAAAUUUUGAUCCAGCUUCAUAUUUGAUAGAGUUUGAAAGCUUGCUGUACAACUUUAUUGUGUUCUCAUAGGUUUUGGAUUUGACUUUGUGCACUUAUCAUGAAAAAGUUUACAAAGAGCAAACAAAAAAGAAUGAAAUGAGCGGCUUAAGGAAUAGAUCAACAAUGCCAAAUUGCAAAUUAAACUAAUCAGUUUGUUGGUGCUACAUCUAAUCUCAUACAUGCAUGCAUUGAUUUCAGUGGAGAACCUAUACAAACAGAACAUCUUUCUUCUUUCUUUUUCUUUUUUUUUUCCUUUUUUUUUUUUUUGUUGUGAUAUAUGAAACUAUUAACCAUAUUUGAGACGGUAACACAUUUAGUAAUCAAUCUUUAUAUUUGGGUGACAACAAAUUAUUCAGUUGCGAACGAUGUUUCUUCCUGCAAUUUGAUAUCUAGCUUUUGUCAAUCAGAAGGAGACGAGAAAAUUCAGGCUUCAUCCAUCACCGUUGAGUUUCAGGUAUUUAUUGUUUCUGUCUUCUAUUCUUCUCAGUUUGAUAACAAAUUGGAGAAAAUUUUAGAGUCGCACUAAUAAUUCUUGGGCUCACCAUCUUUCUCUGUCUGCAAACUGACCUUCCUAACAAGUUUUGUUUUAGUUCAAAGGUUUGUUGUGUAUAAAACUAACUUGCUUACUUUUUAUUGCAGUUGUGUAAAAAUCUUUGAUCAAUAAGUCCCCCCCCCCCAUUUUGCAUAUUUAGAUAAGAGGGAACUAUUAGAUUAUUUAGUUCUUUCAAACUCAGGUAGAGCAGAUUUAGGGAACUAUAAACCUUUGUGUACUGCAACCUUUUUGAAUUCAAGUAUAUGGCUAUUUCAUUUCUGGAUAAAAAUAUGUAUCAAUCAAUAUAUUGGUGGUGAAAUUAAUUACUAUUUUUUUCCCCAACUAAUACAUGAAUUAAUCAUAUACCACUCUAUCCAGACCUUUUAUCAUUUUCAAGUCUGGGAUUUACAAUUUUGCAUCAUUUCUGCAACAUGGAUCAGACAUCACUACUUGAACUAUGCAUUUAUAUAUGUGAUUAUCAAUAUACUUGGAAUUAUGUUUUUUAUUUAUUUAUUCAUGAUCUCUUUAUUAUCUUUUUGAGUAGUUUCUAAUUUGUCAGUAGUAGUCUUAUUUAUUCAUAUUUUAUUUGUCUUUCUUAGCUUCAGAUAUUAAUGUUUAUUUAUGGAUUAUGAUACAAAUCACAGAUAUGCCACGUGGAAAUCCAUCGUCUUCAAGGAAGAGAUUUUUCCAGCAACACAUCUUUCAAGAUAAUCAUACCAUCGAAGAUGAACAUGGAUUGGAAAUUCAAAGGACAUCAAUUUAUGAAAAUACAUCAAAUGAUGAUCUAAAUAUAGGUAUUUAUGUACAGUUAUUAUAUGUUCACUGUGAAGGUAUUUAUAAUAAGUGUUUAACAGUCAUUAACUUUGAAUAUAAUCACUGAUUCUUCAAUUUUGAUAUGUUUUACAGUUACUGAGCGUGGAAAGGCAAAGUCCUCAAGAAGAAAUUUUUUUCAACAUUUGAAGAAUGAAGAGACAUUGAGAGCUUCAUUUAACGCUUUAGACCAAGAUGAUAUGACUAAUGCUGCAACGACAAUGGAUAGUGACAUUCUUAAAAAUGAACAUGUAGCAGCAUUGGAACAAUGGGAUGGUGAAAUGAACAAUCAAGAAGAAAUUGGUAAUUGCUCUUAUGUUAAGCUUGGCAGAAAUUGGCAGAAAUUAACCAUGUCUAUAUAAUUUUAUAUUUGAAUAUCUGAAAACAUAAUUAUUGAUGUCAUUGUUUUCUUUUUUUUUAUUAUGAAUUGCAGAACAUAAUACACUUGAGAAUCUCCCUCCAUUUGGUCAAGCACACUACCAAAGACAAAAACAAGGUUUUGCAUAUUUUGUGUAAUUGUAGGAUUUGUAGCUCUUUUCCCUGAUGAACAUACAGUGAAUCUAAAUAAUACAAGUUACUAUUACAGGUACUAUUAUAGAGUACAAAGACUUUGGAGACAAUACAUUUCAAUGCGUUCAUUGCAAUGCCUAUUGUUGGCGAAAUGAGAAGAACGCACGUGGAAUCUACACUGGUUGUUGUAAGCAAGGACAAGUGAGGUUAGAACCAUCCAAUCCGACUCCAACAUUUCUUGAAUAUCUAUUAGAUCCAAAUAAUGGCCCAAAAAGCAAGCAUUUUAGAGAAAAUAUACGUUUUUAUAACUCAAUGUUUGCUAUUACUUUGAUGGGUGCAACCAUUGAAAAAGACAUAAACAAAGGAUCUGGACCUUAUGUUUUUAAAAUAUGUGGACAAGUGCAUCAUUUGAUGGGUUCUGUUUUACCACAUGAAGGUGAAUCACCUAAAUAUGCAAAAUUAUAUGUUUAUGAUACGCAUAAUGAAAUAUCAAAUCGUAUCAAUGCUUUAAGUCCUAAUAAAAAACAAAAAAUUGAUCUUGAUAUUGUAAGUGGACUUAUCCAAAUGUUUGAUGAUAUCAAUGAAUUGACAAAGAUAUUUCGAAGUGUCAGGAAUAAAUUUGAAGAUGAUUCUUUACCUUCAUUCAAUAUGACUAUGCUAAAUUGUCAACCAUUUGAUAGUAAACAAUAUGAACUACCAACAAAUGAAGAAAUAGGUGGUUUAAUUGUUGGUGAUAUUGGAGAAUAUAAUUCUAAUAAAGAUAUUGUUGUUCAGUUUAAUGAUGGACGUUUAAAAAGAAUCUCUAAAAUACAUCCAAAAUAUAUGUCGUUGCAAUACCCGAUACUUUUCCCAUAUGGUGAAGAUGGAUAUAAGAUUAGCUUAUAUUUGCAACGAACAUCAAGAAACGAGGAUGCUAAUAAAAAAAGAAUGUCAAGCGUAACUUCAUUGCAUACCAAAUUCAAGAUAGAAAUAACCAAAUGAGCACUCUUUUAAAAGGUGGAAGAUUAUUUCAGCAAUAUUUAGUUGAUGCUUAUGCAACUGUUGAAGAGAAUGAGCUAGAUUAUAUUAGAAAACACAACGAUGAUUAUAGAAUUGAAAAGAAAAUAGAUAUACUUGCUGCUUCUUCAUCUAGAGUUACUGAAAGUUGUGAUGUAGGUCAGAAAAUUAUUUUUCCAAGUUCUCAUACAGGAAGCCCCCGAGAUAUGAUUAACAAUUAUCAUGAUGCGAUGGCGAUUUGUAGACAAUAUGGUAAUCCAGACUUAUUUAUAACCUUUACUUACAAUCCUAAAUGGCCCGAGAUAAUAAGAUACUUUAAAAAUAAUCCUGGAUACAAACAAGAAGAUAGACCAGAUAUAGCUUCAAGAAUUUUUCAAUUAAAGUUAGAAGAUAUGAUCGCAUACAUUAAAUCAGGCGAACCCUUUGGUGAACUUGAGGCCAAUGUAUAUACAGUUGAGUUUCAAAAAAGGGGACUUCCUCAUGCUCACAUGUUAUUUUGGUUAAAAAAGAACUACAAAUGUUAUACAGCAAGUGACAUAGACUCUAUUAUUUCUGCUGAACUACCCAACAAAAAUAUUGAUCCACAUCUCUUUGAAAUUGUCAGUCAGUUCAUGAUCCAUGGACCUUGCGGACCAAUUAAUUUAAAUGCUCCUUGCAUGCGUGAUGGAAAAUGCUCUAAAUUCUUUCCAAAGCCUUAUAAUGUUAAUACGAUAUUUGUGAGAAUUAAACCACCUGUAUAUAGAAGACGUGAUGAUGAUACAAAAUUUGUGUUAAAAGAUAAAGUUCAUAUCGGAAACAAUUUUGUUGUACCUUACAACUCAAAAUUAUUAUUGAGAUAUAAUGCUCAUAUUAAUGUGGAAUCAUGUUCACAAUCAAUGUUAAUCAAAUAUUUGUUUAAAUACAUUAACAAAGGUCCAAAUCGAGCUCGAAUAUUAUUGAACGAGGAUAAACAUGAUGAAAUUCAGACAUAUCUUAAUUGUCGGUAUCUAAGUCCUUAUGAAUCUGUAUGGAGAAUAUUUGAAUAUUUUAUUCACUCAAGAUACCCUGCUGUCCAAUACUUGGUUGUUUAUCUACCUUCAGAAGAAAAUAUUGUAUUUAAAUAAUCAACUUCUCUUGAGUCAGUUAUUAAAUAUCAUGCCAAUGAUCAUACUACACUAACUAGGUGGUUUGAAGCAAAUAAGAGAUACAAAAAAGCAAGACAAUUAACUUACAUUGAAUUUCCUACCAAAUAUGUUUGGGAUAACAAAAAUAAAGAAUGGACACCAAGAAAAAGAUAUAAAACUAUCGGUAGAAUGCAACACAUUCAUCCUUUAAGAGGUGAAGUAUAUUUCAUGAGAAUGCUAUUAAAUAUUCAAAAAGGAUGUAAAGAUUAUGAUUCGAUUAAAACAAUUAAUGGAGUUCCAUAUUCUACUUAUCAAGAAGCAUGUCGAGCUUUGGGUUUGUUAGGAGAUGAUAAAGAAUGGUGUGAUGUCUUAACAAAUUCCACACAUUUUGCUACAGCAUCAGAAUUGCGUCAAUUAUUUGCAACAAUUAUUAUAUUUUGUGAAGUUGCUAACCCACAAAAAUUAUUUGACUCAUAUUGGCUUAAUAUGUGCGAUGACAUUUUACAUAAAAUUCGAACCAAAAUGAGAGAUCCAGAUUUAAUCAUACCUGAACCUGAAUUAAAAAACAGUCUUUUAUAUGAAUUAGAAAAAAUAUUUAAUAUGUCAUCUAAUUCGUUAAAAAAUUUUCAAUUACCAAUACCAGAUGAAAAUAGAAUAACAGAGCUUAACAAUAAAUUAUUGAAAGAAGAACUCAAUUAUAAUUUACAUCUGUUAAAAUAUCAGCACGAAACUUUUAUAACCAAACUAAACAACAGUCAAAGAAUCAUAUACGAUUAUGUUAUAAAAGUUGUUCAAGAGAAAAAAUCUGGAACCUUUUUUGUUCAUGGUAGUGGCGGAACUGGAAAGACAUUUUUGUGGCAUACAAUAACAAGCAGAUUAAGAUCUGAAGGAAAAAUUGUUUUAACCGUAGCUUCAUCUGGUAUCGCAUCAUUGUUACUUCCCAAUGGUAGAACAACGCAUUCUUGAUUUAAAAUACCACUUAAUGUCACUGAUGAUACGAUAUGUCCAAUAAAAAAAGGGACUCAUCUCGCAAAACUUUUAGAAAAAAACAAAUUUAAUUAUUUGGGAUGAAGCCCCUAUGUGUAAUAACUAUUGUUUUGAAUCACUAGAUAGAUCUCUUUGAGAUAUUAUGUCACACUCUUAUAACAAAAAAAUUGAUAAACCAUUUGGCGGGAAACCAAUUUUACUAGGCGGAGACUUUUGACAAAUAUUACCAGUUAUCCAAGGAGGAACUAAGGAACAAAAAAUUCAUUGAAGCUUCUUUAAACAAUUCCAAACUUUGGCCAUCUUUUAAGAUAUUAAAUUUAACCGAAAAUAUGAGGUUAUUAAAAAGUGGUCUCACUGACUAUGAAAAGAAAAAUAUCUCACAUUUUGCAAAUUGGAUGUUAAAGAUUGGCGAAGGUCGAAUACAAUCAAUACUACAUACAGAUGAUAAGGACAUUUCAUGGAUUGAAAUCCCAGAGCAUUUACUAAUAACUUUUUAUACAGAUCCUAUAAAAUCAAUUUUUUUGGCCAUUUAUCCUAACUUUGAUAUUAACUACAAUAUCAUUGAUUAUUUAAAAGAACGCGCGAUUGUUACACCGCGAAACUCAACUGCUCUUUGUAUAAACAAUUACGCUAUAAAUUUAGUGCUUGGUGAUAAAACUACAUAUUAUAGCUCAGACACAAUCUCAGCAGAUUCUGGUAGCAAUGAAAACAUCGAUCUUUUAUAUCCAACAAAAUUUUUAAAUCAACUUGAGUUUAGUGGAUUACCAACACAUGAAUUAAUUUUAAAAGUUGGCAUGCCAAUAAUGUUAUUAAGGAACAUAAAUCAAAUGUUUGGCUUAUGCAAUGGCACAAGAUUAAUAGUGACAAAAUUAUUUGAUAGAAUAAUAGAGGCAAAAAUACUAACAGGUAACAAUAUUAGACAAAAGAUUUUUAUACCAAGAAUUGUUUUAUCAGCAACUGAACACAAAUGGCCAUUUGUAUUUAAACGACGUCAGUUUCCUGUAAAACCAUGUUACGCAAUGACUAUAAAUAAAAGUCAAGGUCAAUCACUAAAUCAGGUUGGUGUCUAUCUUUCUGAACCAGUUUUUACUCAUGGACAAUUUUAUGUUGUUUAUGUUGCACUAACAAAAGCUACGUCAAAAGAUCAUCUAAAGAUUCUAAUAAACAAUAACAACUAUAUCCCAAAUAAAUACACGAGAAAUAUAGUAUUCAAAGAUGUUUUACAAAAUCUAUGAAUUCUUACUAAUCUACUCAUGGACGACCUUACGUUGCAUUAUCAAGAUAAAUACACCAAAAUAUUUUACAGAAUCUUUUUACUCUAGUCAUCGAGAAACUUUCAGACUAUGAAAGUCCUUAUCCCAAACAAUAUCUCUCCAAACUACUGCGGAAGUCAGGUGAGUCUUCUUUGACACCUAUGUUUCAUUAGAUUAGUUUCUUCGAUAAGUUGGCCAUCAGUGGUUUAAUGAGUUCUCAUAUGUGAUUAUUUAUUUUCCUUUUCUAUUAUCAUCUUCUAUAAACUUUCUUUUCUUUUACCACAAUUGAUGUUUUGUUUUUUGGAGAAAUCAGAUUUAUUAUGACAUGAAAUUCACAAACUACUUUGUUCCUGCAGAUCUUAUAUUAGCUUCCCUUUAGUGUCUCCAUGGUGAUUCAUUGGAUGGAUAUCACAUGAAAGGAAGAAUUGAAGAUGAUNNNNNNNNNNNNNNNNNNNNGAGAGAGAGAGAGAGCGCGUGUCCCGAACCCGUAAAAUCUCCAGGCUUUGAAUUUGAUACUUGUGACGAGAAUCCAUCAUAUUCAACAGUAUGAUUAGUAUCCCAACAUAUAUUCAUCACAUGCUUUACUAAGGGAAUUUUCGGAAAGAUUUUAUACUCCUCAGUCCUCACCUUCAAAACUGGCAAAAUCUGGCAAAAUGUGGACAGCGGCUGUGGUGAUCCAUCAUUCAUGGCUUCAAGGAUUGACUGUUCAUUCUGUUCCAAUAUGUGAGAAUGGUAUUAGUGAAAAAAAUAUCUAUAUUGUUUUUUGGGGAAAAAUAUAGCUAGUAGCUCAUUCACAAAUUAAAAUACAAACAAAUAAGUCAAAUAUAUAUAUGGUAGAUUUAAGCUGCAAUACAGAUAGUUCAUGGUUAGACUGUAUUGGUUUCCCACCCCUUCUGUCAUUCACACAAUUCAAAUAUCCCUGGUAUCCAAAUUCAUCACUUUCUCUCCAAAAACAAGUUGUUUCAACCUUCAUAAGCAUCACUAACUACUGAUUUGUUCCAUUUAAUUAACAUUCACGCUCUAAGAUCCAAAAACAAGGGAGGCAAAUCAGAACUAAUAUAACAAUACGAAUAACAUUACGAGAAAGUAUAAGGCAAAAAACACUUCAGAUCAUAAAAGAGUUUACAACAAAUAAAAAUAACGCAACCAUGAAAUAGCAAGAUAAGACAUCUGUAUGUAAAGCAAACUACCUAGAAUCGUUUCGAUAAGCCUGUUACAUGAAAGACCACCAAUUGACAGGCAACUCAAAAUCGUAUCAAGUUCUCUUGCUUAUAUAACUUGAUAUCUGCAUAACUGAUUUCCUCCAGGAUUUGAGAUCUCUUCCAAAACAUGUUCUAGUUCUGCUUUAGCUCUCUCGACAGACUUUUCGGUAUGACCCUCAAUAAACAAGUAGAGCUUGCGAUCUGCUGGUCCUGGAACCUUCCCUGGUGGGAAAUACUGACCCCUGGUAGUAACGGCAACUCCAGUCCAGUCUGUUAUAGGUCCUACCGUUUCCUUGUGGGUGACUUUCCAUCUACCAUUCUGGGGCAAGUCAUUUAUCUCCAACUCUGCUUCGUAGUGUUCAGGCAUUGCAUCAGCAUGGAUCUUUUCCAGGGAACGCUUUAAGUUCAUGGCAGCUACAAGUGCUGCCGCCCGCGUCCGAGCUUCCACAUCUUGAGACAUACCUUCUUCAUGAUUGAGAGACAUUGCUGCGAGGUUUGCAGUAUUAGCAGCGUUGAUCAUCUCCUCAGCUCUAGACUUAGACAUCAUCUAUGGGAUAGGGCUUUAAUAUAUGUGUUGUUGUAGAGAGAUCGAGGGACCAACGAGGCAACGACACACCUUAUUUAUAGACAAAUUUUCCUAAGAAUCCUAAUGUAUCAAGGAAUACAAGAUUACGUUGUAAAAUCUAACUAAUGAAUCCCUAACCAAUUAAGUCAGAUAUACUUGACCAUAUUGGUUUCUAGCAGCAGGUAUUGACGUAUAUCUCCUAUAAGAUAUAUCUAACAAUCUGAGGGCAGGACUGAAUAUGUAAAACAAGAUCUGUUCUUCAAUUCGGAAGUGAUCAAGGACAAUAUAAUACAAGCACGCAUUGAACUUUGUAAUAUUUGAAUCAACUAUAAAAAUUCACACUAAUAUAUUAAAACUGCGAGUUGCUCUUUUAAAUACAAUUUUUGAGAGACACAUAAUUAAAUCUGACAGUUCGAGAAUGAAUGUAACCUUUUGAGUUAUUAUAACUUCAGGCCUAUAUUGUUAUAGUUCGAUCAACAUACAGUAAUAUUGGAUUGCUCGUACUACAAGGAUCAUAGAGAAUGUGCUUACUUCCACUUCAAAAAAUAUUGUGGAAGAGGAUUUGGGAAGCUAAUCUGCAUAUGGAGGGCAUGUUCUAAACUUCUAAUCUGUUGCCAACUCGAAGGAAGCUUUGCACCAAGGGCAUGCUCUAACAAUGGCUACUGCAGCUAUCAUGCCCUUCAUUUGCAGAAAAAAAUGUGUUUGUUAAUUGAUGAUGAUGGAGCCAGCCUCCUCAUGAUUUAAUGCUGGGAGCUCUAGCUUGGUUAUACGAGUUCAACAAGGCAAGGUCUGUGCCAAAGCAAAGCUGGAUCAUCAUCCAAGCAAAGCUGGUAGCAGGCAGUACAAGGGAGGUCGGAACUAAAUGUCAAUGGCAGUUUCUCGCCUCUCUGUAGUGGCUUCAGCUAUACAGGUGGAAUUAUGCGCCAUCAAAUAAGGUUUAAAGCUGCUCAAAACAAUGAGGGCCGGUUAGGAAUCUGGCAAUCAAAACACUGUGUGGAAGCCAUCUCAAACAUCUUUGAUGUGCUACAAGGCACGCAUAUUGGCUUGGAGGGCCUCUCCUACAGCCUGCAGGAUGUCAGGGCAGCAAUCUGCUCUAUACCUACCUGGUGCAACAUGCAGGUAGAGAAUGUAACAUGGUCCACGUAAACUUGCAAGCUCUGCGUAUGAGGCUACACACAUAUCAGGAUGUAUUCUUGAUCUUCUAAAGCAUGAUGUAACCACCUAUUCUUGAUCUUCUAAAGCAUGAUAUAACUAACCUGGGUGGCUAAUUUGCACCCAUAGUUUUUAAUACAAUCACCUACUAUGAUAUGAAUUUAUCAAUAAAAAUUGUUAUUUUUUUAACCUUUGAUGGAGAUGGUCAAAGUGAAUUUUUGAAAGAUUUUAUACUGGUGAUCCAUCUUUAUGGAUUCAAGGAUUGAUGAUUUUUUUUUUUUUUUUUUUUGAAAAACAUUCAAGGAUUGAUUGUUCAAGCUAAAACAGAAGGGCAUAUGUGAAAGAGAGCUCCCACAUGAUUAGAGAGCUCUAACAAUCACUGGAGUCUCACUAUAAUACCAUACGUUGGACGUUAUAUUUUCAUGCAUUUUUAAUUUGGGUACGAGGCCAUUAUUUUGUCUCUAAUCCCUAUACAGAAAUAAUAUGAAAUGAGAUAAAGAUAUGCAUCAGGCCAAGGUAUUAUAGUGAUUUCUUACGUUCUUCAACCUUCAUAAGCAUCACUGCUACUGAUUCAUUCCAUGUUUACAUCUCCAUUGCUCAUCUGCUCAAUUGCUGCCACAGGAAAGCAUCCAUUCUAAGGUCCAAAAACAAGGGAGGCAGAAACAUUACUAGAAAGUAAAAAGGCAAAGUACACUUCAGAUCAUAAGAGAGUUCAUUACAAAUAAGGACGGUAAAAAGCAUCCAUCAACUAUAGAUUUGAAACUAUGGAUUUGAAACAGUGACGCAGCACGCCAACAAAGCAGAAGGUGCAUGGGCUACUGCUCCCUAAUUGUAGCAAGGAAGCAUGUAUAUAUAGUAGCAGUUGCCUCCAGGAAGGAAUCCGCACAGCCUAGAAAAAGAAAACACCAACAAAAAAAAAAAAAAAAAAAUUAAGUCAAAUGCAUGAGUGAAGUAAUUACAGAUCCCACAAACCCAUGGAACACAACCCAACAGAACAUGCGCUGAACACAUUUGUUUAAACUGAACAAUAGUGGCAUCAGGAGCAGGUGUUGCACCACGGUCGCAUCUCUUGGCCAGCUUUGUAAUUGGAAGACCAUAUGCAUACAACAUCCCUCGCGCCAGGGGAAUUGAUAAGCAAGAAAAGAAAAGAAAAGACAAUCAAAAGGUGCCGAUAAAUUGUGCAAAUGAAAACAAAUUCAUAGGAACUCACAACUUAAAACAUCUGAUUACCCAUUGACAUAUUGAAAUGACUCCCAGAACAACCAAGUAAAUAAGGUUAAUACAUGAUUAUGAAUCUCAUUAUAGAUUAACAUCAUAGGUCAAAAGUUGGAUUUAAUCAUUAGAGUCCAGGAGGACAGACAAGACAUCUGCAACAUAUGCAAACUACCUAGAAUCAUUUCUAUAAGCCUGUUACAAGACUGACCACCAAUUAACAAGCCAGUCAAAGUCAUAUUAAGAUCAGCAUAAGCAAAUAACAUCAUACCUUGAGCUAGGACCAAGUUCUCAUGCUUAUAUAACUUGAUAUCUGCCUUGCUGAUUUCCUCCAGGAAGUGAUAAUGCCUGAUUUGAGAUCUCUUCCAAAACACUUUUUAAUUCUGCUUUAGCUCUCUUGACAGACUGUUCGGUGGGGCCCUCAAUAAACAAGUAAAGCUUGCGAUCUCCUGGUCCUGGAACCUUCCCUGGUGGGAAAUACUGACCCCUGGUAGUAAUGGCAGCUCCAGUCCACUCUGAUAUAGGGCCCAAUGUUUCCUUGUGGGUGACUUUCCAUCUAGCAUUCUGGGGAAAAUCAUUUAUCUCCAACUCUGCCUCGUAGUGUUCAGGCAUUGCAUCAGCAUGGAUUUUUGCCAGGCUAUGCUUUAAGUUCAUGGCAGCUGCAAGUGCUGCAGCCCGAGCUGCCCCGUCACUGCCAACAAGAGGCAGACCAGUCCCAGGCACAACUGCUGCAGUUCCUGGUAAUGCAACACUUACACCAAGGAGACCUGGAAGAGGAACAGGAAGUCCAUCGGGAAGAUGUUGGGCAGCAGGUGUAGGUGUCUGCAUUGCGGUAGUAGCUUUGGAGGCAGCAGCAAUAGCAGCUAUCUGAGCAAGAGCAGCCUGCUGUGAUAUAUCACCCCCUGCCUUUCGGAUACCUUCAUCUUCAUCUUCUGAAUCCGACUUGUCUUCCUCAAAACCAUAUUCUUUCGCCUGUGCUUUCUUUGCCGCUCUCCUCACUUCAUCUUCUUCUACAUUAAAUUUAAAACCACUUCCCCCAUAACCAGUCCCAUGGGCUUGCGCAAGUCCCUGCUUUACUUUUGCCAUGAAACUAUCCGCAAGAGAUUUCAAGUCAUCUGGAACAACUUGCUCAGAAAGUUCCAAUGCUUUCACAAGAUCUGGAGCAUAUCUAGCAUCUUCCUCAGAGAUAAAAGUAAUAGCACAGCCUUUUCGUCCAGCUCGGCCAGUACGUCCAACACGGUGAACAUAAUCUUCAUAGUGAUUUGGGGCAUCAAAAUUUAUCACCAGUUCAAGCUCCUUGACAUCUAGCCCUCUGGCAGCAAUACUGGUUGCAAUCAACAAAUUACAAACAUUGCUCUUAAAAUCAGCUAUGGUGGACUCACGAUCUGUUUGAUCUUUAGCCCCAUGAAGUGAGAGACAAGGAUAUCCAUGCUUAAGUAGAUCUCUAAAUAAAGCAUCACAUUUGUCCUGUGAUUGUACGAAUAUCAAAAUUUUUCCUUUUUCAUACCAUUCUCCAAGUAACUCUAAUAAUCUCAAAAACCUUUCAUUCUCCUGUCUCACUUCAACCAAUUGCAUGAUGUCCUUAUUCACAACACUCCUUCCGCCAACUUGUAUUUCCACAGGUUUGUCUAAAACUUUACGAGCCAAAACUUCAACCUGGCGUGGAAAAGUGGCAGAAAAUAACACAGUUUGGCGAUCUGGACGGACAUUUUGAACAAUUCGAGUGAUUUGAGGUUCAAAACCCAUGUCAAACAUUCGAUCAGCUUCAUCCAUGACCAAAUAAGUUACUCUACGCAGAUUUGUUAUUUUUCCUCCACUUGUGCAAAGUAUGUCAAUCAUCCUACCAGGAGUACAGACAACAAUUUCAGCACCCCGCUUCAGUUCACUGAUUUGUUGUGCAACACCUGAACCUCCGUACACAGGCACACACCUGAGACCCAGAACCUUGGCAAACUUCUUAAUAUCACUGUGAAUCUGCUGAACAAGUUCCCUGGUUGGUGCCAUAAUAAGCCCAAUAGGUCCAUCCCCAGCUACCACAGGUGGCUGGUCCUUGAUAUGCCUCAGCAUUGGCAGUACAAAUGCAAGGGUUUUACCUGAUCCAGUUUUUCCAAUGCCAAUGCAGUCUCGACCGCUCAUAACUAUAGGCAGGGCCUGAGCUUGAAUCGGCAUCGGCUUUUCAUAGUUGAGCUUCUUUAUUGUUUCCAAAAUUUUACUUGUAAGUCCAGUCUGGUGCCAGCUCUUAAUGGGCUUUGGUACAUCCUUACCAUGUAUCUUCAAUUCCAAUUGUUUCCGGUACGCACCGACCUCCUCCGGUGUCAUCCUUGAGAUCUCCUUAACCUCAAUAUAAAAAUUUUUACGGAAUGGUAUAUAAUCUAUCUUUGAGUGGUCAACUAAGGAAAGUUUCUCAGCUUUUGUUUUCUUCACCCUUUUUAUGAACUCAUCAUCAUCUUCAUUUUCUAAAGGAUCGUCAUCAUUCUCAAGGUCCCCAUAAUCUGAGUCAGAAUCCCCAGGAAUUAUUCUGCCAAUACCUUUACUUGAACUUGCCCUCAGCUUUUCACCAUUACUUGAAUCAACCUUUUUCUCCUUGUUCUUGUCAUCAACACUUGAGGGUUCCACAGUAGUGUUCAGCUUCUCAACUUCAGGCAUAACCACAGAAAGCAUAAAAGCAUCUAACGGAUCAACUUCCUCAUUCUCUGCAGCAGCUGUUGUAUUAUCAGUAUCUGGCACGACGGCGUCUAUAAUUUCACCAUCAGUAAGAACAUCCCCAUUGACCUCCAUAUCAACGUCCAUGGCUGUCUCUGAUUUCCCUGCUUCUUCGUCAUCAGAUUCUCCAUCAAGAGUCCAUGCCUUCCCAGACUUGGUUUCAUCAACAUUUUCUUCCCCAAGCUUCUCUCUCUCAUCCUCUUCCUUCUUUCUCUUUAACUCUUGCCAUUCCUGUACUCUCCGCCUCCGCUUUUCCAUUUCCUCAUCUAAUUUCCGUUGUUCGUCCUCUAACUCCUCCUCACGGGUUGGCUUCUCCGUUUUAUCUGAAUCAUCUCCAUCACUCCUCUUUCUUGGACUCUCAAUUCCAUCAUCCCGAUGUCUGUUUGACCUACUAAUACUCCUUUCCCGAUCUCUUUCCUUGUACUCAUUGUCACUCUUCUUGUGCCGCUUCCUACCACGCUCCCUAACAUCAUCCUCCGAAUCGUCAGUAUCAGCAUCCCUAUGCCUUUCCCUCUCCCUUAUCCUCCUAUCUCGAUCUUUUUCCUUUUCCCUCUCCCUCUUCUCCCUAUCCCUCUCCUCUGCCUCCCUUACGCGUUCCUUUCUCUCCCUCUCCUUUUCUCUUUCUCUUUCCCUUUCCUUCCGCUCCCUCUUCUCCUUUUCUUUGACUUUCUCCCUCUCCCUCUCCUUAUCCCUCUCUUUAUCUUUAUCCCUUUUCUUGUCUUUGCUUCUCUCUCGUUCAUCAUCUCUACUCCGUCUAUCAAUGUCCUUAUCUCGAUGCUUCUUUCUCAUAUACCUCUCCUCAGAAUCAGAACUCUUUUCUCGCUCAUAUCGUCGGCUAUCACGGUCUCUCUUAUCUACUCUAUCUUUGUCUCUGUGUCUAUCUCCUUUCUUUUCCUUCUCUCGAUCCUGACCUCGGUGACUCCUCUUAGCUUCCCCUUCCUUCCUAGAUUUAUGCUUGCUAUCUUCCAUUGCUUUGUCCUGUGUCAUUCACAAAACAAAAGAAAAAAGUCACCAAUAAUCCCAAAGUAAUUAAUGGACGCAAACACAAGCAAUAGCAAAAUCAACACUACUUUGUAUGAGGAAUCAUAACAAAAACAUAGAUUCCUUUUACAAGCCCAUACAAGUUAUUAUACCUAAAUUUCAAAGUAGAAAACAAGUACAAAAGAGACCUCAUUUUAUUAAUAAUCAAACCUCAUUCAAAAUGAACCAAAAAAAAAAUGUGAUUUGAAAUGUAAAGCUUAUAUGAAACCAAAUUAAAAGAAAUGAGACUCUUGCCUCAUAACCUAAUUGUGUAUUUAAGGAUUGUAAUACAAGGUCAAGAAGCGAAACGAAACCAAUGUAACCUCAAUUAACAGUACCCUUAUCUGAAGAAACAAGGGUCAUGCAUGUGUAUAUAUUUAUCAUUGAUCAAAUGGAAAGCCUGGCGGUACCAGAAAGCCAAAAGGCGGGGCUGCAACAAUUAACUCAGGGUCCCGUUCCUUAAUAAACGGUAUACCCGUUCUCAAUCCUCAAUCCAAUACGCAACACAUGAUUCAUCCCCAUCUGUACCAACUGAACUCUCACAAUCCAAUCUCAAUCAGACCUACAUCCCACUUUUGAGAACGCCUAAGCUCACCUACAUACCCAUAUCUAAACAAUUGGAAUACAGAACAUUAAACUGCAGACACUGAAUGAACAAAUCAUGAAGAAUAAAAGAUGAGAUGAACAUGCAAACCAAUAUAGUAAAACCCCAUAAGUUCAGGUAAUAUACGUUUUGAUUUAAAUAUCAGGAUGAUGUGUUGAAUACGCUCACACUAGAGUUUUCUAAGAGGCAAGUGUUCCUCAGUCCUCACAACACACAAGGUGCCUAACCAAUAACUAAUUACAUAUUAAUCUCAGCCAAGAAAGGCCUUCUUGAUUCCUGAUCCUGCGGAAUACCACAAAAUCCUAAUGCAUCUGCGACUGAGUUACACUCUAUCCAUAUGAAGGUGCUAUAUCGUUGCAGUUAUGCACAGCCACUCUACUUGUGUUUGCAACACCAGAUUAACUUGAAUCAAAUUAUAAACCUGAUGUAAUUCAAGGGGCAAUUACACCAAUUUCCAUGGAAAUUUUACUAACAAUCAACAAUUCACCAUCAUCUGAUUUCCUGAAUUUUCAUAAUUAAUCUCAAUUAUUUCAAUAACUCUAACAAUCGUAAACCUAAUCAUGAAACCAAGACUGCUAGAACGAAAUAGACAACAGGAAUCAUCGGCCCAUCCAUAACCAAGUCAACAUAAUCAAACACCCAAAUCUCAAAUGAAGCGGAAAACAGAAUAGAUGGGGAAAAGGGUUAAAGGGGAAGCUUACAGGAAACCCUAGAAUUGGUGUAGAGGCUUUAGGGUUCUUCGAACUCUCAGAGGCGCCUCUUCAGAAUUAGCGAUUCAAUUCGUCCAGGAUGGAUCAGAAGAAAGGAUUCUUCCACGAAUUGGGGUUUCGCUUCCACGCUGGUGGGUGAGGACGAUAUCAAGUUUUUUAACAAGAAAGAGAAUAUAUAGUCUUUUUUUUCUUCUUUUGUUUUUUUAGUUCUUCUCGCUUUUAUUUAUCGAAUUUUUUUUUUUCUUCGACCAACAAACAACUGAAAUUUUUUUUUAGAGAGAGCUUUUAUUUAUCGAAAUAAAAAUGAAGAAGAGUAUCUUUUUUCCUCAUGAGAAAAAGAAGAAGCAAAUUAAUUAAUUGUGAUAUUGAUUUUAUAUCACAACGCAUUAUUACGGAUUACAACAUGCUCUUUCUCUCUUUCACUUUCAUCAUUUUGGAUUUGGUGAUCAAUGUUGAUCAACUUGCAUGCAAUUUUGAUUUGUUGUUGAUUGGUCGGUUCGAGUUUUAUUAUUGUGGAUGUCUUUUUUUUUUGGUAAAAUUUUGUGUAGUCAUUGUGGUUAAAGUUGACAAAUGUUCAAUUUUUGUGGUUUUAUUUUAAUUUGAAUGGUCUUUAACGUCACUAUUUUUCAUCCAAAUGGUCAUUCCGUCAAUUUUCUCAGUUAAAUUGAUGACGUGGUUGUUAAAAAUUACAAUAUUUUUUAUGUCACACCCUGAAUUUUGGAUAAAUAAAAAAAUUCCAAAUUCAAGGUAUGAUAACCAAAAAGAAAAACAAUCAAUACAACAUUUUAGUUUUACAACUUGUGAAAAAUAAUUUGAACAAAUUAAAACUUCUCUCAAUACUCACAACAAACUAGAAAGUAAACAAAAUGAAUAAUGCCUAAUUGCCGCAGCCUCCACUCUGCUAAUCCUGACAUGCAAAAUCAAUCUCUACACCAUAGAUUGGUGCACCGGGUUGUAAACAACAAACCCGGUAAGCUUUAAUAGCUCGUAUGAGUAAAUCUACAUUAACGGACUCAACCCAACAUCACAUACGGUAAAACCAGGAGUUCAUGCAUUAAAAAUAAAUUCAGGAAAACACUUACAAGCAAGAGAAAUCAAAAGAAGUAAUUAAGAAAACACGACAAUUCAAAAUCACUCAAAAUCAUAAAUGAAUCCUGCAAAAAGCGUAGUUCAGGAAUUCCAUUAAAAUCACACAAUUAAGAUUAAAAAAUCUCCUGCGAAUAAGCAGAGUUCAGGAGAUACUCAAAACAAAGAAUUUAAAUGACAACACAUAAGAACAUCACACAAUCAUUUCUCUACUCUUAGUUAUGAGUUCGUCAACACUUAGUCAUGCCCCAUAAGUAACCAAAUAAACGCAUACUCAUGAGUUCGUCAACACUUAGUCAUUCCCCAUGAAGUACCAACAGACAGACUAGAGCUCUAAACUGACCGUAACCAAUCAUUCGGCCAAGGCUUGGUUCCCGGUCCACCACGAAGGCUCCUAAUCCAAUGCACACAAUCACCACCAAGACACACACAUUCACAACUAAUGCACACAAUCACCACGCACACAAUCACCAUGCACACAAUCACCACUAAGGCACACACAUCCACAACUAAUGCACACAAUCACCACUAAGGCACCAUUCCACAACUAAUGCACAGAAUCACUACAAAGGCACACAUCCAAUUAUAACCCAUGAUCGGAAGUCGUUUUGAAAGAUUUUAUUUUUAUCAGAAAACAUAUUUUCACUUACCCAUGAGCCGUUGACGAUCAAGCUCAUUUAUAUUUAAAAACAAAAUCAUUCUCCUUCAAGGACAACUUCACAAUUAGCAAUAAUAAACUAUAAAAUAAAAUCGGUUCCUUUAUGAACUCAUGUGAGAUUUACUCACAAUAUAAUAAUAGCAUCAUAACCGUAACCAAUCACCCGAUUAAAGGCUUGGAACCCAGUUUGACUAUCUAAAACAAUGAAUCACAAUAUAAUAAUAUCAUCAUCAACAACACAAAGAGCACAUCAUAAAAAUUAUAUCCUUCCACAUAGAUAUAUUUAUAUGAACAAACAUAGAUAUUUCCACAAGAAUAAUCUAUCAAGAACCAACAAUAUUAUGAUCACAUAAACAUUAAACAUAAUCAUAUAAUAGGAAAACUUGUUUUCUCUUACCUAUGAGCCGUUAGCGAUCAAGCUUAUAUAUUUUAAAACAAACAAAAGCAAAAUAUUUUAAAUCAUCAACAUCAUCAUCAUCAUUAUUAUCAUUAUCAAAAUGACCAUAAAUAAUUGGGUCCUAAAGUGAACAUUGGUGAGAUUUUUACUCACCUAAAAUCCCGCUGUGUCUUCACAAUAACUCAAGAGCCAAGCUCAAAUAUCAACUCCACAAGCUACCUAUUUAACACAAUUAAUAACCUUAGUAACCACUUGAACAGAAAGAACAUUGCACCCUUAACAAGCCUUAAUCCAAAGGAGGACAACCUUCCAAGGUCGUCGAACUUAACAACCCAUUACUGCUGCUUCUAUUUCCUAAAUCUUAAACUCAAAACCUCUCACAAGUCUAAGAUUAUACAUAAAGUCCUAACAUGCAAUCCUUGCUCAAAACUUAGAGAUUCCACAUCUCAACAAGCUUACAACAACAUGAGCUAGCUAACCACAACAACCACUACACACCCUGCCAGACACGCCACCACGCACCGCCACAAGCGACGACGAGUGGGCCCCACGCGCCACCGGCGACCCACGAACCGGGUCAUGGUUCAUACACCAAACUCUUCAUCUCAACAAUCCCUACAAUAGUCUCAACUAUCACAAAGUCCAAUUUUAACUAUAGAAGGUGGAAUUUACCUCUCAAGUAAAAUGGGUGAUUGAAACCCUAGGAUUUCAAAUCCUCAAUUCACCCUCCACACUUCAAGUCGGUUCAAGAGGCUUGGAGGGAUUGAUCCACGUCUCACAGGCUUCAAAAGCCCCCAAGAGUUGUCGCCGAAGGUGACCGGAAUUAGGAGUUCCGACGAAGAACCCAAAACGGCACCACCGCUGCUUCCCGGCCUUGCUGCACCUCCAGCUGCUCGAAUCUUGCUACCAAACCACCAUAGACUUGUAUAGAAUCAAGAGAGCUUUUCCAACGGUACCUCAUUUGCCUAAAUCCGAGCUCGGAUGGCCAAGAUAUGGCUGAAAAACUAAAGGAGGUUGGGAGGAGAAGAGAGAUACGCGAUUUUCAGAUUGGAAACUUUUUCCUUUUUUUCUAAUUUCAUUUUUUCUAUUUAUAUACAACUUCCAAAAAAGUAGGAACUUCCGCUGACCAUAACUUUUUCUUACGACAUCCAUUUUACGCAUGCCGCCUGUCUAUGGACUCAUAUCAUCGUGCUCUACAACUUUCGUGAAAUAAGUUUCUCAAGAAACCUAACGAAUAAAAGUCAACUCUAUGACCCUUAAAGAAUAAAGAACCGUUUUGGGUAAUUUAUGCGUCUGAACACUUCCGCCUUUCAUUUGAACCUCAAAAACACACUAACUUCUAACUCGAAAAUUCCCAAAUAAAAUUAGAAACUAAUAUCUAAUUUUCGGGGUAUUACAUUUUAACAGCCACGUCAAUAUUCUGACAAAAAAAAAUUGACAGAAACACCAUUUGGAUGAAAAAUUGUGACUUUAAGGACCAUUCAGAUUAAAAUAAAACCAAAAUGACUAAACAGAUGUCGACUUUAAACCACAAGGACUAAACAAAUUUUAAUUUUGUUUUUUUUAUUAGGGUUUGGAACCUAGCCUAGCUGGGAGGCUCAGCCCCACAUCCGGUUCCAUUUAUUUUAUUAAUAUUAAAAUUUUGCAACGGGGGAACGUAAUACCAAUACUCGUGCUACAUCAGACAAGUAACUAAUCCUCGUACAUAACGUCCUGAAUAAUAGCAAGAGUCUCAUCUAACCACAAAGACUGAACUCUCAUACUAGCUAGGUGUGCUAAUCUAUUUGUAACACUAUUUGCCUCUCUGUCGAUGUGUCGAACCCGAAUAGAUCUAAAAGCCUUCAUAUAGUCUUUACAAUCCUCCAAGACUCGACCCAUCUCAGAUAAAUCCUCACCCUCUCUAGGGAAGCUAUGUAGAAUCACUCUCAAUAUCAACAUCAGUCUAUCCUUGGUGAACAAAUAUGGUGAAAAUGCAUCCCCUUGACGAAUACCGCGCUUCGGUUUCAAGCUUCCUUGUGGCACACCAUUCAACAGAAAAGAAAAGGAUCCCGUUGUAACACACCUCAUUAUUUGCCUCACUAAGCAUCACAGAAUCUCAUCCUUUUCAUGAUAACAUCUAAAAAAUUCCACUCGACCCUAUCAUAUGCUUUGCACAUGUCAAGCUUAAGCGCACAAUAACCUUUCUUACCUCUUCUCCUGUUCUUCAUUAAGUGAGUGACCUCAAAUACUAGCAGAGAGUUAUCGGAAAUCUGUCUUCCCGGAACAAACGCUCCUUGAAACAGUGAAAUAAUCAUAUCCAUAACAGGUUUGAUUUUGUUUGCAAGAACUUUCGAACCAAGUUUAUACAACACAUUACACAAGCUUAUGGGGCACAACUGACUCAUGUACUUGGGAAUCAGAACUUUUGGGAUUAAAGUUACAAACGUCCUGUUGAUAGAAGCUGUGGAAUCAGAACAUUUAUUGUGGAUGUCUUUUUUUUCUCUUUAUGCAGUAUUUCAUGAACUUUUUGCAAUAAGCCUCAUGUGCAAAAGAAAAGACUAGCUUUCGUACAAGGCGUUUUUACUUAAGCUGCCUACCAAACGACCUUAGUCGGUAUCAUAUAUUUGAAAUUGUCGUAAAUCCGACAUGAUUUGUACACCGACUAUUGGCAGCCUAACUUUCGGUACGUUGGUAUCGAUAUAUGGAUAUGUUGAGUUCGCGGGACUUGUAAAUAGCAAACAUAAUAGGCUAACGAAUAAAGUACUCUCAAAAUGAUUAAAUCUAAAAUUUAUCGAGACAAAGGAGAAAUGGAACGUUAAUCAAAAGAGUUUUUGGAACUAAAGUGGGGCGAAUUCGAAACAACACCCACAAGAUCAUCAUAUGCAGGCUUAUCAAACCUACUAAAAAAACAUAGUCGCAAGACAGGAUUAGAAUGGUGCCCAUGUCUAGUAAAGAAGCUGCGGGCUACUCCCCGACAAUGCUUGUUCAUGUGGUUUUAAGUCUAAAAAAGUUCUUGGAUCAAAGUUCAUUAAGCCAAUCAUGCACCCUUCUUCUCUAAGCUUUUGGUGGAAUGCAAUAAACUCCUUCACUUCAAACCUUUGAUAAAACAGGGAUGAGAUUGGACGUACAUGUUUACGCAGUGAAUGAUAGCGGAUCCAAUACCAAGACGACUUCUUUCUUAGGGAAAUUACAUAAGGAAUUUUCAGAUAUCAUGUCCGAGAGUGAGUUGUUUCCAUGUGCCCUAAGAGGGGAGCAGGGACGUAUCUAGGAUUAGGAUAUCAAGUGGGCUAAAUAUAUUGGUACUCAUUAAUUUUGUUGAUUUUCAUAGCCUGAAGAAAAUUAAUGUAAAGAAGAUGAAAUUUUGUAAAUGAAAACAUGCAAAAAAAAAAAGGCAGAAGAAGAAAGGAAGAAAAGGGAAAAAAAUGAUGAACCGAAAAAAUUGAAAGAUAAGGUAGAAGAAGAAAUGAAUAAAAGAGAAAAAUGAUGAACUGGAACAAUAAAAGCAAUAUAAACUAUAUGCAAUCGAACCAUUAAUCUAGAAUGUGGAAAUGCAACGCCUUAAGAGCAUGUCCACCCCUUGCAAAUUGGUUAACCUAGGUCAUUUGCCACAUAGGCAAAGUGACGCAAGUUUUUUUUUUCCCUCCUUUCCACCCAUGAAAAUGGACUAGUUUCUAGAAUGACCCAGGUCAUUUGUUGGGUUAACCACUGACCCAGGUUCCUUUGUUUUUUGACCCACAAUGACUACAAGUCACAUCAGACCAAAGGCCCAACGUGGCUGACGUUAUAAUGCCCCAUACCCAAUUUUACCUAUUUACUGGGUAUUCUACGAGUUACUGAGAAAUUUAACCGUGCUCGGUAACUUGGUAAUUUAACGCUCGAGUUGAUUUUCGAGUUUUUCUCAAAAUGUUAAAUUCCUCUUUUAAGGCCCUGAUGUAGUAGUACAUGUCGACACGAGUUCACCGGUGUCUUCAGAUUAUUUGUCAGAAUUUCGAGUUAUUUUCUAUGAUUUAUUAGACGUUUGGUUAUAGAAAUUAAUUUACUGAAGAAAAUAGCUCAUUUAAUCUUGCCAUCGGAUCUUUAGGGUUUUGAUCUUAACCGUUGGCGCAUGUAUUUAAGGGAGGAGACGGGUUGACUUUGGGGGAACCCAAACUUGGGUGUUGACCUGAGCCUGGACGGCUCUCUCCCUCUCCGCCUACCUCCAUCAUUUCCGGCGUGGCGUCGCCAGUUCCGGUCACCACAUGCCACGAAACCGCCACCAAUCUCUUCCUCUCCUUCUUCUCUUCAAAACCCAGUGAUCAAAUUCCACAAACAACCCCGAAUUCAUGGAGGGAAUUGAUGAACACCACUGUGUUCAUCAGAAUUCGGGUAGCUCCCAGCGACGACUCGACCUUUGAAGGUAGGUUUCAGUUCGCCUCUUCCCUCUUCUUCUUUCUGGGUAGAUAGUUCUUGAAUCAGGACCUAAUCAUAACUUCUCUGUUUUUGAGUUUCCCGAGUUCCUAGCUUCGGCGACCUACGCUCGGUGGUUUCCGACUAGUGCUUCGGGUUUUGGUGAGUCCUUGAAGCCUAGUGGGGAGUCCGGUGGGACCUUGGAGUGACUUGUGGAGCUGCAGUCAUCAAACCGGACCAAGGCAGAGGCUUGGUGUGUUUGGCUAGAGAGGACCCGAGGUGAUGUGGUGCUGAUUCGGUGAAGGUGGCAACUAAGGCAGCAGCUGGGGAUGUUUAGAAAUCCUGCAAGUUGAGUUUUGGCAAGGAGGAGCUCCUGGAUUCGUGUGUUGGGUAAGCAUAUGGUAAGGUUCGAUCUCUGAUAUUUUGAAGCUGUUGUGUUGAUGUUGUUUGGAACCGAGUUGGUUGUUUGGUGUUUAUUUCAAUUGUUUGGCUGUUUGCAUGUUAAGAACUUGGUGAUUCAAAGUAUACGGGGAAGCUAUGGCCACUUUCCGGCAAAUAUUUCCGGCAAGUCGUCGGAGUCCGACGAGGGAUAGAUUUGGCAGAAGCGGAUGAGGUAGUGAUCGAUGUUUUCCUUUUCAUUUUAUGUCACUUCGGAAAUAGAAAUGUUCAGGUUGUAAUCGGAAAACUUAUUAAGUUAGGAAAAUUUCUAUUUUGGGAAACUUUCCCCUUUAUAGAAACUUUUCAUUUAUGGAAAUUCUUUUGGGUGCCCUUAGUAAAUUUUGGUGUGAAGUUGUGUAGAGAGGAAUUGAUGGAAAUUGUUGGUAUUGUGUGUGGGCAUGCAUGAACGUAGGGGACCAUAAAAUAAUUUUGGUAAUAUGAACACUGUCCAUAGUAACUCUAGAAUCUAGACCAGAUUACUAUGUGAUGAAUUUGGAAGUAAAUUGGUUGAUGUGUUAAAGGCAUGGAAAUUGAUUGUGACUUCGAUUCCAGGUUAAGGUUUGGUUUGGAACCGAAUGAGUUAUAGUUGCGAAGUUAGUCGAAAAUAAUUAUUAAUAUAUGUUGGUCAAACAUGGGUCAAACCUGGUCGAUUCCUGGUCAACCUAGGAAAUCCUAAUCAAACUAGGAAGAAGUCGAGUCAAUGAUUAUUUCAGAGUCCGGUCUGACCGAUUUGUUUUACUGUUUAUCGUCAGACGUGGGAUUGACUCGAGAUUGUGAAUAGUUAGAGGCAGAGCUCGAGGAGUAUUCCGAGCAUUUAGAAGCUUGGGCCUAAUACUGUGUGUGGACUUUUAUUUUAAAUUAUAUGCAUGCAAUGGUUUGUUGGUGAGCAGUUUCUUGUUAUUGGAGCUUAUGGCGUCAUUCUUUUUAAAUUGGCAAUUUUUAUUAUUUUGGAGAGUUACCGAAAACCAUUUUCGGUGGAUUUAUAUAUAUUUAUAAUUAUGAGAAUAGUAUGUAUAAAAAUGCUAGCUAGCCAUACGUGGUUUUCUGCCAUAAUGGUGUAACAAUUAGCCGCCAUUAUGGUGUGACGUGAGCGUGGGACGCAAGCGUUGUAGCUCUAUAUGAAUGUACGUAGGAAUUCAUAUAGAGGAUAUGCACGUAUAUACAUUAGUCUUUUCCGCCAUAAUGAUGUAGCGAUUAAACCCCCAUUAUGGUGUGACGUGAGCGUGGGACGCAAGCGUUGUAGCCUUGUAUGAAUUUCUAUUUUUCACAAGAAUUCAUACAAGGAGUAUGACGUGUGUAAAUACAUACUUAUAUAUUAUAGCCUGAGAGGCUCUAUAUUAUAAAGUUUUGGAGACUAGCGGGGCUAGUCACGUAUAUGUCAGUUGAUAAGUUAAAAGCUUUAAAGCUUAUCGCAUGCAGCAUAGCUUUUCUAUAGAAAUUAAAUCGGGAAAGCAAAAAGACUUAUUUCUUUUAAACUUUAUUUUUGUCCACUCACUCUAACGUUUUCAAAUUUUUCUUCCCUGGGCCCUUCGGUUUUAUAUGCCCUGUUAGCAGGUUAGCAUAGUUGAGGUUGGGCGUACAUGGAGACAAGGCAUAGUCAAUUAGUAUAGCUUCCGCUCAUUUAUAUAUUUCUGUUUCUUUUCUUCACUAUUAGAGUCGCUCGGAACUUAUGAAUGUUGGUUGUGAGAUUAAUUAUUUAGAUUAGUGAUUAAUGUGGGAGGUGUUGUGAAGUUGGGGAGCACGAAGGCUCCAGGAGUUUAAGUUGGGAGUUGGAUUUUUAGAAGUGUUUGUAAGUAUUUUCAGGUUAGGGUUGUCCAUUUUCAAGAGAGGUUAUGUCAAAUUUUCGGUAAAUUUUCCUUAGAGAUAGACCCCGCAGAAUUUACUUUGAGUUACAUGGUGAAAUUCGAGAUGGGUUCUGACAGACGUCACCAACAAGCACGCCCUUAGAUUCACACCAAGGCGAGACGCAUGAAUGCCACGGACGAAUCGCGUCCAAGCGUUGCCGCGUGAAGACCAGUCUUUCGUCGUGUUGUGCAACCUGUCUCCCCCACCGACACGCAGCACCUUCACGUAGGUUGCCACAGCCAUUCAAAUGAAACGGUCAAGAAAUUUAGACCGUUGCUUUCAUUCCAAAAGUUGGAUCUGACGGCUUAGAAUGGAUUACCGUUGGGUUUGAUUUUUUUUUUUUUUUUUUUUUUUUUUUUUUUAUUAAAAAAGAAUCUGACUGUUGUCAUAAAACAGUAGAAUGUGUAUUGAUCAUUAAUUUCGAACGACUCUUUUGGAAAGAGGAAGAGAAUAACAAAUACCAUAAAUCCCACACCCAAAAAUUUGAUAGUUUUGUAGCUCAUUUUUCAUUUCCUUAACCGUUACAAAAUUUCUCUCAUUCCCUCUUUUCAAUUAAUAGUUUGUGGGAAAGGAUUCGCAAGUCCCAAGAGGAAGACGAUGAAGAUGAUCUAACAACCAAUGCCAUUGUCAUCGCUGCAGUUACUCACAGUCAAGCCGAAAACUAACCUCGAGCAUGCAGUUCUCAUCCUGGCUGUUGUCCAAACCAUGCAAGAGAAAGAGAAGACAGAGGCAAAUGUAUGCUCCAAGACUACUUUGUCGAUUGUCCUAUAUUUAAUGAUGAGGAAUUCCGAGUUCGUUAUAGGAUGAGUCACAAGGUUUUCAACCGCAUAUGUGGUGACCUUUGCAACUAUGAUCGCUAUUUCGUUCAAAAAACAGAUGCUACCAAGAAAGUCGGUCUACUUCCGCAGCAAAAGAUGACAUCUUCUUUACGGAUGCUAGCUUAUGGUGCUAGCGUAUAUCAAUGCGUUAAGUAUGUAUUGUCGGAUGGCAAAAUCUACAUCCAUUGAGUGCCUUCAACGAUUUACUAGAGGAAUCGUUGAUCUGUAUUCAGCAGAUUACCUCUGAGCUCUUAGUCCGGCCGAUCAUAAAAAGCUUUUUGCUAAAGAUGAAAAGAGGGGUUUUUCAGGGAUGAUUGGGAGCAUCGAUUAUAUGUAUUGGCAAUGGAAGAAUUGUCAUUCCGGUUGGGUCAGUGAAUAUAGUGGAAGAAAGCAAAUCCCCACUAUCAUUCUUGAAACGGUCGCAUCUUAAGACACUUGGAUAUGGCACGCCUUCUUUGGAAUUCUCGGGUCAUGCAACGACCUCAAUGUCCUAGCAAAGUCAUCGUUGUUUGACGAGCUUACCAACGGUCGAGCACCUGAGAUCCAUUUUGAAGUGAGUUCACGAGUUGGACUAUUAUAUCGCCGACGGUAUUUAUCCAAGGUGGGUGGUGUAAACACGGAAAAUCUGCAACAAAUUACAGAACAACACGUGUACAAAGAAUAAUAUAAUUUUAUUGAUAUGAAUGCGGGUUACAAAUCUUUGUGAACUCCUCUGAUUCUAUCUCCGAAUACGGAUUUGACUCAAGGGUGACGAGCACUUGUUCUUGAGAUGUAAGGGGUCACGAGAGUUGAUCACGCGACGAGUGUUUGGGAUUUGAGUUUGGUGAAGAACUGGCUAUUUGGAAGCUUGGUAGUUCUUCGAGAGAUUUUGAGACUUCUGGGUUUUCGGGAGUAAUUUUUCUCUUUGUUGUCGGAAGUCCUCCUAUUGAUAUGAGAGGGGGUAUUUAUAGUGUCAACAUACCUCCGUUUAUGGCAUGUAAUGAAGACACCAAAUUAAUUGUAUUUUUUUAACGGUAAUAAUUAAAUCAAUCAGUUUUGAUUAAUUGAUUUAACUAUUAAUUUUAACAUAAUUAAAUCAAUCAGUUUUAAUUGAUUGAUUUAGUUACGACCGAUAAGGUAUAACUGCUUUGGAUUAAAUGUCCGACUUCUUUUUUUGAUAAUUAAUUUAAUUUAAUUGAUAUCUGAUUAUCGAUUGACAUUUAAUAAUUGAUUUUAGUCCGGAUUUAAGGUUUUUUUAUCAACCGACCAUUUACAAGUCGCCACUUGUUAUUUCCGACGACUUUUUAACGUUGCCAACUCACGAGCCACGUAUGCAAUUUGUCAGGCCCACACAUCAUUUGAAUAAUUCAACGAUUAUUAUUAUCGUUAAAUUUUAUAUGUAUACAGGUGGCUUUUGUGACUAUUAUUUGAUAGGAUCGAAAUUCUAUUGCUAUUUAAUUAUCUCACCUAUAAAGUAUGUGACUAUUAUGUAUAUAGCAUUCUUAUCAUGACAUUCCUUACUCUAACAAGUAAGCAAUUAAAAUACCUUGCUACUCAAUCUUGUUAAAUGUAUAGGCUUUUUACUUGCUCAACCGUGAGAAUAUGUGUAACUGACUGACAGUUAAUGAGAAGGCUAGGCAAGGGAACGGGUAAGCAAUAGCCGACCACCUGUAGGAUCAUCCCAUCCUGUGCUUGACUGUGACCUUAAUUUUACUAGCAAGGGGACAAGUACCCCGAACGAAGGUAUUCUAUAUGCGGUAGGAGAAGAAGAAGAAGACGGAACACCUCAUGCAUAAUUGGCAAAUGUUCUUUUACGAUGCAGUAGGUUAGAACGGAAUUCGAGUUGGAAGAAGUCAUUAUGUGACGACUAUUAUGAUUUAUGUAUAUAACAUUCUUAUCAACCAUGACAUUCCUUACUCCAACAAGUAAGGAAUAAUUAAAAUACCUUACUAACCAAUCUUGUGGAAUGUAUGGACAUUUACUUGCUCAACCGUGUGAAUAUGUGUAACCGACUGACAAUUAGGGCUGGGCACUUAGUACCGGAAUCCCGAUCCCGUACCGGUCCCGUCCUGAAAGUUAGCGGGACGGGACGAGAUAGGUUUUGAAAAUAGCAAUCCCGUCCCGUCCCGUCCCGUUUUAACAUUACCAUAACGGGACGGGACUAUCCCGAAAAAUCUCGUCCCGUCUCGUAAUAUUAUAAUACUUGAUUUUAUUCAUUUUAUACUUGAUUUUUUAGGUUGCAUGGUGUUACAAUGCACUCAACCACACUUAAUUUGGUCUAAAAUAAUACUUUUAAUUUCAUUCAUGUUCUUUUUUUAUUGCUUGUGUGAUUUUGGAUAUUUUUAGUUGUUGUUUGAGGGUUAAUUUUUAAUGUGGGAUGUUUAGUACUUUUAAAGUGGGAUGUAAUUUAACACCUAUGCACCUAUGUUCUUGUUGAUUUUAGUACUUCUAAUUUCAUCAAUGUUCUUUUUUUUUUGUUUAUGUGUUUUUGGAUUUUUUUUUUCCAUUAAUUUCAUUAAUGUUGUUCCAAACAGCAUAAAAAUGUCGAAAAUUUCAUACACUGAUCAAUUGUGGUGGAGCAUUUGAAUGCUUGGAGUUUCUCAACCCAUUUUUCCACCUGUGGUGGUGCUUGAUAAUCAAUUAAUUUGUUCUUGAAAAAAAAAAAAAAAAAUAUUUGUCGGGAAAAAAAAAAAAAUUUGUCGGGAUCCCGGUCCCGUCCCGAUCCCGAUCGGGACGUACGGGACAGAUUUUUAAAAACACAUUCU